rnacentral:lncRNA from 1 species
UUCAUCUCAGUACGACCCCAACUACAACUUUGGAUAUCCGCCAGGCCAUCCGUGGCAAUAAACCAACUUAGGCCAAAAGCCUAAGCUUGGGGGAGUACGUAUCUCUCACCGACAUUACAUUCAUAUUCACACACUCAUUGCUAGAUGUCGGUGCUCAUACUCUUUCACUGUAAUAUCCAUGCUAGUUUUUUUUUCUUUUAUGCUUUCUUCUUAUGUGUUUGAUAAACCUUAAGAAAAACCAAAAAAAUUAGUUGUAGCUUUUAGCUAGUUUACUUUCUUGCUGUAGUAGUAAUAAUUAAAAGAAAACCCAAAAAGAUUUCCCGUUCUUCUUUUGCUUGUUGGGAGCUUUCCCGUGUAAAUAGUUUUAUUUCUUUUCUUUUUUUGGGGGGUCGAUAGGAGAAGACCAUGAUUAAAUUGUUGAAGUGGCUCUUAAAUGCAUUAUUGUUGAUUUAACCAAGAGCCCAUAUUGCCUUGUCUUCUCCUAUUUAUUAAAUGCUCGUAGAUUCCAGCUUAGUCCAAUGCACGUGCACUAUUAUUAUUAUUCACAUCAUUCGGUUGUGCAAGUGAAAGGCAAUUAUGACGAUAUAUGAUGGACUGAUUGAGAUGAGAGAAGCUGGUAUGAACUCGACCUCUCUUGUUUUUGUAAAUAUGAUUAGUUCAUCGUUCCUGAUUCAGCCUAUUAUGAAUAAACAUGUUUGCAAUCACAAUUAGAGAUUAUAGUUGCUUAUGCCAUGCUUAAUUAUCUAGGAGUUUAUAAUGGUUUACCUUGCGUGCCAACAUGCUAUUAAAAUGAUUAUGAUGUGGUAUGAUAGGAUGGUAUCCUCCUUUGAAUGAUUCAAGUGACUUGACUUGGCACAUGUUCACACAUGUAGUUGAAACAAAUCAACAUAGCCUUCACGAUAUUUAUGUUCAUGGUGGAUUAUAUCCUACUCAUGCUUGUACUCAAUGUUUAUUAAUUUUAAUGCAUGUUCAUGACUGUUGUCGCUCUCUAGUUGGUCGCUUUCCAGUCUUUUGCUAGCCUUCACUUGUACUAAGCGGGAAUACUGCUUGUGCAUCCAAUUCCUUAAACCCCAAAGUUAUUCCAUAUGAGUCCACUAUACCUUCCUAUAUGCGGUAUCUACCUGCCGUUCCAAGUAAAUUUGUAUGUGCCAAACUCUAAACCUUCAAAUGAAAUUCCGUUUUGUAUGCUCGAAUAGCUCAUGUAUCAACUAGGGUUGUCCGUAUCUUCCAUAUUAGGCGGGUUAUUCUCAAGAGGAGUGGACUCCGCUCCUCACUCACGAGAAAAUGGCUGGUCACCGGGAUGCCCAGUCCCAUGCUUUAUGCAAACCAAAUCAAAAUAAUUGCAAACAAAACUCCCCUGGGACUGUUGUUAGUUGGAGGCACUCAUUGUUUCGAGCAAGCCAUGGAUUGAUGCUUAUUGGUGGAGGGGGAGUAUAAACUUUACCAUUCUGUUUGGGAACCGCCUAUAAUGUGUGUAGCAUGGAAGAUAUCGCCAUCUCUUGGUUGUUAUGUUGACAAUGAAAGUAUGCCGCUCAAAAUAUUAUUUAUCUCUAUUUCAAAAUCGAGCUCUGGCACCUUUACAAAUCCCUGCUUCCCUCUGCGAAGGGCCUAUCUAUUUACUUUUAAGUUGAGCCAUCACCCUCUUAUUAAAAAGCACCAGCUGGAGAGCACCGCUGUCAUUUGCGUCCGUUACUAUUAAUUUAUAUUGGGUAUGACUAUGACUGGAUCUCUUUUACCAUGAAUUACAAUGUUUAGUCAGUCCUUGAGCUUUAAAGGUGCUCUGCAUUUAUGUUUUGCGGUCUCAGAAAGGGCUAGUGAGAUACCAUCUUGUUAUAUCAUAUCAUGAUUGUUUUGAGAAAGCGUUGUCAUCCGAGAUUUAUUAUUAUUGCUCACUAGUUGAUUAUGCCAUUGAUAUGAGUAAACAUGAGACCUAAGUGUUAUUGUGAAUAUGGUUAGUUAUAAUCCUUGCUAAAAACUUGAAUGCUGGCUUUACAUAUUUACAACAACAAGAGCAAACAGAGUUUGUAAAAGUUUUUCUUUAUCACUUUCAGUUUAUCAACUGAAUUGCUUGAGGACAAGCAAAGGUUUAAGCUUGGGGGAGUUGAUAUGUCUCCGUCGUAUCUACUUUUCCAAACACUUUUUCCCUUGUUUUGGACUCUAACUUGCAUGAUUUGAAUGGAACUAACUCGGACUGACGCUGUUUUCAGCAGAAUUGCCAUGGUGUUAUUUAUGUGCAGAAACGAAAGUUCUCGGAAUGACCUGAAACUCCACGGAGAUUAUUUUUGGAAAUAAUAAAAAAUACUGGCGAAAGAAUCAAGGCCAGGGGGCCCACACCCUAGCCACGAGGGUGGAGGGCGCGCCUGCACCCCUGGGCGCGCCCCCCUGCCUCGUGGGCCCCCUGGAGCUCCACCGACCUCAAAUCCAACUCCAUAUAUUUGUGUUCGGGGAGAAAAAAAUCAGAGAGAAAGAUUCAUCGCGUUUUACGAUACGGAGCCGCCGCCAAGCCCUAAACUCUCUCGGGAGGGCUGAUCUAGAGUCCGUUCGGGGCUUCGGAGAGGGGAAUCCGUCGCCGUCGUCAUCAUCAACCAUCCUCCAUCACCAAUUUCAUGAUGCUCACCACCGUGCGUGAGUAAUUCCAUCGUAGGCUUGCUAGACGGUGAUGGGUUGGAUGAGAUUUAUCAUGUAAUCAAGUUAGUUUUGUUAGGGUUUGAUCCCUAGUAUCCACUAUGUUCUGAGAUUGAUGUUGCUAUGACUUUGCUAUGCUUAAUGCUUGUCACUAGGGCCCGAGUGCCAUGAUUUCAGAUCUGAACCUAUUAUGUUUUCAUGAAUAUAUGUGAGUUCUUGAUCCUAUCUUGCAAGUCUAUAGUCACCUACUAUGUGUUAUGAUCCGGCAACCCCGAAGUGACAAUAAUCGGGACCACUCCCGGUGAUGACCGUAGUUUGAGGAGUUCAUGUAUUCACUAUGUGUUAAUGCUUUGGUCUGGUAUUAUAUUAAAAGGAGGCCUUAAUAUCCCUUAGUUUCCAUUAGGACCCCGCUGCCACGGGAGGGUAGGACAAAAGAUGUCAUGCAAGUUCUUUUUCAUAAGCACGUAUGACUAUAUUCGGAAUACAUGCCUACAUUACAUUGAUGAAUUGGAGCAAGUUCUGUGUCACCCUAUGUUAUGACUGUUACAUGAUGAACCGCAUCCGGCAUAAUUCUCCAUCACCGAUCCAAUGCCUACGAGCUUUUCACAUAUUGUUCUCCGCUUAUUUACUUUUCCGUUGCUACUGUUACAAUCACUACAAAACCCAAAAAUAUUACUUUUGCUACCGUUACCGUUACUUCCAUAUUAUUUUGCUACUAUAUACUUUGCUGCAGAUACUAAGUUAUCCAGGUGUGGUUGAAUUGACAACUCAACUGCUAAUACUUGAGAAUAUUCUUUGGCUCCCCUUGUGUCGAAUCAAUAAAUUUGGGUUGAAUACUCUACCCUCGAAAACUGUUGCAAUCCCCUAUACUUGUGGGUUAUCAGCAUCAUCAGAGAGGCGGUAAGGUGGAUGUAGAGGCUAGAGACUUGCAACGGCGGAGUAAUUAUUUCGGGUCUUGCUCUGGGGUUUUUGUAAUAUUUGAAAAUUUAUAGCGCCGGAAUUAGGUCAGACGGAGCCACGAGGGCCCCUCCUAGGCACUAGGUUAAUAUGUUAGUUCCCAAAAGUGAUAUAAAAUGACAUAUAAAGCAUACAAGAUUGAUAAUAUAAUAGUAUGAAAUAAUAAAAACUUAUAGAUACGUUGGAGACGUAUCAAUGCUCCGGUGCAUAACGGACGGCUAAAGCGUGCUGAUAAUGUCAAGAGAGUUUGGGGUAGAUUGAAUUUGACAUGAGAGCUGUCCGUAAAGAGAGAUCUGAAGGACUGGAGUAUCACCAAAGAACUAGCCAUAGACAGGGGUGCGUGGGAACGUGCUAUCCAUGUGCCAGAACCAUGAGCUGGUCGCAAGAUCUGCUGUUGGGCCUAGGGGAAGACAUUGUGGGAUUAGUUUGUAGAUAAUUGGCAGCAAGAUUGAUAGAAACCUAAACACUAGUUUACAAAUUGUUGCACAAGGGGUUGAUUUGAUCCUAAAGAUAAAGUUCAAUGUUAUGGUAGAUUUAUCUUAAUUAUUUCUCUUGUAAUUGUGAAUGCUUACAUGGAGGAUAUAAUGAUCAAUAGUUAUUUGUCCAAGUAAAGGCAGUACCUUAGCGCAUGCCUGCCCGCACAAUACUUAUCAAAACAACAAAAGGUAACUCAAUGAAACUUGGUGAAAUUCCUGUGUGUCCUCAAGAGCGUUUUAAUCACUAUAAGAAACACAAUCACUUGUAAGGAUUGUGCCACUUGUUGCACUUUAUUGUUAUUGUUAUUGUUUAUCAUUUUAUGCAUUAUCUUGCUACCAAAUGUCCUAUCAAAUUACUUUUAUAGAUUUUGGAGUGAAACCUUGCUAAAAACUUCUUGUAGAUUCCUUUUGCUCCUCGUUGGGUUUGACACUCUUAUUUAUCAAAAAGCUGCAAUAGAUCUCCUAUACUUGUCAGUCAUCGGCCGUCCAAUGGUCGGUCACUAACUAGUCACUGCUGUUAUCUAUAGCCGGUCAGUGUUUGUGUUUCCUGAUACAUAAAAAAUUGACAUCACACAUGGUUAUUGUUAUGAAGCCCAUCACUAUCGGACACCUAUGGCAAAAAGAACACCAUUUGAUAGAGUUCCACAUACAUAUAGUUCAUCCAACACCAUCCACAACAUAUACACACUUUUAAGCAACAUACAACAGAAACACUAUUUGAAGCAUGACAAACAAAAGUUUCACUAGGCUAAGAACAAAACUUCAAAUCAACUACGUAACUAUGCCGGCUCAAAAAGGAGCGAUCUCCCCUUCACUCUGCUGCGUGUAGCUAUCUCCUUGCUCGGUGAAUUUACCAACUUUUUUUUUCCUUUUUUCACACUUUCAUUCAUGAACACUUAAUAAAUAUCUUGCAGAUUUUGUGAAAUUAAAGAACAUUUUUAAUUUUUCAAAUGUAUUUAAAGUUCAUGCACAUGUUUUAAGUCUAUGGAUAUUUUCUAAUUUGUGAAGCUUUCUUCUAAUUCAUGAACAUUGUUUGAGGUCCACUCAUAUUUUGUAAGUUCAUUAAUGUUUUUAAAAAUUAUGGUUUUGUUAAUUUGCAACAUUUCUUUAAAUCAACAAACAUCUUUUGAUUUAACAACCUUUUUCAAAUAAAUAAACGACGGCUAGUUUUUUCUGAGCUAGCACUGGAGUGAGCGAAAAAGAACUAAGUGAACAAGGAGCAGGGAGCCGAGUUGAGCGAGUGAGGGCUUCAUGGGACCGCAUUAUAGCAACAAUUUCAUCCUUUCAACAUGAAAUAGGAGUUCCCAAGGGAUGUCGACGGACACUGACGCUGAAACGUGCAAGGACACUACAACCACACACAAAACAACUCCACUCUCUUGUCAGAACAAAUACCGUCUUUAACAAUAGCCUAACACAAUAUAUGUAUGAAAAAACACCGCUAGAACAUAAUUAAAACUCAAGUCAACGCAGAUAAAACAACCGACAACAAUAACAUGCUAGAGAAAAAAAGGUUAUCCCCACAUGCUUCAAAUAAGAGGGUGACACACAGGAGCAUGGAGACUAGGCCGGCCCAUUGGCGCUCAAUACCGACUCGAACAACAUAUUGUAGGGAAUGCUUUUUUUUUCAUUCUACUUUCCAACUUUCUUGGCUUUUACUUAGUUUUUUUCAUUAUUUUUUUAGAAACACAUCAAAAUUUAUUUUGUUUUGAAGGUAACAAUUUUUUAAAUCUGAAUAUUCCUUAGAUCAUUAUUUGGUAACAUGAACAUUUUAUGAAAAAAACGAGAAUAGUUUUUAAAACUUGUGUGGAUUUCUUUUGGCACGCGCUUGCACGUAGAACACACAUGGGCCCGCCCUACAUACCUGGGCCUGGGCCUCGUAUUCUUUGACGCCAAAGGGCGCCCUGCCUCGUCUUCUCGUCUUUAUAUCAAAAUCGAUCUCAACGCCGGCCGGCCGCCGGAGUGUCCCUUCCGUCUCCUCCUCCCUUGCAUUCUCCUCGCGCCACCCCACCCGUCCCCUCCCGGACUGUUGGGUCACUUCGGAGUCAGUGAGCGGCCACCGUGCGAGGCUACGGCCAUGCGGCUGCACUGCGCCGCGCUCCUCCGUGGCGCCGCCUCGCUGCCGUCUCUCUCGCUGGUGGCCACACUCCACGCUGCCGCGCUCCGGAGAGGCGCGUUCCAGCGCGAUGUCCGCGCACGGGUCGCCCGCCGGACUCCGCGCGCAUGCUGUUCGACGAAUUGCCCGCACCGCAUCUGUCCAGCACACGGACGGUGCUCGGCCUGUUCCGCGGACGGGAGGGGGAGAUGGAUGACAAGGCGGUGAUGGUGGUCCUCGCCGCGUGCGCGAGGGCUGGGAUGGUGGGUGAGGGGAGGGAGGUGUUCAGGAGGAUGAUGAGGCCGGCGCUGCAGCACUAUGCGUCUACCGUGGAGAUGCUGGGAAGGGCAGGCGAGGUCGAGGAGGCAGAGGGGCUGAUGAAGCCGAUGGAGGCGCCCCCCCGGGACAGGGUGAUGUGCGUGGUGCUAGCUGCUUUCCGCCCCCGGGCGCAUGGCCGUGUCAAUGUUGCUGAGAGAGAGUGGCCAAGUCGAUGUAUGGCAAUGCAUGCAUGAAUUUGGCCAACUGAAGAUCAGAGCUCUCUGACACGGUUGGGUUGGUUCCUUGGUGGUAAUGAGUACAACACAAGCCCCCUGGCUGAUGGAGACCUGAAAUUUGUACAACAUGAUCCUUGGUCUACCUGCAUGGAUCUGUCCUUCAGCAACCUGACUAAUUGCCCUGUUUGUCGUCGCCCCAUUACUCUGCUGGUACCUACUGAAGUUGCUUCCCUGCCACGUGCUGAACAAGAAAUCGCUCCUAUUGUGCACUGAAUUGAGCAAUACAAUGGCCGUUUUGCUAUAGCUCCUCACAGUAUAACUCAGGUAAACCUGCCAUAUCUUCUGGACAUAGUUUCUUGCACAUGUCGAGUGCCAUUGGAAUUUGGACUGCAUCCUUGCAAAAGCCCUAACAGCACUUGGUUUAUUAGCUCUUUUGUCACUUUCAGAUCGUUGGCCUAAUGCCAAUUUAUACCUCUGACAAUAGAACUGAGCAUACAGAGUUGUACUAUUAGAUUUUUCUGGUGAACUCCUUAUUAGUUGAGAUCUAGAUCAGGCUAUAUAUAGUAGCAGUUGUAUUAUCUCCACAUACCUGUACGGUACAAUGUCCUAAAUUUGCAAGAGUAACCCGUCGAAUAUGUUUAGAAAUAAAUCCAGUGAACGAGACUGAAUUGUCCAUCAGAGGGUACAAUUGAACUCAGUUGAUGAUAUACUGUAGUCACACCUAACUAGUUGGGUAGAAUCUCCACGUAGUCCACCGAGUUAAUAGAUGUUCAAGUACAUGCAAUCCUCAGCUUGGCAAUCGCUAGAAAUAGACGGAACAAAAAUGCACUAGGGAAUCCAUCGCUACUCUUGUCUAUAUUGAAACACUAGUACACAAGUGGUUGUGUGCCGUAGAUGAGUGGAGGUUGUGCCCUAGAUCAUAGCAGGAACUCUAAAGGCUUCAACUUAUGAAGUAUAAGUAUUGCAGUUAAGACUUAAAGAGUUAACUACAAAUUGCUUCCAAGAUCUUAAACUCUAAUUUCACGUGGGACAUUAAAUUUCUUGCCAGGUGCUUACAUUUUCCCUUGGUGUCUUUAAGGUUUUUUAUAGAGCUGAGAUGGUCAGAAGACAUGCUCUUUCCCCGGGUGACAACGACUUGCAGCAACCGCUUCAAAAUUCCAGGUUUUCUUUGUCCUGCUUCUCAUGUGUGCUGAGUACUUGUAAUUAUGAACCUAUCAUUAUAAAACUACUUUUGUUAGUUGCAAGGAUAGCGAGUCAGUAAAUAAAUUGAGAACAAUCUUACUUCUUGUCCUGAUCUGUUGAAAAAAAGCAUGCUGUCUUUUCCAUGGUUUACUGAUGGUUGCCAUGGUCUGAAAUGAAAAUGUAACCAAACUUGCGAUUCCCAGUUUGAGAUCCCUGGGCUUUGUCAAGCUGUUCUCUGUUAUACCCUGCUCCAAUCAUUUGCUACUACAGAUUCAUGCUGGAUGUGAACUGCAAGCUAAACAUGCUCUUUUGUCGUAUAAAUUUGUCUUACGGUUGUUCUGUUUCUCAUCUCAUGCAAAAGGCAGUGCUUUGACAAAACAUGUUCAUGAUGUAGUUAGGCUGUAUUGCAGUUUAGAUGCCCCGGAUGAAGCGAAUUCCGAGUUAGCCAAACGGAGAAGCAAAGCACUGGCCGUGCACUUGUAUACGUACAGAAGUUCCAUCUGGAACUCCUCUUUCGUGGUUUCUCUUCAUAAACCUAGCACCAACGGUUCGCAUGGAUGUUUUCGUAGUGAAGUGAAGCAUCCCGAGAAGAGAUUCAGUCAAAAUCACGGUCAGCCUCUGACACCCGCAUCACUCCAGGGCGACUCGGGUGGCGAAACCCUAGCAGCCACCCGAGACCCCUCCUCCCCGUCGCUCCCUCGCCGCCGCCGGAGGAUAUGCAAGGCGGGCCAAGCCCCUCCCAGCGGACGGCGGCGGCGGGGCUCUCCCUUCCAGUGCUUGCGUCAGGGCGUGGAAGAUGUCGGGGCGGCUGUGUGCCCCAUCGCGUGCCCGGCGGCGGAUCUGGCGAAGGCAGGCGCGGCCGGAGUCAGUGUUGUUCCCCUGCGGUGGAGGGCGCGAGGUGGUGGAGAGAGCGGGCGCCGGCAGUACAUCGUCUCGAGGUUCGAGCGGGCUGGAUCUUGGCCCGGCGGGCCGGUGGUGGCGGCGGGGAUGUUCUGUUCACGUCCGGCUCUGGUGGUGGAGGACUGGAGGGAAGCGGCGGUGGGUGGUGCUCUUCCCCUUCAGCAAGCUCUGCGAGUUGCAUGCGUUCCCUUGCAGCAUGUGUGCCAUGGUUUGCUGCUGUCCGCCUUGGUGCGGAUGCAUAAACAUGACUGCUCCGGCUUUCUCUUGGUGGCGCCGGCUGCUUUGGGAGCUGAUUGGGUGGGCUGCACAGAUCCGGGUGAAACUCUUGCAAAGACCUUGUCGAUGCCGACGGCAAUGGCGUCUGCGGAUGUCGCUUCCCUCCUUGGGGGUGCCGUCGAGGAGCUUGUUGCAACCCCACAGCUUAUGUCUUCAGACUCCGGGUGAAAACCUUAGAUCGGGCAUUGCCGGAACGGAUGACGGUGUUGGCUUCCAUCACUCUUUUCUUGGAGACGUCAUUUGAGGAGUUCUUGUGGACGGCUGUCGUGACGCAGCUGGCAGAAUGGGGAGGUUGGGUUCGUGGUUGGCCGGCGGGGGGCAUGUGUUCUGUAGGUGGUGGUGGUGGAAGUGCUUUGCUGAUUCAGAACAGGCUAAGGUUUGUCUCCAGCUCUGGUUGGCCUCCUCUCAGGGAUGUUCGUGGCGACGGUGAGAUCUCGGUGUUCGACGUCCUUCGAAGAUGUUACAGUCUCGUUGCUUUGCUUGGUGCCCAGGUUUGCUGAUUUUGUGAAGGUGCUCGAUGUAACACCAAGAGGAGGUGCACUGCUUGUCUCGGUGGAACAUUGCCCUUCGGUGGCGUCUACGGUUUUCGUUGUCGCGAUGUCGCCUUGGUGAUGGGAUGCCCUUCGAUGGUGUUGCGACUCUCCUAGGUCUCAAAGGUGAAGAGUGAUCGCUGGGCAGCCUGGGGACUUUGUCCUCUCCAUCGUCUCGACGUCGGGUAUCCGUUCGAUUGAUCCAAGAAGACUCCUCCCUUCUCUUCUUGGUCUGUUCCAGCGUCAGGUGCCAGGUUCAAGGCUUGUACUACUAGGCAUAGCUCGUUUCGGUUCUCUCUCUGUUUCCUUGUCCCUUCUUGUGGGUGUCGUGUGCUACAUCUUGUAGCCGUUGUGUUGUAUCUUGCUCUUGUUUAUGAAAAUGAAAAUGGUUCAGGCCGACUUUUGCCCGCCGUAGCAGCUUCAAAAAAAGUGAAGCAUCCCGUAUUAUAUUCGACAAGGGUUGCAGCUGUAGGUAGGUACCUUGGAUUUGGUCCCUGCUGCACCAUUUUAUCAGUUGUUUGCAGUCUCUAACGGCAAGUCGCGUCGUGCCUUCCUGUUUGGAUGUGACGACCUCUUUCUGAUAAUUUUGGUAAUGUGAUCAUGCUUUAAUUUUCUGCUCGAAAGAUGUUGGAACUCCACUACGCAGUGUUGAAUUAUUUCUUUUGUCGGAAUGCGUAGUGUUGAUUUGGCUCGCAAGUUUUCAAAAUUCAAGGAUUGAGAGUUGCCAUCAAAACAAAACCAAGCCUGCCGCACACUUCUUGAUGCUCAACUUUACCUUUUUUUUUGUUGUUGCGAGGUAGCUUUACCUGAAUUGAGAUUUAUAUGAAUCAUUAUUGGCAGGUUAAAUCGCAGUAGUUUAACACAUAUUAUGCAAGAGUUUCAUUACACAAGAUUGAAACUUAUAUCCGCGUUAGCUCGUGAUCAAUGAAAUGCCCAUGUACAACACUGAAGUGUGGUGAACUGGCUGCUACUAAUAUUUAAGAUAGAUGCAGCUCGCUGCUACUAAUAUUUAAGAUAGAUGCAGCUCGCGUUAGUUGGUGCAUGGCGUGAACUUAAGAGGAGAAGAAAUGGUGAUGAUCGUAUCAAGUAAUAAGUGAAGAAGGAAUCCAUACGCCUACUUUGUGAAAUUAUAGAUGGCCAUUGAUGCGGCUGUGCUCUUUUAUGCGGCUUUCUGAGAUGGAUCCCAAGCUACUUGUCUCUCUGAAAGCUUACAUGAUUGACCGCAAUACAUGCAAAACAAGUUCGCAAUAUCGGAACCGUUGUUUGCAGCAAUAUUCGUCCAGAAUCAUCGCAGCGUGUCAUGCAACAAACAACAGAUAGGGUUUAGUUUGUGCUCUUUUGCUAACCAAAAAUAUAUACAUGCAUGGUAAAGUAGGAGUAUGUGCAAAAUAGACACCGGCCGAUGCAUGAAUGUGCAUGCAUGUUGAUCUCGUGCAUUUAAUACUAUAUACAUUCUGCAAUCGUCCCUACAAAAAUGACGAUCGAUGUAUCUAGCUAGCUAGUAUGUACAGCCCUAGCCGCCCUUCCUCCCCCCCCCNNNNNNNNNNNNNNNNNNNNNNNNNNNNNNNNNNNNNNNNNNNNNNNNNNNNNNNNNNNNNNNNNNNNNNNNNNNNNNNNNNNNNNNNNNNNNNNNNNNNNNNNNNNNNNNNNNNNNNNNNNNNNNNNNNNNNNNNNNNNNNNNNNNNNNNNNNNNNNNNNNNNNNNNNNNNNNNNNNNNNNNNNNNNNNNNNNNNNNNNNNNNNNNNNNNNNNNNNNNNNNNNNNNNNNNNNNNNNNNNNNNNNNNNNNNNNNNNNNNNNNNNNNNNNNNNNNNNNNNNNNNNNNNNNNNNNNNNNNNNNNNNNNNNNNNNNNNNNNNNNNNNNNNNNNNNNNNNNNNNNNNNNNNNNNNNNNNNNNNNNNNNNNNNNNNNNNNNNNNNNNNNNNNNNNNNNNNNNNNNNNNNNNNNNNNNNNNNNNNNNNNNNNNNNNNNNNNNNNNNNNNNNNNNNNNNACCGCUAGCAGCCGUGCGGGCGGUGGAUCUGGUGUCCCGGCCGCGUGGGCAGCGGGAUCCGGUGGUCGGCGGCGGCUUCUGCGUCGGACCGGUUUGAGCUCCGGACCAGGUAGAUGGCUCGGGCGGGGCCUUCGGGUUUAGAUAUUAGGUUUAGGUGAGAGGUCUAGGCAUGUGGUCCAGCUUGCAUCCCUUCAUCAUUUGGAUAAGAGUAGCGACAGAUGUUGUCAAGAUGACGGAUUCAGGCAUAUUGUUGUUCUACUUUGUAAGGUCCUCGAGAAUAAUCAAUAAAAUGACCGCAUGCAUCUCUCAGAUGCAGAGGCCGGGGGUCAUCUUCCUUAAAAAAAAGCUAGUAUGUACAAAGUGACGUAUAAGAUGAGAGGGUUGGAUCGGAUCAAUCGGAUGGGAUGCUACCAACGUAAUGCACAGUUAGCUAGCUUUUUGAAUGUUGCCUGGCUAGGGCUAGUCCUACUGGACGACCACGACUCUGCGUGUGCGGGCUCGGUUCUGCCUCACCCACUGGUAGAGAUGGGGGAUGCCACGAAGUAGGAGUGGGUCCCACCAAACCCGCCGUGNNNNNNNNNNUCCACGUCGACCUCGACGAAGAUCAUCCUAUAACCGAGCUCAUUGGUGCUCAUCAUUUCCAUACCCCUGGUGCAGCUCGUCCACCCCAUGGCAUCCCCUGGUGCCCGUUCACCGCCGGCCAGGCCACGAGCAUGCACCGCAUGGCCGCCCUUGGCAUGCUCCGAGCCACGGGGAGGGUCGGGUGCGGUCCGGGGCAGACAUCGUCGGUGUGGAAGUCUCUCAGAGCCCCGACUACGACCGUGAGCACGAGGAUGUCGUGCGCCCAUGCCGAUGUCAUGAUCUUUGCGUCCACGUACCUCCUGGCUUCCAAAGGCAAUCCGGCCUGCCGGCAAGCUUCGUCGUGAUGAUAACAGACCACCAAUGCGCGGAAGAGGCGCGCCUUCUCGAUCGUCAACGGGUCGGCCCAGCAGUAGACGUGCUUCAGGGCAUGGGCCGCUGUCAUCACGUGACAUUCAUCAUGUCGUUGAUCACAUUAUGGACGAAGCCCACGGAAGUGCUUGGGCUCUGCACGGCUAGCGCUCUCUCUCUCUCCCGCUCGUUUUGGAUGCUCCGCACUCGGUUAGCGAUCCUCCGGAUCUCAUUCACCUUGCCGGGCAUCGGGGCAAACUGGAUGUACAUCAGUGCUUGGCCGCGUUGUACCUCGUCCUCCACGGAUUCGGCUGGGCCAUCGGGCUAUGUAUGUUACUGUACCCCCGCGGGCAUCCGAGGAGAGCCCCAAGCCGUCGGCACCGAACCCACCCCUCCUCCCUUCUCCCCUGCCGCCGCCGGUGCGAGCUGACGGGCAAAGCCAGGUCGGCCAGGGCGGCGGCGGGGAUUCUUCUCCCUCCUGGUCAGAAGCUGGCGGUGCGGGACGUCAGAUCUGGGCUGCGACGCGGCGCGUGCACAGGGCACGGCGGCGGGGCACGCCGUGUUGGCGGCGGCGGCUGCUGGGCACGGCGUCCGUGGGGAGGCUUCGUGGUGGGGUGGUCGGCGUGCCCGUGCUGGUGACGGCCGCCUUCUGAGGCCAGCGAGCGCGGGCGGCGCGACCUAGCUCAGGCGUACAGGUGGACUUGGCGGGCGCGUUGCGGCUGCUGNNNNNNNNNNNNNNNNNNNNNNNNNNNNNNNNNNNNNNNNNNNNNNNNNNNNNNNNNNNNNNNNNNNNNNNNNNNNNNNNNNNNNNNNNNNNNNNNNNNNNNNNNNNNNNNNNNNNNNNNNNNNNNNNNNNNNNNNNNNNNNNNNNNNNNNNNNNNNNNNNNNNNNNNNNNNNNNNNNNNNNNNNNNNNNNNNNNNNNNNNNNNNNNNNNNNNNNNNNNNNNNNNNNNNNNNNNNNNNNNNNNNNNNNNNNNNNNNNNNNNNNNNNNNNNNNNNNNNNNNNNNNNNNNNNNNNNNNNNNNNNNNACGGUCGGGCGGCGACGGGUUGGAUCGGGGUGGCAUGGGGGCCUGCUGCCGUGAUAAUAUAGGUGGCGGUCUGUGUGCUCCUCUCACGUCACGGCAACAUCCUGCAUGGUCGGUCCUCCUUGAUCUAGUCAUUGACGUGUUCCCGAACUACUGUUGAAUAUCUUGCCCAAGAUAUCUGGAUCCGAUAGAAUUCGGCCGUGCACGUCCAUUUUCAACCUACGAGGUUUCAUGUGGGCGGGACGCAAAGCUCUUUUGUUUGUUGACACCAUGGGACAUGUCCGGUUCUCGAUUUCUAUGGUGUAGACAGCUGUGAAGAAGGUCAUGGUCGCUGAGAUCAUAGGAUCAGUUAGACGGACGGGGCCUUCGAGGCGAUGGAGUCAGCUAGGUGUUUGAUAACUCUCGGGAGCAGUAGUGUCAAGUGGGGGCAGCAGCACGGGAGGAAUUUCAUUUUUGGUGGUGCUCCUUGGGUACUGAGUCGGGACUUUCAGGGUGAAAACCUAAGGUCUGGCUUUCAUUGGUUGUGCCUGGCAGUUGUCUUGCUGAAGGAAUUGUUUUGAGAGUUCGAACUUCUUCAGGGUGAAAACAUAAGAUCUUGGAUCAAGCAACGACGGCGCUUGUGCACUGUUUCCUUUUUGGAGGCGUUGCUUUUGGAGACCUUUGAUGUUUUCCAGGUGUUGUAUUUGGUGGUGGUUUGUGUGCGGCUGUUGAGAGGUGUCGAUCACUGCAGCGGGACUUCUUUUUCUUUCUUUUUUUUCCUUUGGUUGUGUGUAUCCUGGAUGUCCUUGCUAUAUCUUGUAGGUGCUGAGGCUUAGUGUAAUUGGUAUAUUCGCGAUAUUAAUAUAUUCGCCUUUUAAAAAGUUGUAUGUUACUGCACACACAACAUAGGAAAGUACGAAUGAGCAAAUGUGCUGGCCACAGGAUUUUCUUUCCCUACGGAAAAUACAAAAGAACUAUCAAAGUAGCGACUGAUCCAAUAGCUAGCUAGCACAUCUAAAAUUUCACCACAAUGCCUGAAUUUUAUUUAUUUAUUACAUGGACAAAACACGGCUCCAACAACACAUCUAAAUAUACUUAGUACAUGCAAAUAAAAAAAUUUAAGUGGUCGGAUAUAUUUUACUACCGAGAACCUAUAUUUGGGUACGUACAACCUAUCACAAGAUACAAGCAACCCCAAAAAAUAGCACCAACACCGACCGUCGCACGGGCAAGUUUCACAUAACUCUGCCUUACGUAAAGUCGCCAGCCACCCCAAGCCCUGCCGUCCAAUCGUGCUGCCCCGAGGCCUAACUUUACCCCAAGACAAAUUUUUGUGUUUUUGAAACAAAUAACAUGCUCCGGCAGCCCGUCCAAAUCUGCAUGGAGUAUAUAGGUAGCCACCCAUAUUUUGCUAUCAAAAACCCAUAUUUUAGGUCUAACCUACCAUAAGACUCAAAAACGUGACGCCAACCCUAAUCGUUACACCGGGGCCUUGUGUUCACACCGGUCGAUUCCGACCACCGGCCACCACGAUCCCCGGCGCCCAGUCCCGCUAUGCUCACGACCCUACCACUCGAUCCCAAAAUUACGUUCGCCGCCCAACCCCGCCGCCGCUCAAGAUGUCCGCCACCGUUUGCCGAGCUCAACUAGGAGCCAGGCAAUGCGCACAAGGCUGACAUCGACCGGCGCUCCUUCGCCGGCCUUUGUUGUAGCCCCAGCCAGCUCCAUUCAACCCCGGGCCUCCCUCGCGUCUUACGGAAACGUGACAAAAAUUUAUCUUCUUUUCCCCUUUUAUAAAUUAGUGUAAAAAGUAUUAUUGUUUUGGUUGACGUGGCCAGAAGAUGAGAUGAUCGAGCAGUUUAUUAAUCGACUCGGAAACUUUUUGUAGAAUUCUUUUUUGGUUGAAAGAAAGUCUAGUUCGUAAACUUUUUGUAGAAUUAUUUUAGCAGUUUUGUAGAAAAAUUACGUAAGCAGUGCCCAAACUUAAAGCGGGAACUAGAAAAUGAACUCGGAAACGGGACGGGGGGAGAGGGGGAAAGAAGAGAAGGAGGACGGCGACACACCCGAGGGCCGUCGACGGGGAGGGAUGUGGAGGCCACGGCUCGAGUUUCUUGGCGGCGGGUCUGGUGGCCUUUCUUGUCCAGCCGCCGGCGGAGGGAGGGGGAGGGGGUCGUGUUUCUUGGCCUCGCUCGUCUCGUUCUUGAUUCGGCGGUGCUGGUUCUUCUCCGGCCACCGGCGGGAAGGGGGAGGGGCGGGGGAGGAGGUUCGUGUUUCUUCGCCUCGCUCGUCUCGUUCUUGAUUCGGCGUUGCAGGUUCUUCUCCGGCCGCCUGGGGUGGGGUGGGGGGAGAGGAGGGGCAGCAGGCCCGUUCUUGACAUGGGAGGUCGCAGUUCUUGUCCUGCCGCCGGGCAGAGGGAGGGGAGGCACCGGCUGGUUCUCGAUUUCGGCCGGUGCCGGUUCUCAUCCUGCUGCCGCUUGCGGAUGUGCCCGUCAAACUACAAUUAAUAUUUCAUACUAAAGUUUUAUAUUGUUUUUAAAUAUUUUCAUCAUACUAAUCUCUUAAGGGAUAUAAUUUUCUAUUUCUUAGAUUUCAUAGUUAACCACAUAGUAAUAUUAUUAAAUAUUCAGUAUAGUUUUUCCGUAACAACUUUCUAAUGUAUAUCGCUGGAAAUGGUGUUCUGUUAAAUUUAGGCUGCACAUUCAUAAGUUAUAUUUAAUUAAAAUAGGAAACUGCAUAAAUGCAUAGUAUAUUAUAUAUAUUUCAGUGUACAUGCAUAUGUUUGUGUAUACUUUGAUAUGAUUAAAUAUUGUGGUAGAGAUUGCUAAAACAUAUUGUCUAACAAAUAUCUUAAUAGUUAUUUCUAGCGUAUUAUAGGUACACAUGUCUAUAGAAAUUUUUAGAGGAUAAACAAAUCUGUUAGAAAAAUGGUUUUUGCAAGCUGUGUUCACUAAUAAGUUCAUACCAUGUGCAUGCUUUGUACUUUGUGCCAACAUUGCAUUGCUUAUAAUACAAGUAAAUAUUGAAGUGCCCUCAAUUCUACUUUUGCAUAAAUAGGAUUUGAUUAUUUGAUACCCUCUUCUAGAAUUCAAUUGGUUUCAUGUGCACACACGAGCUCCAGCCAGUCUCUCAAAUUAAUAAAUAAAUAACAUAUCAAUUCUGUUGUUCCUAGUACAUGCUAUUUUUCCAUGGUGUGGAUCUGCUUCUCCAAAUUGAGUCUUUUAUUAUUUUUACUAGUUUGAACAUAAUAAAUAAUGAUAUACUACUCAUUAUUACUAUCUCCGUCCCAAAAAAAUGACUCAACUUUGUACUAACUUUAGUAUAAAAUUAAUACAAAGUUGAGUAACAUAUUUUGGGACGAAGGGAGUACAAUUUAGUAUUUUGGGCCCUUCUCCUCUCUGGACUCAGGCUGAUUAGAUACGAUGGUGCAGCAAAUUGAUUGGACUCCAAGGUCCAACACAUGGAUACAUUCGAUUUUUUACGUUAUGUUUUUUUUUAUCUAAAGAUUUUUUACGUUAUGUUGGUCCUAGAACCCCACAAAAAUCCAAGAAAUCCAGGAAAUGGGAACACAAUCUAACGGCCAGAAAACCCUACCAUUGAGACCUUCUAAUCGGCGGCUUGUUGGCUAGUUAGGAGUUCUAGCGCCCACUAGCCCGCAGCCAUGGGCUGGCCCAUUAGACCCACAAGCGGUCACUUCGCCAGCAUGCAUUUGGUUCGUAGAUCAAUGGUUGACUAAUUAACCUAUCAACUUUGACUUUUUGUAAAACACAAACAAAGAAAGUUUACAAAAAGAGCAAACAGGAAAAUAUCACGAAUUUAUGAAAAGUUCAUGGAUUUCGAAAAAAUAGUCCACAAUAUCUAAAAAGGUCAUGAAUUUUGUAAAAGAAUUCGUUGUUUUUAAAUAAAUAUUCACAAAUUUUAGAAAAUUCAGGUAUUUGAAAACAAGUCAAUGAUAUUAAAAAAUUCAAGAAUUUGCAAACUAUUCAUGAGUUUUGAUAAAAGAAAUCAUUUAUUUUUUAGAAAAAUCACUGAUUUUGAAAGUAAAUUCACAAAUUUGAACAAGUUUAAGACUUGGAAAAGUCUGUAAGUUCAAAAUAAUUCAAUCACAUGUGCACAUUUCUUUCUGCAAUGAUUUAUAAGAUUAAACAUAGUACUCAAUACUAAGCAAUGAUAUGUAAAACAAAUUAACAUGAGAGGACAAAUUAGUUUGAAGUUGGUUCCUCAUCAACAUCAGAUAAGAUCAUAGGAAUUCUUGUUCGGGUUCCGGCUCCUUGCAUGUUUUUGUCGUAUGGCCCACUCCCUUACACGUUCUGCACCUAACCACCUUUCUACCAGGUUCAAAAACAAUCUCCUAAUUCUCUGCUUCCUGGGUCUGCCUGGAGGCCUUUUUAGAGUUGGUGCGUGUACUUUGCAACCCGAGUGUCUUAUCUAGUGAAUCUGCCAUGGAUGGUACUGACCCAGCAUAUGAUGCCCUAAACAUCUCAAUGUUGUAAUAAUAAUUGGCAUGUGCUUGGAUCUCAGCUCCCCUGAUUGAGCAUCUGAGGGCAAUGCAUGAAGGUAUGGCUUCCCAAAAACUUGCCACACUCUGCAUGAACAUGUCUUAUCUUUUAUGUCUAUGACUUGUAGUGUAUCACGCCCUUGUGAUUCAAGCAUACUUAUCUCUGCUUCAAACUCAUUUCUCCAAGCAACUAUAUGGAUCCCAAUUUUUUUGCUCAAUGCAUUUAGUUGUUUCAUUAUACUUAGCAAGAUUCAGCCUUCCAACCUCCUACUUGUUUGUCCCCUCACAUUAAACUUACCCAUAAUGAGCUCUCUUAUGGAGCCCCUUUAGGUCCUUAAUUUGAUUGCUAUUUUUUUUCUAACCAUGCAAAAGGGCUGCGUAUUUUAAUACAAGAAAGAAAACAGCCUUGAUGCGGCCUGCAACAUUUUAACGGCCCAAACUAAACUGAAACAGGCAACUUGCGAACUUACAACAGCUACCAGUUUGCUCUGGCCCUUAACACUGGCCAGACUCCACAAAUUGUAAACCACUGAGCUUAUUAUCCAUGCCCUGAAGAGCUUCUAGUCAAAACAAGAAGUUCUGAAGAGCUGCAGCCUGACAGUUAAAUUCCGAUAGUUUCUUUCCCUCCAGAUUGACCAAGCUCACAGGAAACAUGGGCUAUAAAAAACCUUUUCUCUUGUUUCCUGAAAUAGAAAGGCGAGCAGAGAGACACCAGUCUUUGAAGCUGUUAUGUUGGGUCCUUCAUUUGAUUGUUAGAACGUUCAGAUAUGUAAUUUAUGAGCUAUUAGCUUCAGAGAACCCACAUCUAUACCAUAAUACUUUGUGGCGAUUCUAAAAACUAUUUCUUCCAUCCCAAAAUAUAAUGUCUAUUAGUUGUUUCAAAAGUCAAACGUGUGCAUGUUUGACCAAGUUUUAGAAAAAAGUACUUCAAUAUUUACAAUAAAAAAUGUGUACCAUCACGAAAAGAAUUUUCUUAUUUUAUUUAUUUUGUAUUAUAGAUGUUAUUUUAUUCUAUAAUCCUGGUCAAAAAUACGUAAGUUUGAUUUGCGCGAAAGUUGAUGCACCUUAUAUUCUGGAACGGAAGGAGUAUAUAGCAAGUGGAUUUGCCGCAUAUAUCUUCUCCAUGUGGUACCUUGAUGAAGAAGUUUGGUGGUGCAGGGUACAAGUGCUGUGUGUACACUUCACCACGAAACUUCUUCAUGAAGUUGCCAUAUCAAUGCCUCAUACACUCCCUAUGUUAACAAUCAUGGAAUGCAUCUGCAAACAGCAGUCUCUAAUCCCUUGUAAGCAUCGGUUGACAUUGUUCGCUGAUAUAUUGGCGAGUUCCUGGUUUUCGUAAAUGGCUGGUCCAGCAUUAAAAAGUAAAUUGUUGAGAACAGAGUUCAUCCUUUUUGAUUUCUUGGGCUUAUUUGUGUUGUGGACCCAGCCGUCGCUUCUCGCUUGUGACUUAGAUGCUUUUUGUAUGGACCAUUGCUUUAUCUAUAAAAGCGGGGCGAAAGCCUACUUCAAGAGUUCAUCCAUCUUUUUUUUACCAAAGAAUCCAUGUUAGGUUGUCUGUAAAGUUGUAAAUUUUAGGAAUUUUUUUCGCUAAGAGAUCUUUUUUUGUUUCUACCCUUGUGAUUUAUAAGACACUAAGUUUUAGUUGUGUGACAUAUUGCAAAGAAUAAAAAAUAAAUCAUUUAGAAAAGGUAUGUAUUAGAUAUUACUUGCAGGCUGAAAAACAUUCGCCUUGAGAGAGGAGUUUUCCAUGCAGAAGAAGGCGUGGUUAUUUGACACUCACGUUGUGUUAUUCUUUGUGACAGGUACUAGAGUCUCUUGAACUGGCUGCCGGGAAAAGAAAAGGUUUCCAUAUUAGAUGUGUGCCUAGUGGAUAUUAGAAAUAACUUGUGUACAUGUAAUUUAGUGCCCCUUGUUCUGUUUUGCUAAAAAAAACAAGAGCACUAGAACCACCUUGCUAAUGUCGGGGUCAACUUGUUUAGGUUUUCGAUCAAGUUUUCCUUAUAAACUAAAUCAACCAAAGCUUAAGGGGUGACUCUUGGCUUUGGCAGCUUUUUGAGCAAUNNNNNNNNNNNNNNNNNNNNNNNNNNNNNNNNNNNNNNNNNNNNNNNNNNNNNNNNNNNNNNNNNNNNNNNNNNNNNNNNNNNNNNNNNNNNNNNNNNNNNNAAGAAAAUUGUUCUGCUCUGCACAUAUUAUGAGAAAUAGACCAAAAUCGGCCGAAAUCGAACCAACAUCAAAAGGCCCGCUGCCCCGUAGGCUUAUUUCUGAGCCUUCUGAUGCACCGGGCCGCCGUGGGCCGUGAGGCCGCGUGGAGCUUUGGCUAUGUCUAAAAAAAGGCUACCUAUGGUUCGAUUGCAUCAUUCUUUAUUCCUUCUAUUCCUCUACUUUUUUUUGCUAGAUCCUAAUAUUCCUCUACUACGCGCAUCUAACUUGCAAGGGUACAACAAGGACUGCAUCAUUCUUUGUUCAUUUUAUUCCUCCACUAUGUAGUAUCUAUCACUGCAAGGCUACAACGGACGAUGACAAAUACCACAUAGAUACGACCCACCAUUUAUUCAGUUACUAGUAGAAUGCCCGUGCGUUGCCACGGGCAUUUUAAAAAUCAAAAAUCUUACUGGCUCAUCAUGAUCAUGAUCUAUUGAAAACAAAUCUGAGUUUUAUGGAUAUAUGAUAUUCCUCAUUGCAAUUAAUGUCACUAAUUUUCUCGAUCCAUCAAUCAUGAGCAAGUGCAAAAGUAAAUGAAUCUAAGUUGAGUGAAAUAAGGAAGGAUCAAACAAACGAAUCAUGCACAUGCCUUAAUCACUUCUUCUCCGCCUGAAAAUGGAACCCAAUACAUUCUGAUGCAACAUUGCAUUGCUCCACGGGAACCGACCAGCCUUCUCACUUGCACUGAGGAGCCCCAUUUGGCCAUUUCUUCCGUCGCCGGCCUCAACAUCACCCUUGAUAUCUCUCCGCCGGCUCUGUUACGAAGCCACGUCCACCAUGUUUCACUGCAUCUUACAUUACUCAUCACCUAACAUAAGUAAGUACUAUUGUUGAAGCAUGCAUACCAAUCGUUACAUCAAAAACAUCCAAGCAUUUGCGAUCCACCACUUUUUCACCCUCCCCUCUCUCCACAAGACGUCUCCCAUACCGCGUCAACAACACUCCCCUCAUCACACGUCUAGCAUGGGUCGCCGCCCCUCACUGGAAUCAACUGAAUAUUAUAAGGGAAAAACUAAAAGCCUGGAAACAUAAACCAAUGCAUCCAUCGACAAAAUAAGCUCUACUUGAUGACAACCAAUGAUGAAAAGCAGAAUUAUUUUGAUCAUAUCCAGUCUGAUAGGAGAUUAUAUGGGUUGCAAAAUCCACACAUAAUCGCACAAGGCAUUCUAAAUUUUUAAAUACCACAAUUAUCAUAAAAAUGAAAAUAAAGCUAGGGAUAUUGAAAAAUAUAAGGCAGUAGCGCUCUAUCUCUCCGGUAUUGUUCAAUGGACAGGGGUGCUCCUAGGCAUUGUUGUUAUCUUGAAAGAAAAUCUGGCUUGAAUGACUUCUUUGGUCAUAGAAAGCGUCGGAGCUCGUUGAACCUACAUAUUGCACCCUUUGUGUUAGUCAAGAUCGAAAAAUAGCUAGGCAUUGGUAAUCAGGAAUGUACCUUUAAAUCAAGUUAUUUGCUCCGUUGAUGUUUGGGUUGAAGUAUUAUCCGAGACUGAUUAGUCGUAAAAGUAUUUGCAUCUGCAGACAACAUAAAAUACAAUAGCAGGAAGCCAAAAGCAAAAUAGUUAAGUGCAUACAAUCAGUGGCAUGUUGCCCCCAGAAAUCCCUAGCAAGAGACACUGGUCUUCUACCCCACAUUACAUAUGUCAAAAGAUAGUACGCAUAAUAUUAACUCAUUUAGUUAUCUAGCUGACCAGAUCAAUUGUAAGCAUUACGUAGUUUUUAUUUCAGUGAAAAGAAAUUUCAUUGAAUAGUGAACAUAACUGGUAUAAAAGAACCAUAAUAUGGGUUGUGCUUAAACCACAAAAGAUUUUUCUAGAAGAUCGGAAUAAAAUACGUGCAAUAACUCACUAAGAAUCUUCUCUGUUCUUACCAUUUAGGGAUACCAACUCUUUGAGUAACGGAGUAAUAAUAGGACAUUGUGUAGCUCAAUUCACGUGAGCUAGAUUGACACACUAUUGCUGCAGCCAGAGGUGAUACGCAAUGGGUGGGGUGAAAUUCUUGACAACAGCCUGCAAUCAAGUAAUGAAGGACCAUUUGAUGACUAUAAACUUGACAGUAAAGACAUCUUUCAACCUUUGGAAAAUGAGAUACGGAUCAAAAAAACCUAUGGCCUCAUCCCGGCCAUUAACAUCAAAACCAUUAUUUUAGAUUUCUUAAGUUGCAACUUAUUUCCUGCAAGUUGCUAUAUGAAGAUAAACCUUACAAUCAGAUUUUUUUCUCGUACCAUAUCAAUAGGGCAUCAUGCAAUAUAACAAAAGAUCGUUCAAGUCUAUCAUGUGUAUUUACGAAAAAGAGCAAAUAUUGCAGUAAAUUUUUGUGAUGAAAUAAUAUAAAAGAGGUUCUAGAACAUACACCUUGGUUUCUUCUAAGCCUCGGUAGAAGCAUGGUUGCUUGCAUUUGAGAUGCAAGGAAGAAAAAAAUGACAUUCCAAAAGGGGAUUUUUUUUGAAACUAUGAUGAUUUUUAUAGCAAAUUCGGAAACUAUACGGACUAAUGCAUAAAAAUCGAAACUAUGACCCCGUCGGCCUUCUGUUGGCUGAAGAGGGACUUUUCGGCCUACCGUUGGCCGAAGAGGGACUUUUCGGCCUACCGUUGGCCGAAGUGGGCUCUUCAGCCUCCCGUUGGCCGAAGAGUGCCCGGCUGGGCCGAAGAGCACUUUCCGGCUUCCCGUUGGACGAAAAGUGUCAGGGGCACAAAACGUAAUUAACAUGACCUCAAAUGAAAAAGUUAUCAACAUGAAAAAUCUCCGUCUCGUCGAAACGGUUGAUUUUGAUAUAAAAAUCAUCUUAAUCCGAGCUCGUAUGCAACGAGUUACUCCGGACAGACCGAAUGGAUGUCAGAAAAUUUGUCACGGGACACCCGGUGCACUCGGUGAUACCGUGUGGAAUAUAGGAGAGUACACAAGUUUGGUCACGUUCACUCUGUGAGACCGAACCAAACCACUCGGAGGCUCCGAAUGGAUCCGAAAAAUUACCAAAGAUUCAUGUCCGAGUUAAAGUAAGGAUUUUUGAUCCGAAAAAUUGUUCGUCUGCACCGGGAAGACUGCUUGCGUACCGCGCUUCCGGCCGGGUCUCCUUCGACGUGAGCUACGGUGCAUCACCCCCAGCGUCAAGGGUACACGGUGACGUUUUUGUGUGCAUCACCCCCGACAUCGAGGGUGCACGGUGACGGGCCUGAGAGGUGACCAUUGCCUUUACCUUGCAUGGUGGAUGACGCCACCGCCGAAAGUUUUCGUCGCAAUUCCUGCCAUCGCAAUAGAGACAUUUCUUCAAUGCCGGCAUGUGUCUUCCCGGUGCAGACGAACAAUGCCCACAUCGAUUUAUGAGGCGGCUGGACUUCCCGUAUAAUAAAAGGACUAAAAAUCUAUCCAAAAAUCUUUGGCAAUUUUUCGAAGCCUCCGAGUGGUUUGGUUCGGUCUCACCGAGUGAACAUGACCAAACUUGUGUACUCUUCUGUAUUCCACACGGUCUCACCGAGGGCACCGGGUGUCCCGUGACAAAUUUUCUGACUUCCAUUCGGUCUGUCCAAAGUAACUCUGCAGCUUCUGCCGCUGACCUUGUUUUGGCUCUACAAGUUGCAUACGACGUCGGAUUAAGACGAUUUUUAUAUCAAAAUCAACCGUUUCGACGAGACGAAGGUUUUUCAUGUUGAUAACUUUUUCAUUUGUGGCCAUCUUAAUUACGUUUUGUGACCCUGACACUUUUCGGCCAACGGGAAGCCGAAAAGUGCUCUUCGGCCCAGCUGGGCACUCUUCGGCCAACGGGAGGCUGAAGAGCCCACUUCGGCCAAUGGUAGGCCGAAAAGUCCCUCUUCGGCCAACAGAAGGCCGACGGGGUCAUAGUUUCGAAUUUGCUAUAAAAAUCAUCAUAGUUUCAAAAAAAAACCCAAAAGGGCACCACAUGCGUCAACUGAUUGAUAAACUCAGAAGCACCUCAACUAACAAAUGAAAAAGGUGUCCUUAAAUAGAAUCUCACAUAUAAAGCUAUAAGCAUAAAUAACAAGCAAUGCAAAAUCAAAAGAAAUAAAAAAUCAGUGAAGCACAUUAUACUUUUACAUUAGAGCCUAUAGAUAUUGCAAAGACAAGAGAAAUGGUCAGCAUGGCAAUAUUGUUCGGUGGUCAAAUAAUCCCAAAAUGAUACAUUGAGAAAUCUAUAUUGGCCUUCCAAUUUAUAGAAGAAUGCGAAAGAAAACUAAGUUAGACUUUUACACAAUGCUCAUUUAACUUGUGACCAAAAAAAUUAUGCCAUCAUAACUCAAUUCUAAUAUAUACAAUUCCCAUGCUGCAGGCAACGUUGUUAUGGGCAACAAUGUAUAUAAAUUGCCCGUGCGUUGCAUCGGGGGCAUACAUAUUCUAAUGGGUCAAUACCAAUGGUGGAUAACAUAUACCUUUAGGACCCUUUUGCACACCAGGUGGCAUUGUUGACUUCUUUACCAUUAACGCAUUGUCGUUCUUCUUCUCCCUGCAGAGCUGGCGGCCGACGGCGACGAGCUCCGCCUUCUUAUUCUCACUGUUGUGGCCGUCCUUAUCGUCCUUGUUGAUUAGCUCCAUCAACAAUCCAUUGUUCUUCUCCACCAUUCUUUAGCACUCUAGCAACUGUAUGGCGAGCUGGUCGUCACUAUUGAUGUUGGAGAAGCCAACAAGGCCAAGAGGUUGUUGAUGUUCGUGCUCUCCUCCCCAUGGUCGUUAUCACCGCUGCUUGGGGUGCCAUUAAUCAACGACAGCCACACUACAAACGCAUUCUUCAUGUUCAUCUCCUUCUCCUAAGUACACUAUAGUCAAGGACAGCCACGACUAUACGAGUGGCAGGAGACAUAUCAGUUUACCUUCAUGUACUUUUCAUCUAUCAUAAUGAAACUUUGAAACUUAUAUUCCAUUUAAUUCUAUUUGGCAUCUAAAACAAUACACGAACAAACUACUCGAGAUCAAAGAGUAGCGCAGUAAAAAUACUACUUACAUCUAAGAGAAAGGCUACAUCAAGUAGUAGAAUCUGCAUGGCAUGUGUGCUAACCUGGUCUGGAUGAUGUGAGUUAACAAUAUUGAACCCCUCUUAUGUGUAUGCUGCCCCUCUCAAACAUCUGCAACCAAAAAUAGAUGAGACCCAUCUAUCAAGACUACAAAAACGAAAGCUGAAACAUGUAAGGGCAUUUGGGCAUCGUACAGAAACACGCUGACCAGUCGCUUUGUUUCAUGAUCAAGAACAAAACAUGAGAGCUUCUCUCAUCAAUUACCUCGGCAGAAGCUUCAUACAUCUCUGAUUUGUCGAGCGCCUUCCACAUUCAUGCGGCUGAAAAACUUCCCGCUCCCUCCCACCCUGUCUUGCGUUGAUGAAGACCCAGGCUGAGCUUUGCUCCACGGCGCACUCACUUCCGGUCAAGUAUACGCCAACAUCGGAAGGGGGAGAUGUUGGAGAUUAAGAGGGGAUUGAGGGAAAUGGAUCCUCACAUCAGUGAGGCGUGCGGUGCAUGUGCAUCUGUGCAGAGUUUGGUCUGGCUACAAAAAAGGAGCAUAAGCAUAUGUCAAAGUAAAAGUAAAAUGAACAUGUACAUUAUACCUAAAUUAUAUUCUCUCCUUCCCUAAGUAAAUAAAUAAAUAUACGGUCCUGCAUAUCGUGUCACAUGUAUUAAGAACCUAGCAUUUUCUGCUCAUGCAUUGGAUCUAAAACUUAAAUUAUGUAAGAAGACCACAGUAAACAAAAACCAAAAGCUUUACUAAGUCGGUCUUGCCUUCAUUACUGUUUCUACCGAUGCUUCCAAUUCCAUACUUCUUCCUACAAUAUUGAAGCAGUCGUUAAACCCUGCAAUAUCAGCAUUGAAAAACAAAUGCAGGACAAAUAAAAACACAAAAGUAAAACAUUCAAGAGAAAUUGCGGUACCAAAUUUGAAUUUUUCAACACUCAGAGCAUGUUUAAACUAUUUGUAUCACACUGUAUAGACUUGCCCAAAAAAUGCUGCAUCCGAAAAACGAUCAGAAAUUCAGAAUGCAAAACCAUGUCAUGCCUGACGCCGUGUCUUAGCUGUACACUGGCGCCACCUCCUCCACAUGUGGUGUUGAGUGGCGCAGGGGACAGAGAGAUGUGAUUCAGGACCAUGGUUCUGCCGAAUCUAUGGUCUAUGCCGUACGAUUUAACAUCUGACUACAUGUGGACCUGUGACAUGCAUGUCAACUGCAUUUUUUAAUCAACCAUGCAUGAUGCAUGAAUCCUCAUGAAUAGUGUUUAGAAAUCAAUGGUGUCGAGCGUAGGUUCGGCUGAACCAUGGUUCCGUAAAACAUUUUCGCAGGUAAAAAGGAGAGGGACCUAUGCAGGCCAUCACACCGGCAAGGGUUACCAAACCAAAUCGAGUAUUAAAUCCGGCAAGACGCGCAUGUUAAGUCAAAGGCAAACCUGCCGUGAUUGAUUCCUUCGCUGGCUGGAUAUGGAAGUGGUGAGUUUUCUCGCCGGCUGGAACUGGAAGCGCUCAAGCAGCGCCAGGCAUGAGAAACCAGUCAUGGCGCUCCUGUUGCGGCGACUGGACUCGUCCUGUUCUGUGUCAAGAUCUCUCGACCUAACCAGUUGCGGCCAAGGGGUGAGGAUGGGAGGCGGAGAGAGGCAGGGGCGCAGGGGGAAAAUAUCCUGUGGAGCUUAGGCUCAUGGACACCCCCUUAUCUAGCCAUCCAAUUCUGCAUCGCGAUUCGUGCAAGUACUUUUCCCUUUUUUGUUUCACUCAUUUAUUUUAACCUAUGAACUUCAAACUUUUCAGCACAACAAAACAUUUUUACUAGAAUAUGGGAAAAAACAUUCAGAUUUUUUCGUGCAUCAUAAAUACUAAAAAUAAGAAUUUUUUAAUUAAAAAAAUAUCAUUUUCUAUAAUUUUUCUUUGACAAAAAAAUUUGAAAGUUUUAUCCAACAUUGUUCUAAGAAUGUUUUAUUGUCCUGGAAAGUUUCAAGUUCACUUGUUGUUUUGUUUUGAAGAAACAAAAAAGAGAAAGUUCUCAUGUAGUAAGUUAGUUGUGUAGCACGGAUCUCAAAGCAACAUUAGAUGCUGAGGAUAGGAGGUGUCCAAGAGCCUGUGCUCUAAAAAUCCGCGUCCGGGCGCAGGGCGCUUGAUUUUGUUUUCGGUAUUGAUGGGUGGAUCGGUGGAUGGUAUAGAGGCGCUGUCACGGCUGGCACGGCUACCCCACCUGCCACGGCGGCCCCACUGGGCAGCGAGACAACCGAGCCACGACCAGACGGGGUUGACGAAGUCAAGGCGCAUGGAGGAGGGGUGCCUAGUGGGCCCGCAUAGUCAGGACGCGUUGCGUGAGUGUGGCCUGCGUGCCGUGGGUAUUACUAGGCGUGGAUGAGAGUGAGUGGUCAUCGAUUAUUAUUGUAUCAACAUUAACCGAGAGAAGCUAAUCUUCUCCACCGGCCUCCUUCGUCCUCCUUCCCCUCCUAUCCCUUCCCCAGAUCUAGAUCGGGACCCUUACAACUUGGUAUCAGAGGUCAAUCAUCCUGGAUCCACUCUACCAGAAGCCCCGCUACCACACCAAAGCAGCGCAGCACGCGGCAACCAUGGAAGAGCAGAUCGCAGCCCUGGCGAAGGCGGUCCACGACGGGCGCGCCGCCAACGACGCCCGUCUCGACGCGAUCCAGCAGUCGCUCGAGCUCUGGCGGCCGUCGGUGACCAACCUGCAGCAGCAACUCGACGAGCUGCGUACCCAGGUCGGCCGGAUCGCCCUCCACCCCAUGCUGACUGCGUCUUCGACAUCUCCUGAGGACGCGGUGGUGCAGCCGGCGUCAUCUCCUCCGACCGACGACCCUGGGCACCACGGGUCAAGUGGCCACAGCAGGAACGUCGACUCCGGGGGCUCGGCACACGGGGUAGUCACUACCCUGGUGCCGCCUCCGGUCACGGGUGAGCCUCUCCGGCCCCCUUUUCCUUUGAAAUCCGGCGAAUUGGGCUGGGAUCUGGCACAUCCUGUUGAUCUUCCACCUCAGUCGCCUCACGUUUCUUUCGGGGGACACGGCAAUUGGGCCCUUCCGCGGCUUGAUUUUCCAUCCUUCGAUGGCGAAAACCCCCAAUUCUGGAAAAACAAAUGUGAAAAAUAUUUCAGUGUUUAUGGAGUUCAGAGAGAGAUGUGGGUGCGGGUAUCUACUCUCCAUUUCGAGGGUAAUGCCGUGUGUUGGCUGCAUGUGCAGGAAGCACACGACACCUCCUUCACCUGGGAGACGCUUUGUUCAGUCGUGUGUGCCAAAUUUGGCCUUGAACAGUACCAAGUUUAGCUUAGGCAGUUUAAUACUCUUCGUCGGAUAGGGUCGGUUACAGAGUACAUGGAACAAUUUGAGGAACACAUGCAUCAGUUGUUAGCUCAUAACCCUGCUUUUGAUCCGUUGUUCUUCACUACGCAAUUCCUUGAUGGUCUCAAAACCGACAUUAAAGUAGGUGUUGCUUUACAUCGCCCGCAAGACUUGGACUCCACCUUUUCUCUUUCUCUGUUACAGGAGGAGCUGAUGGGACUGAUGCCCCGGAAGGACCCAGGCCAGGCGAGACACCCCGCUCGUCCACUGCCAGCUGCGGGUGGAUUACAUCCCCGCCCGGUGCCACCCGCGCCUCCAGCAGCGGCAGAAGAUCGUCGGGCUUUGGACGCGGCUUGGGCAGCUGACCGGCGCGCUAAACCAGCACCAGGCGAGGACCGCGUCACCGCACUGCGCAAUUACCGUCGCGCGCGCGGUCUCUACUUCAAGUGCGGGGAACGAUGGGGGCAGGGCCAUCAGUGCGCUGCCACCGUCCAACUCCAUGUUGUCGAAGAGUUGUUGGAGAUGUUGCAGGCCGAAGCGCAAGACAGGCAAGGGACUGAGUUAGAUUCUGAUGAGGAACAACUCAUGUCCAUCUCCAAGGUUGCGACCACCGGGGCAACAACCCCGCGAACUGUUCGGUUGCUGGGUUUGAUCAAUGGCCACGAGGUGCUGAUCCUGGUGGACUCAGGUAGCUCGCAUAGUUUCAUCAGUGAGGAAACAACUCAGAAACUGAAAGCACAAGUUCAGUUGAUGCAGCCCGUGUCAGUAAAGAUUGUACACGGAGGCACCUUGACUUGUUUUGGAUACAUACCUGCUUGUGAGACAACACAAGGGCAGCGGUUCGAGACUGAUGUCAGAGUUCUCCCUCUCGGUUCUUAUGACAUGGUGGUGGGAAUGGAUUGGUUAGAAGCAUGCGGACCUAUGUUGGUCGAUUGGACAGCAAAAACGCUGCAGUUUCAGCAUCGGGGAGCAUCUAUCACCCUGGUAGGAUUGCAGCCCAAGCUUCAGCAAGUUGAGCAAGUGACAAUGGAUCAGUUACUCAGGCUGGAGCAAAGUAAUUCUAUUGCGCAUGUGAUAUCACUGUGUGCAAUCGAUCGCUCAGACAAAGCCACAGAAGUGCCUCCAGCCAUUCAACAUGUCAUCGACAGUUUCCACUCAGUGUUUGCAGAGCCAUCCAAGUUGCCCGAUCGUCAACCAUGGGACCAUACUAUUCCUCUACUUGAAGGGGUCAAACCGAUCAACAUCAGACCGUAUCGCUACACUCCUGAACAGAAAGACGAGAUAGAAGCUCGGGUCAAGGAGAUGUUGGAAAAAGGGCUCAUCACACCUAGUACGAGUGCAUUUUCAUCGCCCGUGCUGCUGGUCAAGAAGAAGGACCAAACAUGGCGUUUCUGUGUCGAUUACCGUCAUCUCAACACCAUCACUGUCAAGAAAACCUACCCGAUGCCUGUGAUCGACGAGCUGCUCGACGAGUUGGCUGGUUCUAAGUGGUUCUCGAAGUUGGAUUUGCGAGCCGGAUAUCAUCAAAUCCGCUUGGUCCCGGAGGAUGAGCACAAGACAGCAUUCCGAACGCACUUGGGGCACUUUCAGUUCAGAGUGAUGCCGUACGGCCUCGCGUACGCUCUUGCAACUUUCCAAGGGGUGGUCGACACCGUGCUUAAGCCAGUUCUUCGCCACGGGGUUUUGGCAUUCAUGGACGACAUCUUAAUCCACUCUGAAGAGCUGGAAGUGCAUCGACAGCUACUGAAACGCGUCUUGCAGCUAUUGGCCGAGAAAGAUCUCAAGGCCAAGAUGUCCAAAUGCACGUUUUCCCAACAGGAAAUCAGUUACCUGGGACACGUAAUCAGUGACAAGGGGGUGGCCAUAGACAAGAGCAAGAUCCAAGUAGUGCAAGAAUGGCCGCAGCCGCAGAAUGUCAAAGAGUUACGUGGAUUCUUUGGGUUAGCAGGUUAUUAUCGGAAAUUUGUUCGCUUCUUUGGAGUACUCAGCAAACCCCUCACUGAAAUGCUGAAGAAAGGGGCGAUCUUCAUCUGGACACCAACGACCGAGGCCGCGUUCUCUACGCUGAAACAAGCCUUGGUGCAGGCCCCAGUGCUCGCACUGCCAUAUUUUCGAAAGCAAUUUGUCGUAGAAACGGACGCGAGUGCCACGGGAAUUGGCGCAGUUCUGAUGCAAGGAGGACAUCCCGUUGCGUAUCUCAGCAAAGCAUUGGCUCCACGAAACCUAGGCCUCUCGGCGUACGAGAAAGAAUGCCUGGCUCUACUUCUGGCCAUCGACCACUGGCGGCCCUACCGGCAACAUUUAGAGUUCAUGGUCCGCACAGAUCAAAAAAGUCUGUUGAAUCUGACGGAUCAAUGACUCAAUACCCCAGUUCAACAACAGGCGUUUACAAAGCUGAUUGGCCUGCAAUACACAAUCCAGUACAAAACGGGGGUGACAAAUCGAGCGGCAGACGCGCUGUCCCGAUGCGAGCACAAGCCAGAAUCAGAGAUGGCCGCAAUCUCCAUAUGUAAACCUAAGUGGUUAGAAGCUAUCAAGCACAGUUACCAGGCAGAUCCAGCGGCGCAGCAACGUAUGACAAAGCUAGCCCUGGCACCGGACAGUGAGCCCGAUUACACCUUGCAGGAUGGCAUCCUGCGCUUCCGAGGGAGAGUGUGGAUUGGUGAAGAUACUGACACCCAACAACACCUGAUUCGAGCGCUUCAUGACAGUGCCGCGGGUGGCCAUUCGGGCUUCCAUGCCACCGACAACAGGGUCAAGCGAUUGUUCACGUGGAAAGGAAUGAAGCUGUAGGUCAAGACCCUGGUGCGCAACUGUAUGGUGUGCCAGCAAGCGAAAACGGAGCGCAUCUCACCAGCAGGGCUCCUUCAACCGUUUCCAAUACCUCAAAAACCAUGGUUAGUUAUCUCACUCGAUUUCAUUGAGAGGUUGCCUCGGUCAGGAGGGUACGACAUGGUUUUGGUAGUGGUUGACAAGUUCUCCAAAUACGCGCAUUUUGUGCCCCUGACUCACCCAUUCACGGCUCUCCAAAUUGCCAAAGUCUUUAUGGAGUAAAUCUUCCGACUCCACGGCUUGCCACUAGCCAUCAUAUCAGAUCGGGACCGUAUAUUUACAGGGCAUGUGUGGCAGGAACUGUUCAAACUCUGCCGGACGGACCUGCGUCUCAGUUCAUCAUACCACCCCAGCAAACCGAAUGCGUCAAUCAGUGCCUGGAAGGAUACCUAAGGUGCGCCGUGCACUCCUGCCCUGGCAAUUAGUCAAAAUGGCUGUCUCUCGCGGAAUAAUGGUAUAAUACAUCCUUUCAUUCGGCUCUGGGCAAGACUCCAUUCGAGGUCAUCUACGACCACCUUCCCUAAGAGUUUGGCGUCGCACAGAUCGACGAGUGCGCAGUCCCUGAUCUUGCAGCAUGGCUCCAGGAAAGAGAAGUGAUGCUUGAACACUUGCAGCAACAGCUCAAGCGCGCACAGGAUCGCAUGAAGGUUCAGGCCGAUCGACACCGUACAGACAGAGAGUUUGCCGUUGGGGAUGCUGUGCUGCUCAAGCUACAGCCGUUCAUCCAAUCAUCAGUGGCGCAACGACGAACCAGAAGCUCGCCUUACGCUACUAUGGGCCAUACAGAGUGUUGGCUCGAAUCGGGGCAGUGGCAUACAAACUACAACUGCCUGCUUCCAGCCGCAUCCACCCUGUGGUGCAUGUCUCACAACUGAAGAAGGCCUCUGGAGCUACUGUGCCAGUAAGUGUUGAUCUACCUCCAAAUAACUCAAUUUUGCAGGCAGAACAUGUUCCGGAGCUGGUGCUUGACCACAAGAUGGUGCGUGUGGCCGGGGACAUCCGCCCUCGCAUCCGGGUGCAAAGGAGCCACCUUCCCCCGUCGCUGCCAACAUGGGAAGACCCAUUGGCGCUGCAGCAGCGAUUUCCCUCUACACCACCUUGGGGACAAGUCGGCACACAAGCGGGGGGGAUGUCACGGCUGGCACGGCUACCCCACCUGCCAUGGUGGCCCCACUGGGCAGCGAGACAACCGAGCCACGACCAGACGGGGUUGACGAAGUCAAGGCGCAUGGAGGAGGUGUGACCAGUGGGCCCGCAUAGUCAGGACAUGAUGCAUGAGUGUGGCCUGUGUGCCGUGGGUAUUACUAGGCGUGGAUGAGAGUGAGUGGUCAUCGAUUAUUAUUGUAUCAACAUUAACCGAGAGAAGCUGAUCUUCUCCACCGGCCUCGUGUUGGGGAACAUAGUAAUUUCAAAAAAUAUCCUACGCACACACAUGAUCAUGGUGAUGCAUAGCAACGAGAGGGGAGAGUGUUGUCCACGUACCCUCGUAGACCGAAAGCGGAAGCUUUAAAACAACGCGGUUGCUGUAGUCAUACGUCUUCACGAUCCGACCGAUCAAGUACCGAACGUAUGGCACCUUCGAGUUCAGCACACGUUCAGCUCGAUGACGUCCCGCGAACUCCGAUCCUGCAGACCUUCACGGGAGAGUUCCGUCAGCACGACGGCGUGGUGACGGUGAUGAUGUUGCUACCGACGCAGGGCUUCGCCUAAGCACCGCUACGAUAUGACCGAGGUGGAAUAUGGUGGAGGGGGGCACCGCACACGGCUGGAAUAGAUCAAUAGAUCAACUUGUGUGUCUAGAGGUGCCCCCCUGCCCCCGUAUAUAAAGGAACAAGGGGGGAGAGGCGGCCGGCUAGGGAGGGCGCGCUAAGGGGGGAGUCCUACUCCCACCGGGAGUAGGACUCCUCCUUUCCUAGUAGGAGUAGGAGAAGGGGGGAAGGAGGAGGUGGAGAGAAGGAAGGAGAGGGAGGCCGCCACCCCCUUCCCUUGUCCAAUUCGGACUAGGGCAAGGGGGGGGGCCGCGCGCCACCUCCUGGCUGCCCUCUCUGUUCUCCACUAAGGCCCAAUCGGCCCAUUACUUCCCCGGGGGGUUCCGGUAACCCCCGGCACUCCGGUAAAAUCCCGAUUUCACUCGGAACACUUCCGAUAUCCAAAUAUAGGCUUCCAAUAUAUCAAUCGUUAUGUCUCGACCAUUUCGAGACUCCUCGUCAUGUCCGUGAUCAUAUCCGGGACUCCGAACUACCUUCGGUACAUCAAAACACAAAACUCAUAAUACUGAUCGUCAUCUAACUUUAAGCGUGCGGACCCUACGGGUUCGAGAACUAUGUAGACAUGACCGAGACACGUCUCCGGUCAAUAACCAAUAGAGGAACCUGGAUGCUCAUAUUGGCUCCUACAUAUUCUACGGAGAUCGUUAUCGGUCAAACCGCAUAACAACAUACAUUGUUCCCUUUGUCAUCGGUAUGUUACUUGCCCGAGAUUCGAUCGUCGGUAUCUCAAUACCUAGUUCAAUCUCGUUACCGGCAAGUCUCUUUACUCGUUCUGUAAUGCAUCAUCCCGUAACUAACUCAUUUGUCACAUUGCUUGCAAGGCUUAUAGUGAUGUGCAUUACCGAGAGGGCCCAGAGAUACCUCCCCGACAAUCGGAGUGACAAAUCCUAAUCUUGAAAUACGCCAACUCAACAAGUACCUUCGGAGACACCUGUAGAGCACCUUUAUAAUCACCCAGUUACGUUGUGACGUUUGGUGGCACACAAAGUGUUCGUCCGGUAAACGGGAGUUGCAUAAUCUCAUAGUCAUAGGAACAUGUAUAAGUCAUGAAGAAAGCAAUAGCAUCAUACUAAACGAUCAAGUGCUAAGCUAACGGAAUGGGUCAAGUCAAUCACAUCAUUCUUCUAAUGAUGUGAUCCCGUUAAUCAAAUGACAACUCAUGUCCAUGGCUAGGAAACUCAACCAUCUUCGAUUAACGAGCUAGUUAAGUAGAGGCAUACUAGUGACAUUAUGUUUGUCUAUGUAUUCACACAUGUAUUAUGUUUCCGGUUAAUACAAUUCUAGCAUGAAUAAUAAACAUUUAUCAUGAUAUGAGGAAAUAAAUAAUAACUUUAUUAUUGCCUCUAGGGCAUAUUUCCUUCAGUCUCCCACUUGCACUAGAGUCAAUAAUCUGGAUUAUACAGUAAUGAUUCUAACACCCAUGGAGUUUUGGUGUUAAUCUUGUUUUGCUCGUGGAAGAGGCUUAGUCAAUGGGUCUGCAAUAUUCAGAUCCGUAUGUAUCUUGCAAAUCUCUAUGUCUCCCACCUGGACUUGGUCCCGGAUGGAAUUGAAGCGUCUCUUGAUGUGCUUGGUCCUCUUGUGAAAUCUGGAUUCCUUUGCCAAGGCAAUUGCACCAGUAUUGUCACAGAAGAUUUUCAUUGGACCCGAUGCACUAGGUAUGACACCUAGAUCGGAUAUGAACUCCUUCAUCCAGACUCCUUCAUUUGCUGCUUCCAAAGCAGCUAUGUACUCUGCUUCACACGUAGAUCCCGCCACGAUGCUUUGUUUAGAACUGCACCAACUGACAGCUCCACCGUUCAAUGUAAACACGUAUCUGGUUUGCGAUUUAGAAUCGUCCGGAUCAGUGUCAAAGCUUGCAUCAACGUAACCAUUUACGACUAGCUCUUUGUCACCUCCAUAAACGAGAAACAUAUCCUUAGUCCUUUUUAGGUAUUUCAGGAUGUUCUUGACCGCUGUCUAGUGAUCCACUCGUGGAUUACUUUGGUACCUCCCUGCUAGGCUAAUAGCAAGACACACAUUAGGUCCGGUACACAGCAUUGCAUACAUGAUAGAGCCUAUGGCUAAAGCAUAGGGAACACCUUUCAUUUUCUCUCUAUCUUCUGCAGUGGUCGGGCAUUGAGUCUGACUCAACUUCACACCUUGUAACACAGGAAAGAACCCUUUCUUUGCUUGAUCCAUUUUGAACUUCUUCAAAACUUUGUCAAGGUAUGUGCUUUGUGAAAGUCCUAUCAAGCGUCUUGAUCUAUCUCUAUAGAUCUUGAUGCCUAAUAUGUAAGCAGCUUCACCGAGGUCUUUCAUAGAAAAACUCUUAUUCAAAUAUCCUUUUAUGUUGUCCAGAAAUUCUAUAUCAUUUCCAAUCAGCAAUAUGUCAUCCACAUAUAAUAUCAAAAAUGCUACAGAGCUCCCACUCACUUUCUUGUAAAUACAGGCUUCUCCAAGAGUCUAUAUAAAACCAUAUGCUUUGAUCACACUAUCAAAACGUUUAUUCCAACUCCGAGAGGCUUGCACCAGUCUAUAAAUGGAUCGCUGGAGCUUGCACACCUUGUUAGCUCCCUUUGGACCGAGGUCUUUCAUAGAAAACCUUCUGGUUGCAUCAUAUACAACUCUUCUUCCAGAAAUCCAUUCAGGAAUGCAGUUUCGACAUCCAUCUGCCAAAUUUCAUAAUCAUAAAAUGCGGCAAUUGCUAACAUGAUUCGGACAGACUUAAGCAUCGCUACGGGUGAGAAAGUCUCAUCGUAGUCAAUCCCUUGAACUUGUCGAAAACCUUUCGCAACAAGUCGAGCUUUAUAGACAGUAACAUUACCGUCAGCGUCAGUCUUCUUCUUGAAGAUCCAAUUAUUCUCAAUGGCUUGCCGAUCAUCGGGCAAGUCAACCAAAGUCCACACUUUGUUCUCAUACAUGGAUCCCAUCUCAGAUUUCAUGGCCUCAAGCCAUUUUGCGGAAUCUGGGCUCACCAUCGCUUGUUCAUAGUUCGUAGGUUCGCCUUGGUCAAGUAACAUGACCUCCAGAAUAGGAUUACCGUACCACUCUGGUGCGGAUCUUACUCUGGUUGACCUACGAGGUUCAGUAGUAACUUGAUCUGAAGUUUCAUGAUCAAUAUCAUUAGCUUCCUCACUAAUUGGUGUAGGUUUCAUAGGAACCGGUUUCUAUGAUGAACUACUUUCCAAUAAGGGAGAAGGUACAGUUACCUCAUCAAGUUCUACUUUCCUCCCACUCACUUCUUUCGAGAGAAAGUCCUUCUCUAGAAAGGAUCCAUUCUUAGCAACGAAUGUCUUGCCUUCGGAUCUGUGAGAGAAGGUGUACCCAACAGUUUCCUUUGGGUAUCCUAUGAAGACACAUUUCUCCAAUUUGGGUUUGAGCUUAUCAGGUUGAAGCUUUUUCACAUAAGCAUCGCAGCCCCAAACUUUAAUAAACGACAACUUUGGUUUCUUGCCAAACCACAGUUCAUAAGGCGUCGUCUCAACGGAUUUCGAUGGUGCCCUAUUUAACGUGAAUGCAGCCGUCUCUAAAGCAUAACCCCAAAAUGAUAGCGGUAAAUCAGUAAGAGACACCAUAGAUCGCACGAUAUCUAGUAAAGUAUGAUUACAACGUUCAGACACACCAUUACGUUGUGGUGUUCCGGGUGGCGUGAGUUGCGGAACUAUUCCGCAUUGUUUCAAAUGUAGACCAAACUCGUAACUCAAAUAUUCUCCUCCACGAUCAGAUCAUAGAAACUUUAUUUUCUUAUUACGAUGAUUUUCCACUUCACUCUGAAAUUCUUUGAACUUUUCAAAUGUUUCAGACUUAUGUUUCAUUAAGUAGAUAUACCCAUAUCUGCUCAAAUCAUCUGUGAAGGUGAGAAAAUAACGAUACCCGCCACGAGCCUCAACAUUCAUCAGACCACAUACAUCAGUAUGUAUGAUCACCAACAAAUCUAUUGCUCGCUCCAUUGUUCCGGAGAACAGCGUUUUAGUCAUCUUGCCCAUAAGUCAUGGUUCGCAAGUACCAAGUGAUUCAUAAUCAAGUGAUUCCAAAAGUCCAUCAGUAUGGAGUUUCUUCAUGCGCUUUACACCAAUAUGACCCAAACGGCAGUGCCACAAAUAAGUUGCACUAUCAUUAUCAACUCUACAUCUUUUGGCUUCAACAUUAUGAAUAUGUGUAUCACUACUAUCGAGAUUCAACAAAAAUAGACCACUCUUCAAGGGUGCAUGACCAUAAAAGAUAUUACUCAUAUAAAUAGAACAGCCAUUAUUCUCAGAUUUAAAUGAAUAACCGUCUCGCAUCAAACAAGAUCCAGAUAUAAUGUUCAUGCUUAACGCUGGCACCAAAUAACAAUUAUUUAGGUCUAAAACUAAUCCCGAAGGUAGAUGUAGAGGUAGCGUGCCGACAGCGAUCACAUCGACUUUGGAACCAUUUCCCACGCGCAUCGUCACCUCAUCCUUAGCCAGGUCUUCGCUUAAUCCGUAGUCCCUAUUUCGAGUUGCAAAUAUUAGCAACAGAACUAGUAUCAAAUACCCAGGUGCUAUUGCGAGCUCUAGUAAGGUACACAUCAAUAACAUAUAUAUCACUUAUACCUUUGUUCACCUUGCCAUCCUUCUUAUCCGCCAAAUACUUGGGGCAGUUCCGCUUCCAGUGACCAGUCUACUUGCAGUAGAAGCACUCAGUCUCAGGUUUAGGUCCAGACUUGGGUUUCUUCUCUUGAGCAGCAACUUGUUUGCUAUUCUUUUUGAAGUUCCCCUUCUUCUUCCCUUUGCCCUUUUUCUUAAAACUGGUGGUCUUGUUGACCAUCAACACUUGAUGCUCCUUCUUGAUUUCUACCUCCGCAACUUUUAGCAUUGCGAAGAGCUCGGGAAUUGUCUUAUCCAUCCCUUGCAUAUUAUAGUUCAUCACGAAGCUCUUGUAGCUUGGUGGCAGUGAUUGAAGAAUUCUGUCAAUGACACUAUCAUCCGGAAGAUUAACUCCCAGUUGAAUCAAGUGAUUGCAGUACCCAGACAUUCUGAGUAUAUUUUCACUGACAGAACUAUUCUCUUCCAUUUUGCAGCUGUAGAACUUAUUGGAGACUUCAUAUCUCUCAAUCCGGGCAUUUGCUUGAAAUAUUGACUUCAACUCCUGGAACAUCUCAUAUGCUCCAUGACGUUCAAAACGUCAUUGAAGUCCCGGUUCUCAGCCGUAAAGCAUGGCACACUGAACUAUCGAGUAGUCAUCAACACGCGACUGCCAGGCAUUCACAAUGUCUGCAGUUGCCGGCGCAGGUGGUACACCUAGCGGUGCUUCCAGGACGUAAUUGUUCUGUGCAGCAAUGAGGAUAAUCCUCAAGUUACGGACCCAGUCCGUGUAAUUGCUACCAUCAUCUUUCAACUUUGCUUUCUAAAGGAACGCAUUAAAAUUCAACAGAACAACAGCACGGGCCAUCUAUCUACAAUCAACAAAGUCAAGCAAAAUACUAUCAGGUACUAAGUUCAUGAUAAAUUUAAGUUCAAUUAAUCAUAUUACUUAAGAACUCCCACUUAGAUAGACAUCCCUCUAAUCAUCUAUGUGAUCACGUGAUCCAAAUCAACUAAACCAUUUUCGAUCAUCACGUGAGAUAGAGUAGGUUUCAAUGGUGCACAUCACUAUGUUGAUCAUAUCUACUAUAUGAUUCACGCUCGACCUUUCGGUCUCAGUGUUCCGAGGCCAUAUCUGCAUAUGCUAGGCUCGUCAAGUUUAACCUGAGUAUUUUGCGUGUGCAAAAACUGGCUUGCACCCGUUGUAGAUGAAUGUAGAGCUUAUCACACCCGAUCAUCACGUGGUGUCUCGGCACGACGAACUUUGGCAACGGUGCAUACUCAGGGAGAACACCUUUAUCUUCAAAUUUAGUGAGAGAUCAUCCUAUAAUGCUACCGUCAACCGAAGCAAAAUAAGAUGCAUAAAAGAUAAACAUCACAUGCAAUCAAUAUAAGUGAUAUGAUAUGGCCAUCAUCAUCUUGUGCUUGUGAUCUCAAUCUCCGAAGCACCGUCAUGAUCACCAUCGUCACCGGCGCGACACCUUGAUCUCCAACGUAGCAUUGUUGUCGUCUCGCCAACUAUUGCUUCUACGACUAUCGCUACCGCUUAGUGAUAAAGUAAAGCAAUUACAGGGCGAUUGCAUUGCAUACAAUGAAGUGACAACCAUAUGGCUCCUGCCAGUUGCCGAUAACUCGGUUACAAAACAUGAUCAUCUCAUACAAUAGAAUAUAGCAUCAUGCCUUGACCAUAUCACAUCACAACAUGCCCUGCAAAAACAAGUUAGACGUCCUCUACUUUGUUGUUGCAAGUUUUACGUGGCUGCUACGGGCUGAGCAAGAACUGUUCUUACCUACGCAUCAAAACCACAAUGUUAGUUCGUCAAGUUAGUGUUGUUUUAACCUUCUCAAGGACCGGGCGUAGCCACACUCGGUUCAACUAAAGUUGGAGAAACUGACACCCGCCAGCCACCUAUGUGCAAAGCACGUCGGUAGAACCAGUCUCGCGUAAGCGUACGCGUAAUGUCGGUCCGGGCCGCUUCAUCCAACAAUACCGCCGAACCAAAGAAUGACAUGCUGGUAAGCAGUAUGACUUGUACCGUCCACAACUCACUUGUGUUCUACUCGUGCAUAUAACAUCUACGCAUAAAACCUGGCUCGGAUGCCACUAUUGGGGAACGUAGUAAAUUCAAAAAAAUUCCUACGCACACACAGGAUCAUGGUGAUGCAUAGCAAUGAGAGGGGAGAAUGUUGUCCACGUACCCUCGUAGACCGAAAGCGGAAGUGUUAGCACAACGCAGUUGAUGUAGUCGUACGUCUUCACGAUCCAACCGAUCCAAGUACCGAACGUACGGCACCUCCGAGUCCAGCACACGUUCAGCUCGAUGACGUCCCGCGAACUCCGAUCCAGCAGAGCUUCACGGGAGAGUUCCGUCAGCACGACGGCGUGGUGACAGUGAUGAUGUUGCUACCGACGCAGGGCUUCACCUAAGCACCGCUACGAUAUGACUGCUACCUCUUGAGCACUGCGUUGGUUUUCCCUUGAAGAGGAAAGGGUGAUGCAGCAAAGUAGCGUAAGUAUUUCCCUCAGUUUUUGAGAACCAAGGUAUCAAUCCAGUAGGAGGCUACGCGCGAGUCCCUCGCACCUACACAAAACAAAUAAAUCCUCGCAACCAACGCGAUAAGGGGUUGUUAAUCACUACACGGUCACUUACAAGAGUGAGAUCUGAUAGAUAUGAUAAGAUAAUAUUUUGGUAUUUUUAUGAUAAAGAUGCAAAUUAAAAUAAAAGCAAAGGAAAAUAACUAAGUAUUGGAAGAUUAAUAUGAUGGAAAAUAGACCCCGGGGCCAUAGGUUUCACUAAUGGCUUCUCUCAUGAGCAUAAGUAUUUUACGGUGGGUGAGCAAAUUACUGUUGAGCAAUUGACAGAAUUUAGCAUAGUUAUGAGAAUAUCUAGGUAUGAUCAUGUAUAUAGGCAUCACGUCUGAGACAAGUAAACCGACUCCUACCUGCAUCUACUACUAUUACUCCACACAUCGACCGCUAUCCAGCAUGCAUCUAGAGUAUUAAGUUCAUAAGAACAGAGUAACGCCUUAAGCAAGAUGACAUGAUGUAGAGGGAUAAAUUCAUGCAAUAUGAUAAAAAACCCAUCUUGUUAUCCUCGAUGGCAACAAUACAAUACGUGCCUUGCUGCCCCUGCUGUCACUGGGAAAGGACACCGCAAGAUUGAACCCAAAGCUAAGCACUUCUCCCAUUGCAAGAAAGAUCAAUCUAGUAGGCCAAACCAAACUGAUAAUUCGAAGAGACUUGCAAAGAUAACCAAUCAUACAUAAAAGAAUUCAGAGAAGAUUCAAAUAUUGUUCAUAGAUAAACUUGAUCAUAAACCCACAAUUCAUCGGUCUCAACAAACACACCGCAAAAAGAAGGUUACAUCGAAUAGAUCUCCAUGAGAGAGGGGGAGAACAUUGUAUUGAGAUCCAAAAAGAGAGAAGAAGCAAUCUAGCUAAUAACUAUGGACCCGAAGGUCUGAGGUAAACUACUCACACUUCAUCGGAGGGGCCAUGGUGUUGAUGUAGAAGCCCUCCGUGAUCGACGCCCCUUCCGGCGGAGCUCCGGAACAGGCCCCAAGAUGGGAUCUCGUGGGUACAGAAGGUUGCGGCGGUGGAAUUAGGUUUUUGGCUCCGUAUCUGAUCGUUUGGGGGUACGUAGGUAUAUAUAGGAGGAACACUACUGGAAUUAGCUUAUUUGCCGUCUGCCAGUUCUUUACCGUCUGCUAGCUGACGGCAAAGAAGGUCUUUGCCGUCCGCUUAUAAAAAACGGACGACAAAGAACUGGCUGAUGGCAAAGAAGGAUUUUGCCAUCAGCCAGUUCUUUGCCGUCCGCUAGCUCACGACAAAGAUUCUUUGCCGUCAGCUGGCUGACGGCAAAGUGAGAGGUGGCCCCACUUACGAGCUGAUUAGAUAAAACUUAACAGCUCCCCUCUUUGCCGUCCGCUAGCGGACGACAAAGAGAGAAAAAUAGCGGACGGCAAAGACCUAACUUCACUAACCUAACUAACGGCCGAGCCCCCCACCCCCUUCCUCUCUGUUUCUCUCCACGAACAGAUCGACCCCCCGCCGCGUGGCGCCACCCCCCCACCCGCCGCCACUCGCCGCAGCCUACCCUGUCGCCCCACCACCCCGCCACCGCCACCGCCACCGCCGCCNNNNNNNNNNNNNNNNNNNNNNNNNNNNNNNNNNNNNNNNNNNNNNNNNNNNNNNNNNNNNNNNNNNNNNNNNNNNNNNNNNNNNNNNNNNNNNNNNNNNNNNNNNNNNNNNNNNNNNNNNNNNNNNNNNNNNNNNNNNNNNNNNNNNNNNNNNNNNNNNNNNNNNNNNNNNNNNNNNNNNNNNNNNNNNNNNNNNNNNNNNNNNNNNNNNNNNNNNNNNNNNNNNNNNNNNNNNNNNNNNNNNNNNNNNNNNNNNNNNNNNNNNNNNNNNNNNNNNNNNNNNNNNNNNNNNNNNNNNNNNNNNNNNNNNNNNNNNNNNNNNNNNNNNNNNNNNNNNNNNNNNNNNNNNNNNNNNNNNNNNNNNNNNNNNNNNNNNNNNNNNNNNNNNNNNNNNNNNNNNNNNNNNNNNNNNNNNNNNNNNNNNNNNNNNNNNNNNNNNNNNNNNNNNNNNNNNNNNNNNNNNNNNNNNNNNNNNNNNNNNNNNNNNNNNNNNNNNNNNNNNNNNNNNNNNNNNNNNNNNNNNNNNNNNNNNNNNNNNNNNNNNNNNNNNNNNNNNNNNNNNNNNNNNNNNNNNNNNNNNNNNNNNNNNNNNNNNNNNNNNNNNNNNNNNNNNNNNNNNNNNNNNNNNNNNNNNNNNNNNNNNNNNNNNNNNNNNNNNNNNNNNNNNNNNNNNNNNNNNNNNNNNNNNNNNNNNNNNNNNNNNNNNNNNNNNNNNNNNNNNNNNNNNNNNNNNNNNNNNNNNNNNNNNNNNNNNNNNNNNNNNNNNNNNNNNNNNNNNNNNNNNNNNNNNNNNNNNNNNNNNNNNNNNNNNNNNNNNNNNNNNNNNNNNNNNNNNNNNNNNNNNNNNNNNNNNNNNNNNNNNNNNNNNNNNNNNNNNNNNNNNNNNNNNNNNNNNNNNNNNNNNNNNNNNNNNNNNNNNNNNNNNNNNNNNNNNNNNNNNNNNNNNNNNNNNNNNNNNNNNNNNNNNNNNNNNNNNNNNNNNNNNNNNNNNNNNNNNNNNNNNNNNNNNNNNNNNNNNNNNNNNNNNNNNNNNNNNNNNNNNNNNNNNNNNNNNNNNNNNNNNNNNNNNNNNNNNNNNNNNNNNNNNNNNNNNNNNNNNNNNNNNNNNNNNNNNNNNNNNNNNNNNNNNNNNNNNNNNNNNNNNNNNNNNNNNNNNNNNNNNNNNNNNNNNNNNNNNNNNNNNNNNNNNNNNNNNNNNNNNNNNNNNNNNNNNNNNNNNNNNNNNNNNNNNNNNNNNNNNNNNNNNNNNNNNNNNNNNNNNNNNNNNNNNNNNNNNNNNNNNNNNNNNNNNNNNNNNNNNNNNNNNNNNNNNNNNNNNNNNNNNNNNNNNNNNNNNNNNNNNNNNNNNNNNNNNNNNNNGAUCGACCCCGACACGACACCCCGACCCCGAAACAGCACCCCGACCCUGACACGGCACCCCGACACCGACACGACACCCCGACCCCCGACACCUCCGAAAAGGUGCUCUUUGGCUUUCCAGAGGCCGACGGGGUCAUAUAUUUGUGAAUUAUGAGUUAGGUCAUAUAUUUUUUGAUUUUGUUAUGAAAAACAUCAUAUAUAACUGUUUUGAUCGGGUAGAUUUAAAUGUGCAGUUGUUUCAUCGCUGCAAGGUUUGGUGUUCGACGACCUCCCCGUGCGUUUGACGAGCUCUGCCCCUUUGUUCGUGGGUGAGCACAAAUGACAUGUCCUCCUCCCCCCUUAAUUAUUUGCUCUGUUCCGGUGUUCGUGCCGAUGAAACUUGAUAGCUAGCUAUAUAUCUGUCUUGAAUCAUCAGUAUGGGUAACCAAUAUGUGUCUCCCGUUCGAAAGCGUUAUAGUUAUAAAUAUGCAUGCAUUUGCAUAUUUAUAACCGUGAUUCUUUCGAAUUGUCCAACGCUAUCCAUGGACAGCCCGAGUAUGUGUAGAUUGGGUUCGUUUUCCCAUAUGCUUUGCUCCGGAUCCGACGCAUAAAUUUCGUCAGUGCCUUCCCUGUUGUUCUCCGGGUACACGUCCUCUCUGUUUAUUGCAGAGACGUGUAUUAGGAGAACAGCGGGGAGGUGUUGCUGAAAUUUUGCGUCGGAUCCGGAGCAUAGCAUGGGAAAAUGAACCCAAUCUACACAUACUCGGCUGGGAUUAGGACCUAUCAUUACCUAUUAGAGUGUAGGUUGCAUGGACGUAAUAAAAUUGACAAAGUAGAUCAACUGAUGAAUAUAUACAUGGUGAAUAUAUACAUGGUUGUGUGUCCAGUAGCUCUGAAAGUCAAGAUGAGUGUUCGUGCGUGGAUGUACACCGGUCACACUGGUCAGAACAAAUGGAGCACUGAAUGGUUCACAAAAACCAAGGGGUUUGUGCAAGCCGCAUUUGCAAAUGGCCAGAGGAAAACCUGGUGCCCCUGUUUACGGUGCGGCAAUUGGGAAAAGAGGACAGAGGCUGAAAUGGGCAAACACCUGCAGAAGAGUGGUUUUACGCCCGAUUAUACGGUGUGGACAUAUCAUGGUGAGUCUGCCCAACGUGACCGAGCUGAGGUGGAUCGUCAUCGCACUGACAAGCAUGGUACCGGGAUGGAAAACAUGGUGCAAGACUUCGAUGAUGCUCGGGAUUCGGACGAGGAGAUGGAGGAAUCUGUAAAGGCCUUCAAUGAAAUGUUGGAGUCUUCAAAACGUCCGCUCCACGAGCACACUGAGCUUUGUCAGUUGGAUGCCAUCUCACAAGUAAUGGCUCUGAAGGCUCAGUUCAACUUGGGCAGAGAAUGCUACGACGCAAUGAUGACAGUAUUUGGACGCUUUCUACCCAAAGGCCAUGUAAUGCCUGCAAACCGGUACCAGUCGGACAAAAUCCUCCGUGCACUGAAGAUGCCCUAUGAGAAGAUACAUGCCUGUGAGAAAGGAUGUGUCUUAUUUAGACUUGACUAUGCGGACUUGAACUAUUGUCCCAUUUGCAAGUCUUGGUAUGUUGUGGUAGACAACGGUAUGGGUGAGAAGAAAUAGACCAAAAUCCCCAUUAGUGUUCUUCGGUAUAUGCCAAUCGUACCAAGAAUUCAACGUCUAUUCAUGGUCGAAGAGACAGCCAGACAGAUGACAUGGCACAAAACGGGCAAAAGAACCGAACUAGCUGCAGAUGGGAAUCUGAUGAUCGUACACACAUCGGAUGGUGUUGCAUGGAAAAAGUUUGAUGAAUUACAUGCUGACAAAGCGGCAGAUCCGAGGCAUCCUCGAGUCGGCAUCAGCACGGAUGGGUUCAGUGUGUUUGGUCUAAUGGCAGCCCAAUACAGUUGUUGGCCCGUAUUUGUCUUUCCACUCAAUCUCCGCCCCGGACAGAUUAUGCAAAGAAAGAACAUUUUCCUGACAUUGAUAAUUCCAGGGCCCAACUACAUGUACACGACGCAUGACUUGCCGGCAUAUGCGCUAUUCGUUGGCUGUUGUGUGCAUGGAAGGUUCCCGUGCCCCGCAUGCAAGGGAGCUCUUGAGUUUCGUUGUCUUCAGGCCGGUCGCAAGUUUUCUUGCUUCGACAUGCAUAGACAGUUCCUGGAUCCUUGCCAUAAGUUCAGGAAAGACAAGAAGAACUUCAUCAGAGGUAGAGUUGUCAAAAACUCUGCACCACCUACGUUGACAAGCCAACAGACCCUGGAUCAGUUAAAUGCUCUCGAGCCAGAUCCAGAGCGUCCAGGGUACUUCAAGGGGUAUAAUUCUAAGCACGCCUGGAGUCAUAAGACAUGCUUAUGGGAUCUGCCUUACUUCAAAGACCUCCUUUGCCCACAGAACAUCAACGUGAUGCACACUGAGAAGAAUAUCGCCGAGGCACUUUUUGGUACAUUGUUCGGCAUAGAUGGGAAGUCAAAGGAUAAUACUAAGGCUAGACUCGAUCUGGAGGCGCUAUGUGAUAAGCCGUUACAAAACAUGAAAGAACCGAAAGGAAAGCAGAACUGGACGAAGCCAAAGGCAUGGUUCAAUCUUGGAAGGCCAGCUAUGAGGGAAAUUAUCUUGUGGGUGAAAAUGCAGUUGAUGUUCCCUGAUGGGUAUGCAGCGAAUCUAAAGAGGGGAGCGAGUCUUGAUAAAUUGAAGAUAUUUGGUCUCAAGAGUCAUGAUUGGCACAUAUGGAUUGAGCGGGUAAUGCCGGUGAUGUUGCGUGGCUUCAUCCCUGAGGAUGAAUGGCUAGUACUGGCAGAACUCAGCUAUUUCUUCUAUGUUCUUUGUGCGAAAGAACUAUCGCCUGGCGUGCUAGAAGAAAUGGAAGAGUUGGCGCCGGAGUUGAUCUGCAAGUUAGAGAAGAUCUUUCCACCAGGCUUCUUUAAUCCAAUGCAGCAUUUGAUUUUGCAUCUCCCGACUGAGGCAAGAUUGGGGGGGCCCAUGCAAAAUCGUUGGUGCUACCCAACUGAGAGGAUGCAGAAGACGCUUCGACAAAAAUGUAAAAAUAAACGUAGAAUUGAAGCAUCGAUGGCUGAGGCAUUCAUCACUAAGGAGGCGGCAAACUUCGUGACAGCACACUACGAAGCCAAAAAUCGUCAUUUGCAUAAUCCGAAGCCUCGGUACAAUGCUGACGAACCUCAAAAGGGUGGAUCCAACCUCAGCCUAUUCAAAGGGAAUCUCGCACCAGCCAGUGGUUCGAAACCAAUAUCUUUGGAUAACGAAGAAUGGCGGACCAUUAUGUUGUAUAUCUUCAACAACCUGACAGAAGUGCGGCCGUACAUCGAGUAAGUUCUCGGUACAUUGUUUCGCAACUUCUAUUUCCUUUGAAGUGCUCUUAUUCCUGCAUAUUUCAUAUAGUCGAUACGUCGCCAUAUUCUCGUAUGGAGCGGUAAUCCAAAAGGAUUCCGUCGAAGAUUAUGAGCUUCUCGCAAAGCAAGGAGGCGGCUAUCCCGGUUUCAUCUCUUGGUUCAAAGAAACGGUAAUUUCUAUUAGACCAUUUCAUUACAUUCGCUAAUUUCUGCCUAAUGCAACAAUCCUUUCGUAUUAAACUUGUAGGCUAAUUCAGAAUCUAUGGACACCGAAUUGAGACAAGUCGCUAAUGGUUUUGACUAUAAGGUCCGUUCAUUUGACAAAUACGACAUCAACGGGUAUCGCUUUCGUACCUAUGGCAAAGACCUGUCUAUGGCCGACCGAAAGUCUACAAAUUGUUGUGUAUCUGCUAUCGGCGAAGGAGGUACCGAGUAUUAUGGGAGAGUUGAAGCAAUUUAUGAACUUCUAUUCUAUGGUGACAACCCACCGAAUGUCGUACUCUUCAAAUGUUAUUGGUUUCAGCCGAAGGAGACUAGAAGGACUCAUGAACAUAUAGGGCUAGUUGAAAUCAAACAAAGCACCCAUUUAGAUGUUCCUGAUGUCUAUAUUACGGCUCCACAGGCGACCCAAGUAUUCUAUAUACCGUGGGCCUGCCAAACUAAUCCAAAUCUGAAAGGUUGGGAUGUCGUUUAUGAAGUGCCGCCACGUGCUAGACUAUCUCCCCCAAAGGAAGAGGAUUAUGAACCUCACAUUAACCCAGACACAUAUGAAGGAGAAUUCUUCCAAGAGACACGUCUUUCCAAAAAGCGUUUCAAGAACCGCUAUACUUCACCCCAAAACAUUGAAGUAGACAGCGACAGUGAAUCCGACAUCAACCUAGAGGAGGAACAAGAAGAGCCGGAACAAGAAGAGGUUACUGCUGCGGAUGACCUGUCAAUGCUUGACCGAUUACGUCAAGGUGGCCUUCCACAUGUUGAUGCCACUGAACCCUAUGAGCCCGUCAUUGAUUAUAGUGAUGAUGAUGAUUAUGCAUUUAUUAAUGAUAGUGAUCGAGAUUAUUAGUAGUGUCAGGUAUUCAUUUUUUUUAUGUUGUACUUGAUGAUGAUGCACUUAAGUGAUAUACAUAUUAUUAUUCAUGUCGGUAUUUUUUUAUGUUGUACUAAUUUUGUUUACUCUUUGUCAUGGCAGGUGUUGAAAGAUGGUGGGCGCUGGUCGGGAGCGCUCCGAGGCCCCUUCUUCGUCGGCGUGUGGUGGGAGGUCUUCCAUUCCACACGCACCUCUCCGCCGAGCAUCACUGGACAGUAUGGCGACAUCGCCGGGCCCUUCUCCAUCGAUAGCGGUGCCCAGCAGGGGACAAGGUAAGGGAGGGAAGAAGAGAGGAGUUGGAGCACGUGGUCGCGGGAGAGGAGGUAGGGUGACUGCUAGGGCGCCUUCCUCGCCGCCGCCCCCAGCUGUUUCACCCGAGCACGUGACUGCUAGGGUGGACUCGUCCGAGGAGGAGGCUACACGGACUCCGAUCCACGAGCCUUCGGCCCACGAGCCUCGGGUCGAUGGGCCUUCGGCCUACGAGCCUUGGGUCGACGGGCCUUCGGCCCACGAGACCCUAGAGGAGCACACGUCUGGAUGGGGUACCUGGCCGGAUGAGUCUGAGGGGCCGAGUGGCCAUGCUGAUGAUGGUGGGGAGCCGACUGAUAUUGAGGAGGAGGGGGGCACCGUCUACCAGCGUGGUUGUACAAGGCUCCCGUCCGUGCCAGCGACCCGCGAGCAGAGGUGGUUGAUUUUCCCUGAUGGGGAGAGGUAAGUGCAUUUAAUCUUUUUGUACCUUCUACAUUCACAUUUCUUCAAAUAUCUAAUGCUUUGGCCUUGUCAUGCUGUAGAGGUUGGGACCACCAUCAUAGAGUCCGUGGGCCCAACUCCAUCCUUGGAGUUCUUUGUCGGCAAAACUUCCCGGGGUUUGUCACGUUGCCUAGUGAGGGUCGGCUUCCAGAGCUUGGAUUGAGCUGGGAGCACUACUUGGCUGCCUCGGCCCCGCCGGGUGAGAUUAUCGACGGUGUCUUGUGCAAGACGAGGGAAGACGUGGUGAUCAGAAAGUUUUGGGUAAUUUCUCCUUUACACAAUUAAAUAUCUUCAACUAGCUAGUUAUUAAUUGUACUAAUCAAUAUUGUCUCAUUUGAUUGCAGACAUUCUACAGGUGUGAGGAGGGAUACGAGGAGGACGCGGCAAAUGUUAUUGAUAACGUCUGCAAGCGCCUACUACAGAACUUAUGGCAUGAGGCUCGGGCGCAGGCUGUUCGAGACUACUACGCCUUGCCUGGUCUCAAGAAGACCAAGCCAGCGUGCAACGAGAAGUUCCUGAGUAAGGAGCAGUACAUGAAGGUAAUUCUUAAGGCCUUGUACUUACUUCCUUCAUUUAGUAAUUCAUAGCCGUAGCGCUGAAGUUUCUAUUUGCUAACUUAGGCGCCUCCGAGAUGGUGUGCGGAUCGGAUGGAUUGUUGGGAGGUGUUGGUCAAUGAGUGGUGCUCAAAAGAAUGGCUAGCCCUCCACAACGACGCCAAGGACAAACGUGCCCAAAUGGAAGGUGUGCCACACCAUCAAGGCAGCUCCAACUUAUAUCAGUUCGGGCGGAACUGGGUAUGUGGUUUGCUUCAUGAUUCAUGCAAUUCAUUCAUCAUGCUAGCUUGAGCCCUUUAAUUACUAAUUUACUUAUUUUCUCUCUUUCAGGCACGCUACAAUAAGGCGGAUAAGGUGCCAGAGGUGUACGACCUAUAUGCCAUGGCCCACACUUCCUCUUUCAAGAAAGUCAAGGCAUUCUCUCCGUCUGACCUCGAUGAUGCAAACAACUUCACCAACAUCUCCUCCCAUGACAAGCUCGUGAAAUAUAGAGAUGAGGGGAAGGCGAGGAAAGGGGAGGACUUUAACCCGAGCCAGGGUCCCAUCGAUCCAGAGCUGGUGAUGAUAUCUGGUGGCGGGAGGUCCCAUGGCUCCAUAGCCAUUGGAGAUGGUCUUAUCCGUUGUCCUAGCACUCUCCCGGAGAUCAAGGCGCGCCAGUCGAGCUCCGCUCCUGAGAUAAGGCCUCGUGAACGGCCAGUCCAACUCGCCAUCAAGGUUAGUUAUACGUACUCAGCUAUCUUUCUCCAUUACAUUGUGUGUGCUUCCGUCAAUGAUUACAAAUGGUAACGAGGAGUGGUGUUGCAGGCUGCUAUACAGAGUGAGAGAGAUAGAACGGAGAAACAUCUGGUGGAGGAGGCGGAGAGGCAGCGGGAGUUGGAGGAGAGGACGACAAAGAUGUUGGAGGAGGAGAGGGCACGGAAUGACAUGCAGGCAAGGGCCAUGUACGAGCUCCUUGUGGUAUGUUUAUUCUGCAGAUUAGCCAAAAUAUUCAUGUAGUGUUUGUCUCAUUACUAACUAGUAUGACUAAGUCGUCAAAACCAAAUGUGCAGUCUAUGUGCGAGAAGACCGGUCAGACCGCUCCGCCGAUGCCGGUGAUUGCUCCUGGGACCACGAUGAGUUUAAUUUGAAUGGACAUUACUUGCUACUCUUAACAUUUGAGUGUCAUCAUGCUAACGAGACAUUGGAAAUGAUCUUUGGUGCAGCGUAACUCCAGACAAGCAUCGCAUGAUCCUUCUCCAGCUACCGGCACGAGCCAACCCGCUCCUACACCUCCAUGAUCAUGGUAAGUUUCUCUAGUGUUUUGCUUAACAAAUGCAUAAAGACCUAGACUUAGCCUUAUUUCCUCCAAUAUGCUUACCACAAUGACCUAGAGUUAGCUUCUUUUCCUCCAAAAUGACUUAAUAAGCUUACUGACCUCCAAAACCAUCCAUUUUACCUAAGUUAGCUCUAAAACGAUCUAUACUUAGCUUUGUUUCCUCCAAAAUGACCUAAGUAAGCUCUAAUAUGCUUAGUUAACUAGGUUUGCUCAAUAAUGACAUGUACUUAGCUUACUUAUGUCAAAAAUGGCAUAAUUAGCUUAGUUAGCUCAUAAAUAAUCCAUUUUACCUAAGUUAGCUCUAAAAUGACCCAUUUUACCUUAGUUAGCUCAUAAAUGAUCCAUUUUACCCAAGUUCGCAAUAAAAUGACCCAUUUUACCUAGACUAGCUCCAAAAUGAUCCAUUGUACCUAUGUUAGCUCUAAAAUGACCCAUUUUACCUAGGUUAGCUCCAAAAUGACCCAUCUUACCUAGGUUAGCUCCAAAAUGAUGCAUUUUACCCAAGUUAGCUCUAAAAUGACGCAUUUUACCUAGAUUAGCUCAUAAACGAUCCAUUUCACCUAGGUUAGCUCACAAACGAUCCAUUUUACCUAGUUUAGCUCCAAAAUGACCCAUCACACCUAGGUUAGCUCUAAAAUGAUGCAUUUUACCUAAGUUAGCUCAUAAAUGAUCUAUUUCACCUAGGUUAGCUCAUAAACGAUCCAUUUCACCUAACUUAGCUCAAAAACGAUCCAUUUCACCUAGGUUAGCUCCAAAAUGAUCCAUCUUACCUAGGUUAGCUCUAAAAUGAUGCAUUAUACCUAAGUUAUCUCAUAAACGAUCCAUUUCAACUAAGUUAGCUCAUAAAUGAUCCAUUUCACCUAAGUUAGCUCAUAAAUGGCAUAUACUUCUUCUUCUAGUCACCUUUUUCUAACUUUCUUAUUUGCCAUUUUGCAGAUUUCAUUCACUUCACGGAAGCUAGCUUGCUAUGAUGGAGUGCUUCUUUUUUCUUUCAUUCUCCUCUAGUAUUAUUCUAGCUUGCUAUGAUGGAACUUUCUAUCUUGAUGAAACUUUGCAUUGUAAUAUGUAUGGAUGGAACAAUGUGUAUGUGCAACUUGCUAUGUAUGAAUGGAUGGAACUAUAUAUGUAUGUACGAUGAAACUUAUGUGGUGGAUAUGUCAUAUGUUUGCUGUUAAAUAGCCCUGUGAAAUAUAUAUAUAUAUAUGUCAUAUAUUUGCUGUGAAAAUUGCUGGAUUAAAAAAAAUAAAAAAAGAGGCACCUUUGCCGUCAGCCGCUGAUGGCAAAGGCUCCUUUGCCGUCUGCCGCGGACGGCAAAUAAGCCACGCGGCGGCCACCUGUGCUCCCAGGGAGCUGACCCAUUUGGUCAGUUUGCCUACAGCGGCGGACGGGAAAGGCUUUGCCUACAGUGGCAGACGGCAAAGAAUGCCCACAUUUGCCUACAGCAGCAGACGGCAAAGGCUUGUCCCGCAGUGACAUCCAGCUGACGUCAUUCGGCGGACGGCAAAGGCCGGAUGCUCUUUGCCGUCAGCGGCGGAAGGCAAAGGCUGCCGUUAGCCGCCUAACGGACUAACAGCGCAUUUAUUGCCGUCGGCUUUCUUUGCCGUCAGCCGCUGAUAACAAAGGCCCCUUUUCCGUCCGCUUCAAAAGCAGACGGCAAAGAAGCUCUUUACCGAUGCCUACUUUGCCGGAGCCUUUUGCCGUCCGCGGCAGACGGCAAAGGCCUUUGCCGUCCGCCAUCCUUGCCUUUGCCGUCUGCCGUUGCAGACGGCAAAGUAGCUCAUUCCUGUAGUGGAAGGAGUACAUCGGUGGAGCAACAGGGGGCCCACGAGGGUGGAGGGCGCGCCUGGGGGGGUAGGCGCGCCCCCCUACCUCGUGGCCUCCUGGUAUAUUUCUUGACGUAGGGUCCAAGUCUCCUGGAUCAUGUUCGUUCCGAAAAUCACGUUCCCGAAGGUUUCUUUCCGUUUGAUAUUCUUUUUCUGCGAAACUCUGAAAUAGGCAAAAAAAACAGCAAUUCUGGGCUGGGCCGCCAGUCAAUAGGUUAGUCCCAAAAAUAAUAUAAAAGUGAAUAAUAAAGCCCAAUAAUGUCCAAAACAGAAGAUAAUAUAGCAUGGAGCAAUCAAAAAUUAUAGAUACGUUGGAGACGUAUCAAGCAUCCCCAAGCUUAAUUCCUGUUCGUCCUCGAGUAGGUAAAUGAUAAAAACAGAAUUUUUGAUGCGGAGUGCUACUUGGCAUAAUUUCAAUGUAAUUCUUCUUAAUUGGGGUAUGAAUAUUCAGAUCCGAAAGAUUCAAGAUAAAAGUUCAUAUUGACAUAAAAAUAAUAAUACUUCGAGCAUACUAACUAAGCAAUUAUGUCCUCCCAAAAUAACAUGGCCAAAGAAAGUUCAUCCCUACAAAAUCAUAUAGUUUAGUCAUGCUCCAUUUUCGUCACACAAGAAUGCUCUCAUCAUGCACAACCCCGAUGACAAGCCAAGCAAUUGUUUCAUACUUUAGUAAUCUCAAACUUUAUAAACCUUCACGCAAUACAUGAGCAUGAGCCAUGGAUAUAGCACUAUGGUGGAAUAGAAUAUGAUGAUGGGGGUUAUGUGGAGAAGACAAAAAAGGAGAAAGUCUCACAUCAACGAGGCUAAUCAAUGAGCUAUGGAGAUGCCCAUCGAUUGAUGUUAAUGCAAGGAGUAGGGAUUGCCAUGCAACGGAUGCACUAGAGCUAUAAAUGUAUGAAAGCUCAACAAAAGAAACUAAGUGGGUGUGCGUCCAACUUGCUUGCUCACGAAGACCUAGGGCACUUGAGGUGGCCCAUUGUUGGAAUAUACAAGCCAAGUUCUAUAAUGAAAAAUUCCCACUAGUAUAUGAAAGUGACAAAACAAGAGACUCUCUAUCAUGAAGAUUAUGGUGCUACUUUGAAGCACAAGUGUGGUAAAAGGAUAGUAACAUUGUCCCUUCUCUCUUUUUCUCUCAUUUUUUUGGGCCUUCUCUUUUUUGUAUGGCCUUUCUCUCCUUUUUAUUUAUUUAUUAUUCCUCACUUGGGACAAUGCUCUAGAAAAUGAUGAUCAUCACACUUCUAUUUAUUUACAACUCAAUGAUUACAACUCGAUACUAGAACAAAGUAUGACUCUAUAUGAAUGCCUCCGGCGGUGUACCGGGAUAUGCAAUGAACCAAGAGUGGCAUGUAUGAAAGAAUUGUGAAAGGUGGUUUUGCCACAAACACUAUGUCAACUACAUGAUUAUGCUAAGCAAUAUGACAAUGAUGAAUGUGUCAUGAUAAACGGAAUGGUAGAAAGUUGCAUGGCAAUAUAUCUCGGAAUGGCUAUGGAAAUGCCAUAAUAGGUAGGUAUGGUGGCUGUUUUGAGGAAGAUAUACGGAGGUUUAUGUGUGAAAGAGCGUAUCAUAUCACGGGGUUUGGAUGCACCGGCGAAGUUUGCACCAACUCUCAAUGUGAGAAAGGGCAAUGCACGGUACCGAAGAGGCUAGCAAUGAUGGAAAGGUGAGGGUGCGUAUAAUACAUGGACUCAACAUUAGUCAUAAAGAACUCACAUACUUAUUGCAAAAAUCUACAAGUCAUCAAAAACCAAGCACUACGCGCAUGCUCCUAGGGGGAUAGAUUGGUAGGAAAAGACCAUCGCUCGUCCCGGACCGCCACUCAUAAGGAGGACAAUCAAAGAACACCUCAUGUUUCAAAUUUGUUACAUAACUUUUACCAUACGUGCAUGCUACGGGACUUGCAAACUUCAACAGAAGUAUUUCUCAAAUUCACAACUACUCAACUAGCACAACCUUGAUAUCACUACCUCCGUAUCUCAAAACAAUCAUCAAGCAUCAAACUUCUCUUAGUAUUCAACGCACUCAAAAGAAAGUUUUUACUAUUCUUGAAUACCUAGCAUAUUAGGAUUAUUUAAGCAAAUUACCAUUCUAUUUAAGACUCUCAAAAUAAUCUAAGUGAAUCAUGAGAGAUCAAUAGUUUCUAUAAAACAAAUCCACCACCAUGCUCUAAAAGAUAUAAGUGAAGUACUAGAGCAAAACUAUAUAAUUCAAAAGAUAUAAGUGAAGCACAUAGAGUAUUCUAAUAAGUUCCGAAUCAUGUGUGUCUCUCUCAAAAGGUGUGUACAGCAAGGAUGAUUGUGGUAAACUAAAAAGCAAAGACUCAAAUCGUACAAGACGCUCCAAGCAAAACACAUAUCAUGUGGUGAAUAAAAAUAUAGCUCCAAGUAAAGUUACCGAUGGAAGUAGAUGAAAGAGGGGAUGCCUUCCGGGGCAUCCCCAAGCUUUGGAUUUUUGGUGUCCUUAUAUUAUCUUGGGGGUGACAUGGGCAUCCCCAAGCUUAGGCUCUUGCCGCCCUUGUUCCAUAAUCCAUCAAAUCUUUCACCCAAAACUUGAAAACUUCACAACACAAAACUCAGCAGAAAAUCUCGUGAGCCCCGUUAGCGAAAGAAAACAAAAGACCACUUCAAGGUACUGUAAUGAACUCAUUAUAUAUUUGUAUUGGUGUUAAAUCUAAUGUAUUCCAACUUCUCUAUGGUUUAUAAACUCUUUUACUAGCCAUAGAUUCAUCAAAAUAAGCAAACAACACACGAAAAAACAGAAUCUGUCAAAAACAGAACAGUCUGUAGUAAUCUGUAACUAACGCAAACUUCUGGAAGUACAAAACAUCAGCAAAAAUAGGAAGACCUAGAAAAUUAGUUUAUUGAUCAGAAGCAAUUGGAAUACAUAUUUUAUCACGUUCUGGUGAUUUUUAACAUUUGUUUUCAUGAACAGAAAGUUUCUCGAAACUUCUGCAAGAUCAAAUAACUAUCAUCCAAGAAGAUCCUAUAGGUUUAACUUGGCACAAACACUAAUUAAAACAUAAAAACACAUCUAGCCAGAGGCUAGAUCAAAUAUUUAUUGCUAAACAGCAAGGAUAAAUAUUGGGUUGUCUCCCAACAAGCGCUUUUCUCUAAAGCCUUUUAGCUAGGCAUUGAUAAUUUUAAUGAUGCUCACAUGAAAGAUAAGAAUUGAAGCGCAAAAAGAGCAUCAUAAAACACGUGACAAACACAUCUAAGUAUAACAUACUUCCUAUGCAUAGGCAUUUUAUAAGCAAACAAAUUAUCAUAGCAAACAAAAAUUAGCAUAUGCAAGGAAGAACAAAGAGACGAUAGCAAUCUCAACAUGACGAGAGGUAAUUUACUAAGAUAAAAAUUUCUACAAGCAUAUUCUCCUCUCUCAUAAUAAUUACAUGUAGGAUCAUAUGCAAAUUCAAAAAAGUAGCUAUCACAUAACAUAUUCUCAACACGAUCCACAUGCAUGCGAAGUUGACACUCUUCCAAAAUAGUGGAAUUAUCAUUAACUAAAAUCAUGACCUCUCCAGACCCACUUUUAUCAAAAAUAUCAUAAGAUUGAACAUACUCCAAAUAUGUGGGAUCUAAAGUUGACACUCUUCCAAACCCACUUUCAAUAUUAUUGCAAACACUAUUAUCAAUCUCAUAUUCAUCAUGGGGCUUAAAUAAAUUUUCAAGAUCAUAAGAAGAAUCACCCCAAUCAUGAUCAUUGCAACAAGUAGUAGACAUAGCAAAACUAGCAUCCCCAAGCUUAGGGUUUUGCAUAAUAUUAGCACAAUUGACAUUAAGAGAAUUUAUAAUAGCAUCAUUGCAAUCAUGCUUUUUAUUGAAAGAUCUAUCGUGAAUCACUACAUAAAGCACUUCAUCACAAUUUUCAGAUUCACGGAUUUCAAGCAAAACCUUAUAAAGAUAAUCUAGUGCACCCAAAUCACUAGGAAUUGGUUCAUCAUAAUUGGAUCUCUUAAAACGAUUGGCAAGCGGAUGAGGAUCCAUAGAUCUUAGCUUCUCUGUUUAGGAAUAAAUACUCAACUAUUUCAACCAAAUGAGCAAACGAGCCAAGACAUCAAGGCAAACGAAAAGACGAACGGAAAAAGGGCGAAUAAAACGGCAAGGGUGAAGUGGGGGAGAGGAAAACGGGAGGCAAAUGGCAAAUAAUGUAAUGCGGGAGAUAAGAGUUUGUGAUGGGUACUUGGUAUGUUGACUUUUGCGUAGACUCCCCGGCAACGGCGCCGGAAAUCCUUCUUGUUACCUCUUGAGCACUGCGUUGGUUUUCCCUUGAAGAGGAAAGGGUGAUGCAGCAAAGUAGCGUAAGUAUUGCCCUCAGUUUUUGAGAACCAAGGUAUCAAUCCAGUAGGAGGCUACACGCGAGUCCCUCGCACCUACACAAAACAAAAAAAUCCUCGCAACCAACGUGAUAAGGGGUUGUCAAUCACUACACGGUCACUUACGAGAGUGAGAUCUGAUAGAUAUGAUAAGAUAAUAUUUUGGUAUUUUUAUGAUAAAGAUGCAAAGUAAAACAAAAGCAAAGGAAAAUAACUAAGUAUUGGAAGAUUAAUAUGAUGGAAAAUAGACCCGGGGGCCAUAGGUUUCACUACUGGCUUCUCUCAUGAGCAUAAGUAUUUUACGGUGGGUGAACAAAUUACUGUUGAGCAAUUGACAGAAUUGAGCAUAGUUAUGAGAAUAUCUAGGUAUGAUCAUGUAUAUAGGCAUCACAUCUGAGACAAGUAAACCGACUCCUGCCUGCAUCUACUACUAUUACUCCACACAUCGACCGCUAUCCAGCAUGCAUCUAGAGUAUUAAGUUCAUAAGAACAGAGUAACACCUUAAGCAAGAUGACAUGAUGUAGAGGGAUCAAUUCAUGCAAUAUGAUAAAAAACCCCAUCUUGUUAUCCUCGAUGGCAACAAUACAAUACGUGCCUUGCUGCCCCUGCUGUCACUGGGAAAGGACACCGCAAGAUUGAACCCAAAGCUAAGCACUUCUCCCAUUGCAAGAAAGAUCAAUCUAGUAGGCCAAACCAAACUGAUAAUUCGAAGAGACUUGCAAAGAUAACCAAUCAUACAUAAAAGAAUUCAGAGAAGAUUCAAAUAUUGUUCAUAGAUAAACUUGAUCAUAAACCCACAAUUCAUCGGUCUCAACAAACACACCGCAAAAAGAAGGUUACAUCGAAUAGAUCUCCACGAGAGAGGGGGAGAACAUUGUAUUGAGAUCCAAAAAGAGAGAAGAAGCCAUCUAGCUAAUAACUAUGGACCCGAAGGUCUGAGGUAAACUACUCACACUUCAUCGGAGGGGCUAUGGUGUUGAUGUACAAGCCCUCCGUGAUCGAUGCCCCUUCCGGUGGAGCUCCGGAACAGGCCCCAAGAUGGGAUCUCGUGGGUACAGAAGGUUGCGGCGGUGGAAUUAGGUUUUUGGCUCCGUAUCUGAUCGUUUGGGGGUACGUAGGUAUAUAUAGGAGGAAGGAGUACGUCGGUGGAGCAACAGGGGGCCCACGAGGGUGGAGGGCGCGCCUGGGGGGUAGGCGCGCCCCCCUACCUCGUGGCCUCCUGGGAUAUUUCUUGACGUAGGGUCCAAGUCUCCUGGAUCAUGUUCGUUCCAAAAAUCAUGUUCCCGAAGGUUUCAUUCCGUUUGCACUCCGUUUGAUAUUCUUUUUCUUCGACACUCUGAAAUAGGCAAAAAACAGCAAUUCUGGGCUGGGCCUCCGGUCAAUAGGUUAGUCCCAAAAAUAAUAUAAAAGUGAAUAAUAAAGCCCAAUAAUGUCCAAAACAGAAGAUAAUAUAGCAUGGAGCAAUCAAAAAUUAUAGAUACGUUGGAGACGUAUCAAUGACCGAGGUGGAAUAUGGUGGAGGGGGGCACCGCACACGGCUGGAAUAGAUCAAUAGAUCAACUUGUGUGUCUAGAGGUGCCCCCUUCCCCCGUAUAUAAAGGAAAAAGGGGGGAGAGGUGAAGGAAAUAUGCCCUAGAGGCAAUAAUAAAGUAUUAUAUAUUUCCUUAUAUCAUGAUAAAUGUUUAGUAUUCAUGCUAGAAUUGUAUUAACCGGAAACAUAAUACAUGUGUGAAUACAUAGACAAACAGAGUGUCACUAGUAUGCCUCUACUUGACUAGCUCGUUAAUCAAAGAUGGUUAUGUUUCCUAGCCAUAGACAUGAGUUGUCAUUUGAUUAACGAGAUCACCUCAUUAGGAGAAUGACGUGAUUGACUUGACCCAUUCCGUUAGCUUAGCACUCGAUUAUUUAGUAUGUUGCUAUUGCUUUCUUCAUGACUUAUACAUGUUCCUAUGACUAUGAGAUUAUGCAACUCCCGUUUACCGGAGGAACACUUUGUGUGCUACCAAACGUCACAACGUAAAUGGGUGAUUAUAAAGGUGCUCUACAGGUGUCUCCAAAGGUACUUUUUGGGUUGGUGUAUUUCGAUAUUAGGAUUUGUCACUCCAAUUGUCGGAGAGGUAUCUCUGGGCCCACUCGGUAAUGCACAUCACUAUAAACCUUGCAAGCAUUGUGACUAAUGAGUUAGUUGCGGGAUGAUGUGUUACGGAACGAGUAAAGAGACUUGCCGGUAACGAGAUUGAACUAGGUAUCGAGAUACCGACGAUCAAAUCUCGGGCAAGUAACAUACCGGUGACAAAGGGAACAACGUAUGUUGUUAUGCGGUCUGACCGAUAAAGAUCUUCGUAGAAUAUGUGGGAGCCAAUAUGGUCAUCCAGGUCCCACUAUUGGUUAUUAACCGGAGACGUGUCUCGGUCAUGUCUACAUAGUUCUCGAACCCGUAGGGUCCGCACGCUUAACGUUACGAUGACAGUUUUAUUGAGUUUUGAUGUACCGAAGGAGUUCGGAGUCCCGGAUGAGAUCGGGGACAUGACGAGGAGUCUCGAAAUGGUUAAGACGUAAAGAUCGAUAUAUUGGACGACUAUAUUCGGACUUCGGAAAGGUUCCGAGUGAUUCGGGUAUUUUUCGGAGUACCGGAGAGUUACGGGAAUACGUAUUGGGCCUUAUUGGGCCAUACGGGAAAGAAGGAAAAGGGCCUCAAGGGUGGCCGCACCCCUCCCCUUGGUCUGGUCCGAAUUGGACUAGGGAAGCGGGGCGCCCCCUUCCUUCCUUCUCUUUUUGCCUUCCUCUUUUCCUAUUCCAUAUGGGAGGUGGAAUCCUACUAGGACUAGGGAGUCCUAGUAGGACUCCACACUUGGUGUGCCCCCUCCUAGGGCCGGCCUCCUCCUCCCUUGCUCCUUUAUAUACGGGGGCAGGGGGGCACCCCAGAGACACAACAAUUGAUCCUUGAGAUCUCUUAGCCGUGUGCGGUGCCCCCCUCCACCAUAUUACACCUCGAUAAUACCGUUGCGAAGCUUAGGCGAAGCCCUGCGUCGGUGGAACAUCAUCAUCGUCACCACGCCGUCGUGCUGACGAAACUCUCCCUCAACACUCGGCUGGAUCGGAGUUCGAGGGACGUCAUCGAGCUGAACGUGUGUAGAACUCGGAGGUGCCGUGCGUUCGGUACUUGAUCGGUCGGAUCGUGAAGACGUACGACUACAUCAACCGCGUUGUGAUAACGCUUCCGCUGUCGGUCUACGAGGGUACGUGGACAACAAUCUCCCCUCUCGUUGCUAUGCAUCACCAUGAUCUUGCGUGUGCGUAGGAAUUUUUUUGAAAUUACUACGUUCCCCAACAAGAGGCGGCCGGCCAGGGAGGGCGCGCCAAGGGGGGAGUCCUACUCCCACCCGGAGUAGGACUCCUCCUUUCCUAGUAGGAGUAGGAGAAGGGGGAAGGAGGAGGUGGAGAGAAGGAAGGAGAGGGGGGGCGCCGCCCCCUUCCCUUGUCCAUUUAAGACUGGGGCAAGGGGGGCCGCGCGCCACCUCCUGGCUGCCCUCUCUCUUCUCCACUAAGGCCCAAUAGGCCCAUUACUUCCCCAGGGGGUUCCGGUAACCCCCGGUACUCCGGUAAAAUCCCGAUUUCAUCUGAAACACUUCCGAUAUCCAAAUAUAGGCUUCCAAUAUAUCAAUAUUUAUGUCUCGACCAUUUCGAGACUGCUCGUUAUGUCCGUGAUCAUAUCCGGGACUCCGAACUACCUUCAGUACAUCAAAACACAAAACUCAUAAUAUCAAUCGUCAUCUAACUUUAAGCGUGCGGACCCUACGGGUUCGAGAACUAUGUAGACAUGACCAAGACACAUCUCCGGUCAAUAACCAAUAGCGGAACCUGGAUGCUCAUAUUUGCUCCUACAUAUUCUACGAAGAUCUUUAUCGGUCAAACCGCAUAACAACAGACGUUGUUCCCUUUGUCAUCGGUAUGUUACUUGCCCGAGAUUCGAUCGUCGGUAUCUCAAUACCUAGUUCAAUCUUGUUACCGGCAAGUCUCCUUUACUCGUUCUGUAAUGCAUCAUCAUGUAACUAACUCAUUUGUCACAUUGCUUGCAAGGCUUAUAGUGAUGUGCAUUACCGAGAGGGCCCAGAGAUACCUCUCCGACAAUCGGAGUGACAAAUCCUAAUCUCGAAAUACGCCAACCCAACAAGUACCUUCGGAGACACCUGUAGAGCACCUUUAUAAUCACCCAGUUACGUUGUGACAUUUGGUGGCACACAAAGUGUUCCUCAGGUAAACAGGAGUUGCAUAAUCUCAUAGUCAUAGGAACAUGUAUAAGUCAUGAAGAAAGCAGUAGCAUCAUACUAAACGAUCAAGUGCUAAGCUAACGGAAUGGGUCAAGUCAAUCACAUCAUUCUUCUAAUGAUGUGAUCCCGUUGAUAAAAUGGCAACUCAUGUCCAUGGCUAGGAAACUCAACCAUCUUCGAUAACGAGCUAGUUAAGUAGAGGCAUACUAGUGACAUUAUGUUUGUCUAUGUAUUCACACAUGUAUUAUGUUUCCGGCUAAUACAACUCUAGCAUGAAUAAUAAAUAUUUAUCAUGAUAUGAGGAAAUAAAUAAUUACUUUAUUAUUGCCUCUAGGGCAUAUUUCCUUCACCUCCUUCGUCCUCCUUCCCCUCCUAUCCCUUCCCCAGAUCUAGAUCGGGACCCUUACAGGCGCUCAUCCUGCUACACCUCCAUAAACAUCGCCAUCGCCUCCACAUUGUUCUCUGGUGGCGGCGACCAUCCAGGUCACUCGAUGGUUGGAGGGUCCGGUCAUUCCUUUGGGGAGGUGAGAGAGUCGCUUGUCUAAGGAUGGAGUCUCACCUUGGGCAAGCGAUGUCAGUGGCGGCAACCCUGGCGAAGAUGUCAACAGGGCGGCCACGGCAACGUCCCACAACCACGUGACGGCGGCGACGCGGUCGACAUUGAGCGGCGGAGGCUGGGAACACUGCUUCCGCGAUGGCCAUAGGAAAAAGAUCAAGAGAGGAUUGGAUUGUAAGAGGAGUUGGAUCGGCGGCGGCAUAUCUUUUUUUUCUUAUUAGUUUUUUAAUUUAGAUUUGGAUGUGAUUGAGGGAUGAGGGACUUUAUUUUUUUUUAGAUUGAGGGAUGAGGGCAAUUUUACCCACGGGUACGGGUACCCGCGGGUACCGUACCCGCAUGGGCAGGGUAUGGGCACACUUUUAUACCCACGGGUAGUACCCAUAUCCUACCCAUUAAGUCAUGGGUAGGGUAUGGGGAUAGUCUUGUACCCAUGGGUAUACCCAUACCCUGCCCGUUUGUGAAGUAAUGUUAAGUUCUCCUCAAUUAGUCAUUAAUUUAUCAUGUGACUCGUCUACUCCUAUUGACUUAAGAGUAUGUUGUGAUUUCUAAAUUUUGAUAUUGGUCAAUUACUCAUCUAUCUAUUAUUGGGCUGAGAUAAUUGUUUUUUUGUCAAAUGUGCAAUUAGUGAGCGUAAAAUUGUGAACAACUUAUGUACUAUUUGUUCUACCCGUUGGGUACCCAAUGGGUACGGGUACCCGUCGGGUAUGGGUACGGGUAAAGUUUAAUACCCAUGGGUACGGGUAUGGGUAGAAUUUUGUACCCACUAACUAUACGGGUAUGGGCAGGGUAUGGGUAUGGUAUUGCUCUACCCUACCCAUACCCUACCCAUUACCGUCCUUAGGGCUUAUUAAGGUAAGGUUAAUUAUUGUGAUUGAGGGGUGAGAGACUUAUGGCAAGAUUGAUUAAUUUAGAUUUGGUCUUUACAGAUUGAUUGGAGAUUAACCGUGAUUGAUUAUUUUAAAUGCCGCAUGGAAAGUUACAAUCUGUUUAAAUAAAAUCGGUUUAAAGAGAUCAUGGUAAAAUCCGGUUUAAAUGUGUUGGUGGCAUAAAAAAUGGUGGGGAAGGAUUAACCGGAGUGAGGCGAGACUACCAACUCAAACAUUAGGAGUAGAGAUAUUCAAAUGUCUUAGCAAAUGUUGUGUGCAUAGACAAAAAAAUGCACAAUGACAUUCCAGCAGCGCUGACUUAGAUUGCAUUAUCACCUGUGUCAAUUUUGAAUUUAUACCCAAAGUUUCAAUAAUGCCCAACUAUCUAUAUUGAAGUAAUAUUUUUUUCUCUUUUUGUGAUGUCCUGAUUUUCUCAUAUAUUGUAUUGUUUUUCCAAUAAAAUGCACGGGCGCGGCAAUACGCGCCUUUAUGUUCUAGUGGGUCAUGAGAGGAACUACUCAGGCAUCUGAUACGUCUCCGUCGUAUCUAUUUUUCCAAACACUUUUGCCUUUGUUUUGGACUCUAACUUGCAUGAUUUGAAUGGAACUAACCCGGACUGAUGCUGUUUUCAGCAGAAUUGCCAUGGUGUUAUUUAUGUGCAAAAACAAAAGUUCUCGGAAUGACCUGAAACUCCACGGAGAUUAUUUUUGGAAAUAAUAAAAAAUACUGGCGAAAGAAUCAAGGCCAGGGGCCCAUACUCUAGCCACGAGGGUGGGGGGCGCGCCUGCCCCCCUGGGCGCGCCCCCUGCCUCGUGGGCCCCCUGGAGCUCCACCGACCUCAACUCCAACUCCAUAUAUUUGUGUUCGGGGAGAAAAAAAUCAGAGAGAAAGAUUCAUCGCGUUUUACGAUACGGAGCCGCCGCCAAGCCCUAAACUCCCUCGGGAGGGCUGAUCUGGUGUACGUUCGGGGCUCCAGAGAGGGGAAUCCGUCGCCGUCGUCAUCAUCAACCAUCCUCCAUGACCAAUUUCAUGAUGCUCACCACCGUGCGUGAGUAAUUCCAUCGUAGGCUUGCUGGACGGUGAUGGGUUGGAUGAGAUUUAUCAUGUAAUCGAGUUAGUUUUGUUAGGGUUUGAUCCCUAGUAUCCACUAUGUUCUGAGAUUGAUGUUGCUAUCACUUUGCUAUGCUUAAUGCUUGUCACUAGGGCCCGAGUGCCAUGAUUUCAGAUCUAAACCUAUUAUGUUUUCAUGAAUAUAUGUGAGUUCUUGAUCCUAUCUUGCAAGUCUAUAGUCACCUACUAUGUGUUCUGAUCCGGCAACCCCGAAGUGACAAUAAUCGGGACCACUCCCGGUGAUGAUCGUAGUUUGAGGAGUUCAUGUAUUCACUAUGUGUUAAUGCUUUUGUCCGGUACUCUAUUAAAAGGAGGCCUUAAUAUCCCUUAGUUUCCAUUAGGACCCCACUGCCACGGGAGGGUAGGACAAAAGAUGUCAUGCAAGUUCUUUUCCAUAAGCACAUAUGACUAUAUUCGGAAUACAUGCCUACAUUACAUUGAUGAAUUGGAGCUAGUUUUGUGUCACCCUAUGUUAUGACUGUUACAUGAUGAACCGCAUCCGGCAUAAUUCUCCAUCACCGAUCCAAUGCCUACGAGCUUUUAACAUAUUGUUCUCCGCUUAUUUACUUUUCCGUUGCUACUGUUAUAAUCACUACAAAACCCAAAAAUAUUACUUUUGCUACCGUUACCGUUACUUCCAUAUUACUUUGCUACUAAAUACUUUGCUGCAGAUACUAAGUUAUCCAGGUGUGGUUGAAUUGACAACUCAACUGCGAAUACUUGAGAAUAUUCUUUGGCUCCCCUUGUGUCAAAUACAUAAAUUUGGGUUGAAUACUCUACCCUCAAAAACUGUUGCGAUCCCCUAUACUUGUGGGUUAUCAAGACUAUUUUCUGGCGCCGUUGCCAGGGAGCAUAGCUCUAUUCUUUGAGUCACUUGGGAUUUAUAUCUGCUGGUCACUAUGAGGAACUUGAAAGACGAGAAAACAAAAAACUAUCUCUCAACUACGAGGGGAGGUAAGGAACUGCCAUCUAGCUUUGCACUUGAUUCACCUUCUGUUUUGAGUAAGCUUGCGACACCUAAACCUGCUUCUGCUAUUAAUUCUGAUAUGUCGCAUAUUAUUGAUGAUGCCACUUCUGCUAUGCAUGAUACUUAUGAUGAAACUACUUCUAUGCUUGAUACUACUGUGCCACUUGGUGAAUUUCUUGAUGAACAACUUGCUAGGGCUAGAGGGAAUGGAAUUAUUGAAACUGAUAAUAUUGAUGAAAGUGAUGAUGAAGGCUCUCCCAAUAAAUAUGAAUUGCCUGUUGUGCCUGAGGGCUAUGUUAUGGAUGAAGAAACUAAAAGAGACUUUCUUGCUUGCAAUGAUAGAAGUGAUCUUAAGAAAUUAUUAGCUAAGCUUAAACAAAAAACUCUGAGUGCUAGAAUGAAAUAUGAUCCUGCUUAUACUACUUCACCUAUCUUUGUUACUGAUAAGGAUUAUGAAUUCUCUAUUGAUCCUGAUAUAAUUACUUUGCUUGAAUCUGAUCCUUUCUAUGGCUAUGAAUCUGAAACUGUUGUGGCACAUCUUACUAAAUUAAAUGAUAUAGCCACCCUGUUCACUAAUGAUGAGAGAACUCGCUACUUCUAUAUCCUUAAAAUAUUUCCAUUCUCAUUGAAGGGUUAUGCUAAGAUAUGGUUUAAUUCUCUUGAUCCUGGUUGUGUGCGUAGUCCCCAGGAUAUGAUUUAUUACUUCUCUGCUAAAUAUUUCCCUGCUCAUAAGAAACAAGCGGCCUUGAGGGAUAUAUAUAAUUUUGUGGAAAUUGAAGAAGAGAGUCUCCCACAAGCUUGGGGGACGCUUCUCCAAUUACUUAAUGCUUUGCCUGAUCAUCCUCUUAAGAAAAAUGAAAUACUUGAUAUCUUUUAUAAUGGACUAACCGAUGCUUCCAGAGAUUACCUGGAUAGUUGUGCUGGUUCUGUUUUCAGGGAAAGAACACCGGAUGAAGCUGAAAUUCUAUUGAAUAAUAUGUUGACAAAUGAAAAUAAUUAGACACUUCCUGAGCCCAUUCCUAAACCAACUCCUAAGAAAAGAGGUGUUCUAUUUCUCAGUCCUGAAGAUAUGCAAGAGUCAAAGAAAUCUAUGAAAGAAAAAGGUAUAAAAGCUGAAGAUGUUAAGAAUUUACCUCCUAUUGAAGAAAUACAUGGUCUUAAUUUACCGCCUGUUGAAGAAAUAUAUGGUCUUAAUCCAUCACCUAUUGAAGAAACUCAUGGUCUUGAUAACCCGACACAGGUAGUAAAGGUAAAUUCUCUCUACAGAUAUGAUAAAGCUGAAAUCCCUCCUACUAAGUUUGCUAGCCAAUAUUUGGAUGAGUUUGAUAACUUUAUGGUUAAGCAAGAAGAUUUUAAUGCUUAUUUUGGUAGACAAUUAAAACAAAAUGAUUAUAUGAUUGAACACUUGGGUGAUUAUAUGUCUAGAGUUAAAGGUGAACUUAAACUCAUUAGUAAACAUGCUUCUAUGGUUACCACUCAAGUAGAACAAGUACUUAAAGCUCAGAAUGAUUUGCUCAAUGAAUUAAAUAGUAAGAAUAAUGAUUUUGCUGUUAGAGUGGCUACUAGAACUGGUAAAAUGACUCAGGAACCUUUGUAUCCUGAAGGCCACCCUAAGAGAAUUGAGCAAGAUUCUUAGAGAAAUAAUAUAGAUGCACCUAGUCCUUCUAAAAAGAAGAAAAAGAAAAAUGAAAGGACUUUGCAUGCUCCUAGUGAACCUGUUGUUGACACACCUGAGAAUCCAAACGAUAUUUCUAUUUCUGAUGCUGAAACACAAUCUCGUAAUGAACAUGAAACUAGUGAUAAUGUUAAGGAUGAUGUUCAUGUUGAUGCUCAACCUAGCAAUGACAAUGAUGUAGAAAUUGAACCUGCUAUUGAUCUUGAUAACCCACAAUCAAAGAAUCAACGUUAUGAUAAGAGAUACUUUGUUGCUAGGACACGGUAAACAAAGGGAACCAUGGGUUCAGAAACCCAUGCCUUUUCCUCCCAAACCAUCCAAGAAAAAGGAUGAUGAGGAUUUUGAGCGCUUUGCUGAAAUGAUUAGACCUAUCUUCUUGCGUAUGCUAUUAACUGAUAUGCUCAAAACGAAUCCUUAUGCUAAGUACAUGAAAGAUAUUGUUACUAAUAAAAGAAAGAUAUUGGAAGCUGAAAUUUCCAUCAUGCUUGCUAAUUAUACUUUUAAGGGUGGAAUACCUAAGAAACUAGGAGAUCCAGGAGUACCAACUAUACCAUGCUCCAUUAAAAGAAACUAUGUUAGAACUGCUUUAUGUGAUCUUGGAGCCGGUUUUAGUGUUAUGCCUCUCUCUUUAUAUCGUAGACUUGAUUUGAAUAAGUUGACACCUACUGAAAUAUCCUUGCAAAUGGCUGAUAAAUCAACUGCUAUACAUGUCGGUAUUUGUGAGGAUGUGCCUGUUGUAGUUGCAAACGUUACUAUUUUAACGGACUUUGUUAUUCUUGAUAUUCCCGAGGACGAUAGUAUGUCUAUUAUUCUUGGAAGACCUUUCUUUAAUAUUUCAGGGGCUAUUAUUGAUUGCAACAAAGGCAAUGUCACUUUUCAUGUUAAUGGUAAUGAGCAUACGGUACACUUUCUGAGGAAACAACCUCAAGUCCACAGUAUCAAUUCUAUUGGAAAAAUUCCAUCGAUUAUUUUUGGAGGUUUUGAAUUUCCUCUUCCUACUGUCAAGAAGAAAUAUGAUAUUCUUAUUAUUGGGGAUGUGCAUAUCCCCGUUGAGGUAACAUAGUGUUAUUCGAAAUUUCUCCGGUUUCAUGUUACUCGAAAUGAGUUUGUUAACAAGACUUGAUCAACCUUGUUAAUGGAUUCCUUUUGAUGAGCAUGAGAUGGAUGAAGUUAGAAAGCACAACCUUCUGUACCAUCCUUUUACUUUCUGUUAUUUAGUUGAAAUAAAGUAAAAAUAGCAUUUUUCUGCCUGUUUUCUAAAUUAUCCGUGCAAUAUAAAAAGACCCCGAAAAUAAAAGUUCUCUAAAUGCCCUACCAAUUUAGGAUUUUUUCUGGAAUAUUUGAGAAUAUCUGGCACUGAGAAUACAACAUGGGGAGCAAGCACCUGGGCACGAGGGUCCAGGGCGCGCCCACCCCCCUGGGCGUGCCCCCUGCCUCGUGGGCCCACGGUGCCCCCCCUCCACUUAUGCCAGCCACCACACACUUCUUCUUCCUCCCAAAAAAAUCACCAUCCAGCUCAAGCACGAGUUCUAGCUCAUUUUGCUACGAUUUUCGAUCUCCUUGCUCAAAGCACCUCUCACAAAAUUGCUUUGGGGGAUUGUUCCUUGGUAUGUGAUGCCUCCAUUGGUCCAAUUAGUUUUUGUUAUAGUGCUUUAUUCAUUGCAAAUUUGUGCUGCCUAGGUGACCAUGUUCUUGAGCUUGCAUGUCAAAUUUAUAUGGUUCCAAGUAGUUCUAAUGCAUGAUAUAGGUUCUAGGCACUUGUAGGAGUAGUUGCUAUCAAUUUUGUUGAGCUUGGUUCACUUUCAUUUGAAGUUACUAAAAAUUUCAGAAAUUCUCAGAAAAUUAUGAAGAGAUUUUUGAGGGGCUCAUCGAGCCGAAGCUCGAAGGAAAAGCAAAGUGAAGAAGCAGAGAGGCCCAAAUAUAAUCUGCCUCGCACCACGGAGGUUCGGCCGUGUGAAUGGCCUUCCGAUGAUUUCUUGAGAGCAGCCGGGAUUUAUGAUGAUUUUUAUGAAUUGGCUGAGAAUGCAGGCCUCACCGACUUCCUCCGCGACCAACGCGAACAGUAUCUCUUACUCACCAAUACUUUUGUGCAAAAUUUCUACUAUUAUCCUAAGGAAUCACCUCCUUGAGUAGAGUUUAAUUUAUAUGAUGUGGUUAAGAAGAUGUCACUAUAUGAAUUUUGCAAGGUUUGUAAAGAUGUGGACGGGUUUAUUGACACUAUUACUGUAGGGGAAACUAGGAAGGUUUCCGAUGCAAGAAUCACUAGCAUACAUUUUCCUAUUUUACGCUACUUUGCAAUAUUUGCUAGUCGCUGCUUAAUUGGUCGCGGAAACUGUGGAAACCUUAGUGUUCCUGAUAUUAUUAUUUUGUUCCAUGGUUUAUUCCGUGACGACUCUGUUAGUAUGGGCGGUAUUAUUGCCAAACGGUUAAGUCUGAACCGUACAAAGGGCCCCAUCUUUGGAGGUGUUUAUGCUUCACGCCUUGCUGCAUACAAUAACAUACCUAUUAGGCACUAUGAAAAAGAAGAAAAAUUGCUGCCUACUGUUUAUUUAGAUUAUAAGAGUAUGGUAGCGCAUGAUUUUAUUGUAAAGAAUAGGGAGGGGGAGCUUAAAUACAAAUUGUUCUUUGAUAAACAUCAUCCUGAGACUAUUACCUUGCCUACUCCUUCCUUGUUUGAUUUAUCUGCAGGCCAGUAUCUCAUUCUGCUGGCGGCCAUUCACACCUACCAGAACCCUACAUCAGCCACAGAGCCAGAGUCGGAACCACAAUUUGAUCCUCCACGACAGUCUAAUUACCAGUGGGAUCCGUAGAUGAUUGCCAACCAGUGGCAAUCAGAGUCUUCUUCAUCUCAGUACGACCCCAACUACAAUUUUGGAUAUCCGCCAGGCCAUCCGUGGCAAUAAACCAACUUAGGCCAAAAACCUAAGCUUGGGGGAGUACGUAUCUCUCACCGACAUUACAUUCAUAUUCACACACUCAUUGCUAGAUGUCGGUGUUCACGCUCUUUCACUGUAAUAUCCAUGCUAGUUUUUUUUUCCUUUUAUGCUUUCUUCUUAUGUGUUUGAUAAACCUUAAGAAAAACCAAAAAAAUUAGUUGUAGCUUUUAGCUAGUUUACUUUCUUGCUGUAGUAGUAAUAAUUAAAAGAAAACCCAAAAAGAUUUCCCGUUCUUCUUUUGCUUGUUGGGAGCUUUCCCGUGUAAAUAGUUUUAUUUCUUUUCUUUUCUUUGGGGGUCGAUAGGAGAAGACCAUGAUUAAAUUGUUGAAGUGGCUCUUAAAUGCAUUAUUGUUGAUUUAACCAAGAGCCCAUAUUGCCUUGUCUUCUCCUGUUUAUUGAAUGCUCGCAAAUUCCAGCUUAGUCCAAUGCACGUGCACUAUUAUUAUUAUUCACAUCAUUCGGUUGUGCAAGUGAAAGGCAAUUAUGACGAUAUAUGAUGGACUGAUUGAGAUGAGAGAAGCUGGUAUGAACUCGACCUCUCUUGUUUUUGUAAAUAUGAUUAGUUCAUCGUUCCUGAUUCAGCCUAUUAUGAAUAAACAUGUUGCAAUGACAAUUAGAGAUUAUAGUUGCUUAUGCCAUGCUUAAUUAUCUAGGAGUUUAUAAUGGUUUACCUUGCGUGCCAACAUGCUAUUAAAAUGGUUGUGAUGUGGUAUGAUAGGAUGGUAUCCUCCUUUGAAUGAUUCAAGUGACUUGACUUGGCACAUGUUCACACAUGUUGUUGAAACAAAUCAACAUAGCCUUCACGAUAUUUAUGUUCAUGGUGGAUUAUAUCCUACUCAUGCUUGUACUCAAUGUUUAUUAAUUUUAAUGCAUGUUCAUGACUGUUGUCGCUCUCUAGUUGGUCGCUUCCCAGUCUUUUGCUAGCCUUCACUUGUACUAAGCGGGAAUACUGCUUGUGCAUCCAAUUCCUUAAACCCCAAAGUUAUUCCAUAUGAGUCCACUAUACCUUCCUAUAUGCGGUAUCUACCUGCCGUUCCAAGUAAAUUUGUAUGUGCCAAACUCUAAACCUUCAAAUGAAAUUCUGUUUUGUAUGCUCGAAUAGCUCAUGUAUCAACUAGCGUUGUCCGUAUCUUCCAUGUUAGGCGGGUUAUUCUCAAGAGGAGUGGACUCCGCUCCUCACUCACGAGAAAAUGGCUGGUCACCGGGAUGCCCAGUCCCAUGCUUUAUGCAAACCAAAUCAAAAUAAUUGCAAACAAAACUCCCAUGGGACUGUUGUUAGUUGGAGGCACUCAUUGUUUCGAGCAAGCCAUGGAUUGAUGCUUAUUGGUGGAGGGGGAGUAUAAACUUUACCAUUCUGUUUGGGAACCGCCUAUAAUGUCUGUAGCAUGGAAGCUAUCGCCAUCUCUUGGUUGUUAUGUUGACAAUGAAAGUAUGCCGCUCAAAAUAUUAUUUAUCUCUAUUUCAAAAUCGAGCUCUGGCACCUUUACAAAUCCCUGCUUCCCUCUGCGAAGGGCCUAUCUAUUUACUUUUAAGUUGAGCCAUCACCCUCUUAUUAAAAAGCACCAGCUGGAGAGCACCGCUGUCAUUUGCGUCCAUUACUAUUAAUUUAUAUUGGGUAUGACUAUGACUGGAUCUCUUUUACGAUGAAUUACAAUGUUUAGUCAGUCCUUGAGCUUUAAAGGUGCUCUGCAUUUAUGUUUUGCGGUCUCAGAAAGGGCUAGCAAGAUACCAUCUUGUUAUAUCAUAUCAUGAUUGUUUUGAGAAAGCGUUGUCAUCCGAGAUUUAUUAUUAUUGCUCGCUAGUUGGUUAUGCCAUUGAUAUGAGUAAACAUGAGACCUAAGUGUUAUUGUGAAUAUGGUUAGUUAUAAUCCUUGCUAAAAACUUGAAUGCUGGCUUUACAUAUUUACAACUACAAGAGCAAACAAAGUUUGUAAAAGUUUUUCUUUAUCACUUUCAGUUUAUCAACUGAAUUGCUUGAGGACAAGCAAAGGUUUAAGCUUGGGGGAGUUGAUAUGUCUCCGUCGUAUCUACUUUUCCAAACACUUUUGCCCUUGUUUUGGACUCUAACUUGCAUGAUUUGAAUGGAACUAACCCGGACUGACGCUGUUUUCAGCAGAAUUGCCAUGGUGUUAUUUAUGUGCAGAAACGAAAGUUCUCGGAAUGACCUGCAACUCCAUGGAGAUUAUUUUUGGAAAUAAUAAAAAAUACUGGUGAAAGAAUCAAGGCCAGGGGCCCACACCCUAGCCACGAGGGUGGGGGCGCGCCUGCCCCCCUGGGGGCGCCCCCUGCCUCGUGGGCCCCCUGGAGCUCCACCGACCUCAACUCCAACUCCAUAUAUUUGUGUUCGGGGAGAAAAAAAUCAGAGAGAAAGAUUCAUCGCGUUUUACGAUACGGAGCUGCCGCCAAGCCCUAAACUCUCUCAGGAGGGCUGAUCUAGAGUCCGUUCGGGGCUUCGAAGAGGGGAAUCCGUCGCCGUCGUCAUCAUCAACCAUCCUCCAUCACCAAUUUCAUGAUGCUCAUCACCGUGCGUGAGUAAUUCCAUCGUAGGCUUGCUAGACGGUGAUGGGUUGGAUGAGAUUUAUCAUGUAAUCGAGUUAGUUUUGUUAGGGUUUGAUCCCUAGUAUCCACUAUGUUCUGAUUGAUGUUGCUAUGACUUUGCUAUGCUUAAUGCUUGUCACUAGGGCCCGAGUGCCAUGAUUUCAGAUCUGAACCUAUUAUGUUUUCAUGAAUAUAUGUGAGUUCUUGAUCCUAUCUUGCAAGUCUAUAGUCACCUACUAUGUGUUAUGAUCCGGCAACCCCGAAGUGACACUAAUCGGGACCACUCCCGGUGAAGACCGUAGUUUGAGGAGUUCAUGUAUUCACUAUGUGUUAAUGCUUUGGUCCGGUAUUAUAUUAAAAGGAGGCCUUAAUAUCCCUUAGUUCCAUUAGGACCCUGCUGCCACGGGAGGGUAGGACAAAAGAUGUCAUGCAAGUUCUUUUCCAUAAGCACGUAUGACUAUAUUCGGAAUACAUGCCUACAUUACAUUGAUGAAUUGGAGCUAGUUCUUUGUCACCCUAUGUUAUGACUGUUACAUGAUGAACCGCAUCCGGCAUAAUUCUCCAUCACCGAUCCGAUGCCUACGAGCUUUUCACAUAUUGUUCUCCGCUUAUUUACUUUUCCGUUGCUACUGUUACAAUCACUACAAAACCCAAAAAUAUUACUUUUGCUACCGUUACCAUUACUUCCAUAUUAUUUUGCUACUAUAUACUUUGCUGCAGAUACUAAGUUAUCCAGGUGUGGUUGAAUUGACAACUCAACUGCUAAUACUUGAGAAUAUUCUUUGGCUCCCCUUGUGUCGAAUCAAUAAAUUUGGGUUGAAUACUCUACCCUCGAAAACUGUUGCGAUCCCCUAUACUUGUGGGUUAUCAGCAUCAUCAGAGAGGCGGUAAGGUUGAUGUAGAGGCUAGAGACUUGCAACGGCGGUUUAAUUAUUUCGGGUCUCGCUCUGGGGUUUUUGUAAUAUUUGAAAAUUUAUAGCGCCGGAAUUAGGUCAGACGGAGCCUCGAGGGCCCCUCCUAGGCACUAGGUUAAUAUGUUAGUUCCCAAAAGUGAUAUAAAAUGACAUAUAAAGCAUACAAGAUUGAUAAUGUAAUAGUAUGAAAUAAUAAAAACUUAUAGAUACGUUGGAGACGUAUCAAUGCUCUGGUGCAUAACGGACGGCUAAAGCGUGCUGAUAAUGUCAAGAGAGUUUGGGGUAGAUUGAAUGUGACAUGAGAGGAGUCCGUAAAGAGAGAUCUGAAGAAAUGGAGUAUCACCAAAGAACUAGCCAUAGACAGGGGUGCGUGGGAACGUGCUAUCCAUGUGCCAGAACCAUGAGCUGGUCGCAAGAUCUGCUGUUGGGCCUAGGGGAAGACAUUGUGGGAUUAGUUUGUAGAUAAUUGGCAGCAAGAGUGAUAGAAACCUAAACACUAGUUUACAAAUUGUUGCACAAGGGGUUGAUUUGAUCCUAAAGAUAAAGUUCAAUGUUAUGGUAGAUUUAUCUUAAUUAUUUCUCUUGUAAUUGUGAAUGCUUACAUGGAGGAUAUAAUGAUCAAUAGUUAUUUGUCCAAGUAAAGGCAGUACCUUAGCGCAUGCCUGCCCGCACAAUACUUAUCGAAACAACAAAAGGUAACUCAAUGAAACUUGGUGAAAUUCCUGUGUGUCCUCAAGAGCGUUUUAAUCACUAUAAGAAACACAAUCACUUGUCCUUAGCAUAUGUAAGGAUUGUGCCACUUGUUGCACUUUAUUGUUAUUGUUAUUGUUUAUCAUUUUAUGCAUUAUCUUGCUACCAAAUGUCCUAUCAAAUUACUUUUAUAGAUUUUGGAGUGAAACCUUGCUAAAAACUUCUUAUAGAUUCCUUUUGCUCCUCGUUGGGUUUGACACUCUUAUUUAUCAAAAAGCUGCAAUAGAUCUCCUAUACUUGUCAAUCAUCGGCCGUCCAAUGGUCGGUCACUAACUAGUCACUGCUGUUAUCUAUAGCCGGUCAGUGUUUGUGUUUCCUGAUACAUAAAAAAUUGACAUCACACAUGGUUAUUGUUAUGAAGCCCAUCACUAUCGGACACCUAUGGCAAAAAGAACACCAUUUGAUAGAGUUCCACAUACAUAUAGUUCAUCCAACACCAUCCACAACAUAUACACACUUUUAAGCAACAUACAACAGAAACACUAUUUGAAGCAUGACAAACAAAAGUUUCACUAGGCUAAGAACAAAACUUCAAAUCAACUACGUAACUAUGCCGGCUCAAAAAGGAGCGAUCUCCCCUUCACUCUGCUGCGUGUAGCUAUCUCCUUGCUCGGUGAAUUUACCAACUUUUUUUUUCCUUUUUUCACACUUUCAUUCAUGAACACUUAAUAAAUAUCUUGCAGAUUUUGUGAAAUUAAAGAACAUUUUUAAUUUUUCAAAUGUAUUUAAAGUUCAUGCACAUGUUUUAAGUCUAUGGAUAUUUUCUAAUUUGUGAAGCUUUUUUCUAAUUCAUGAACAUUGUUUGAGGUCCACUCAUAUUUUGUAAGUUCAUUAAUGUUUUUAAAAAUUAUGGUUUUGUUAAUUUGCAACAUUUCUUUAAAUCACAAACAACUUUUUGAUUUAACAACCUUUUUCAAAUAAAUAAACGACGGCUAGUUUUUUCUAAGCUAGCACUGGAGUGAGCGAAAAAGAACUAAGUGAACGAGGAGCAGGGAGCCGAGUUGAGCGAGUGAGGGCUUCAUGGGACCGCAUUAUAGCAACAAUUUCAUCCUUUCAACAUGAAAUAGGAGUUCCCAAGGGAUGUCGACGGACACUGACGCUGAAACGUGCAAGGACACUACAACCACACACAAAACAACUCCACUCUCUUGUCAGAACAAAUACCGUCUUUAACAAUAGCCUAACACAAUAUAUGUAUGAAAAAACACCGCUAGAACAUAAUUAAAACUCAAGUCAACGCAGAUAAAACAACCGACAACAAUAACAUGCUAGAGAAAAAAAGGUUAUCCCCACAUGCUUCAAAUAAGAGGGUGACACACAGGAGCAUGGAGACUAGGCCGGCCCAUUGGCGCUCAAUACCGACUCGAACAACAUAUUGUAGGGAAUGCUUUUUUUUUCAUUCUACUUUCCAACUUUCUUGGCUUUUACUUAGUUUUUUUCAUUAUUUUUUUAGAAACACAUCAAAAUUUAUUUUGUUUUGAAGGUAACAAUUUUUUAAAUCUGAAUAUUCCUUAGAUCAUUAUUUGGUAACAUGAACAUUUUAUGAAAAAAACGAGAAUAGUUUUUAAAACUUGUGUGGAUUUCUUUUGGCACGCGCUUGCACGUAGAACACACAUGGGCCCGCCCUACAUACCUGGGCCUGGGCCUCGUAUUCUUUGACGCCAAAGGGCGCCCUGCCUCGUCUUCUCGUCUUUAUAUCAAAAUCGAUCUCAACGCCGGCCGGCCGCCGGAGUGUCCCUUCCGUCUCCUCCUCCCUUGCAUUCUCCUCGCGCCACCCCACCCGUCCCCUCCCGGACUGUUGGGUCACUUCGGAGUCAGUGAGCGGCCACCGUGCGAGGCUACGGCCAUGCGGCUGCACUGCGCCGCGCUCCUCCGUGGCGCCGCCUCGCUGCCGUCUCUCUCGCUGGUGGCCACACUCCACGCUGCCGCGCUCCGGAGAGGCGCGUUCCAGCGCGAUGUCCGCGCACGGGUCGCCCGCCGGACUCCGCGCGCAUGCUGUUCGACGAAUUGCCCGCACCGCAUCUGUCCAGCACACGGACGGUGCUCGGCCUGUUCCGCGGACGGGAGGGGGAGAUGGAUGACAAGGCGGUGAUGGUGGUCCUCGCCGCGUGCGCGAGGGCUGGGAUGGUGGGUGAGGGGAGGGAGGUGUUCAGGAGGAUGAUGAGGCCGGCGCUGCAGCACUAUGCGUCUACCGUGGAGAUGCUGGGAAGGGCAGGCGAGGUCGAGGAGGCAGAGGGGCUGAUGAAGCCGAUGGAGGCGCCCCCCCGGGACAGGGUGAUGUGCGUGGUGCUAGCUGCUUUCCGCCCCCGGGCGCAUGGCCGUGUCAAUGUUGCUGAGAGAGAGUGGCCAAGUCGAUGUAUGGCAAUGCAUGCAUGAAUUUGGCCAACUGAAGAUCAGAGCUCUCUGACACGGUUUGGUUGGUUCCUUGGUGGUAAUGAGUACAACACAAGCCCCCUGGCUGAUGGAGACCUGAAAUUUGUACAACAUGAUCCUUGGUCUACCUGCAUGGAUCUGUCCUUCAGCAACCUGACUAAUUGCCCUGUUUGUCGUCGCCCCAUUACUCUGCUGGUACCUACUGAAGUUGCUUCCCUGCCACGUGCUGAACAAGAAAUCGCUCCUAUUGUGCACUGAAUUGAGCAAUACAAUGGCCGUUUUGCUAUAGCUCCUCACAGUAUAACUCAGGUAAACCUGCCAUAUCUUCUGGACAUAGUUUCUUGCACAUGUCGAGUGCCAUUGGAAUUUGGACUGCAUCCUUGCAAAAGCCCUAACAGCACUUGGUUUAUUAGCUCUUUUGUCACUUUCAGAUCGUUGGCCUAAUGCCAAUUUAUACCUCUGACAAUAGAACUGAGCAUACAGAGUUGUACUAUUAGAUUUUUCUGGUGAACUCCUUAUUAGUUGAGAUCUAGAUCAGGCUAUAUAUAGUAGCAGUUGUAUUAUCUCCACAUACCUGUACGGUACAAUGUCCUAAAUUUGCAAGAGUAACCCGUCGAAUAUGUUUAGAAAUAAAUCCAGUGAACGAGACUGAAUUGUCCAUCAGAGGGUACAAUUGAACUCAGUUGAUGAUAUACUGUAGUCACACCUAACUAGUUGGGUAGAAUCUCCACGUAGUCCACCGAGUUAAUAGAUGUUCAAGUACAUGCAAUCCUCAGCUUGGCAAUCGCUAGAAAUAGACGGAACAAAAAUGCACUAGGGAUUCCAUCGCUACUCUUGUCUAUAUUGAAACACUAGUACACAAGUGGUUGUGUGCCGUAGAUGAGUGGAGGUUGUGCCCUAGAUCAUAGCAGGAACUCUAAAGGCUUCAACUUAUGAAGUAUAAGUAUUGCAGUUAAGACUUAAAGAGUUAACUACAAAUUGCUUCCAAGAUCUUAAACUCUAAUUUCACGUGGGACAUUAAAUUUCUUGCCAGCUGCUUACAUUUUCCCUUGGUGUCUUUAAGGUUUUUUAUAGAGCUGAGAUGGUCAGAAGACAUGCUCUUUCCCCGGGUGACAACGACUUGCAGCAACCGCUUCAAAAUUCCAGGUUUUCUUUGUCCUGCUUCUCAUGUGUGCUGAGUACUUGUAAUUAUGAACCUAUCAUUAUAAAACUACUUUUGUUAGUUGCAAGGAUAGCGUGUCAGUAAAUAAAUUGAGAACAAUCUUACUUCUUGUCCUGAUCUGUUGAAAAAAGCAUGCUGUCUUUUCCAUGGUUUACUGAUGGUUGCCGUGGUCUGAAAUGAAAAUGUAACCAAACUUGCGAGUCCCAGUUUGAGAUCCCUGGGCUUUGUCAAGCUGUUCUCUGUUAUACCCUGCUCCAAUCAUUUGCUACUACAGAUUCAUGCUGGAUGUGAACUGCAAGCUAAACAUGCUCUUUUGUCGUAUAAAUUGGUCUUACGAUUGUUCUGUUUCUCAUCUCAUGCAAAAGGCAGUGCUUUGACAAAACAUGUUCAUGAUGUAGUUAGGCUGUAUUGCAGUUUAGAUGCCCCGGAUGAAGCGAAUUCCGAGUUAGCCAAACGGAGAAGCAAAGCACUGGCCGUGCACUUGUAUACGUACAGAAGUUCCAUCUGGAACUCCUCUUUCGUGGUUUCUCUUCAUAAACCUAGCACCAACGGUUCGCAUGGAUGUUUUCGUAGUGAAGUGAAGCAUCCCGAGAAGAGAUUCAGUCAAAAUCACGGUCAGCCUCUGACACCCGCAUCACUCCCAGGGCGACUCGGGUGGCGAAACCCUAGCAGCCACCCGAGACCCCUCCUCCCCGUCGCUCCCUCGCCGCCGCCGAAGGAUAUGCAAGGCGGGCCAAGCCCCUCCCAGCGGACAGCGGCGGCGGGGCUCUCCCUUCCAGUGCUUGCGUCAGGGCGUGGAAGAUGUCGGGGCGGCUGCGUGCCCCAGCGCGUGCACGGCGGCAGAUCUGGCGAAGGCAGGCGCGGCCGGAGUCGGUGUUGUUCCCCUGCGGUGGAGGGCGCGAGGUGGUGGAGAGAGCGGGCGCCGGCAGUACAUCGUCUCGAGGUCCGAGCGGGCUGGAUCUUGGCCCGGCGGGCCGGUGGUGGCGGCGGGGAUGUUCUGUUCACGUCCGGCUCUGGUGGUGGAGGACUGGAGGGAAGCGGCGGUGGGUGGUGCUCUUCCCCUUCAGCAAGCUCUGCGAGUUGCAUGCGUUCCCUUGCAGCAUGUGUGCCAUGGUUUGCUGCUGUCCGCCUUGGUGCGGAUGCAUAAACAUGACUGCUCCGGCUUUCUCUUGGUGGCGCCGGCUGCUUUGGGAGCUGAUUGGGUGGGCUGCAUAGAUCCGGGUGAAACUCUUGCAAAGACCUUGUCGAUGCCGGCGGCAAUGGCGUCUGCGGAUGUCGCUUCCCUCCUUGGGGGUGCCGUCGAGGAGCUUGUUGCAACCCCACAGCUUAUGUCUUCAGACUCCGGGUGAAAACCUUAGAUCGGGCAUUGCCCGAACGGAUGACGGUGUUGGCUUCCAUCACUCUUUUCUUGGAGACGUCAUUUGAGGAGUUCUUGUGGACGGCUGUCGUGACGCAGCUGGCAGAAUGGGGAGGUUGGGUUCGUGGUUGGCCGGCGGGGGGCAUGUGUUCUGUAGGUGGUGGUGGUGGAAGUGCUUUGCUGAUUCAGAACAGGCUAAGGUUUGUCUCCAGCUCUGGUUGACCUCCUCUCAGGGAUGUUCGUGGCGACGGUGAGAUCUCGGUGUUCGACGUCCUUCGAAGAUGUUACAGGUUCUCGUUGCUUUGCUUGGUGCCCAGGUUUGUUGAUUUUGUGAAGGUGCUCGAUGUAACACCAAGAGGAAGUGCACUGCUUGUAUCGGUGGAACAUUGCCCUUCGGUGGCGUCUACGGUUUUCGUUGUCGCGAUGUCGCCUUGGUGAUGGGAUGCCCUUCGAUGGUGUUGCGACUCUCCUAGGUCUCGAAGGUGAAGAGUGAUCGCUGGGCAGCCUGGGGACUUUGUCCUCUCCAUCGUCUCGACGUCGGGUAUCCGUUUGAUUGAUCCAAGAAGACUCCUCCCUUCUCUUCUCGGUCUGUUCCAGCGUCAGGUGCCAGGUUCAAGGCUUGUACUACUAGGCAUAGCUCGUUUCGGUUCUCUCUCUGUUUCCUUGUCCCUUCUUGUGGGUGUCGUGUGCUACAUCUUGUAGCCGUUGUAUUGUAUCUUGCUCUGGUUUAUGAAAAUGAAAAUGGUUCAGGCCGACUUUUGCCCGCCGUAGCAGCUUCAAAAAAAGUGAAGCAUCCCGUAUUAUAUUCGACAAGGGUUGCAGCUGUAGGUAGGUACCUUGGAUUUGGUCCCUGCUGCACCAUUUUAUCAGUUGUUUGCAGUCUCUAACGGCAAGUCGCAACGUGCCUUCCUGUUUGGAUGUGACGACCUCUUUCUGAUAAUUUUGGUAAUGUGAUCAUGCUUUAAUUUUCUGCUCGAAAGAUGUUGGAACUCCACUACGCAGUGUUGAAUUAUUUCUUUUGUCGGAAUGCGUAGUGUUGAUUUGGCUCGCAAGUUUUCAAAAUUCAAGGAUUGAGAGUUGCCAUCAAAACAAAACCAAGCCUGCCGCAGACUUCUUGAUGCUCAACUUUACCUGUUUUUUUUGUUGUUGCCAGGUAGCUUUACCUGAAUUGAGAUUUAUAUGAAUCAUUAUUGGCAGGUUAAAUAGCAGUAGUUUAACACAUAUUAUGCAAGAGUUUCAUUACACAAGAUUGAAACUUAUAUCCGCGUUAGCUCGUGAUCAAUGAAAUGCCCAUGUACAACACUGAAGUGUGGUGAACUGGCUGCUACUAAUAUUUAAGAUAGAUGCAGCUCGCUGCUACUAAUAUUUAAGAUAGAUGCAGCUCCCGUUAGUUGGUGCAUGGCGUGAACUUAAGAGGAGAAGAAAUGGUGAUGAUCGUAUCAAGUAAUAAGUGAAGAAGGAAUCCAUACGCCUACUUUGUGAAAUUAUAGAUGGCCAUUGAUGCGGCUGUGCUCUUUUAUGCGGCUUUCUGAGAUGGAUCCCAAGCUACUUGUCUCUCUGAAAGCUUACAUGAUUGACCGCAAUACAUGCAAAACAAGUUCGCAAUAUCGGAACCGUUGUUUGCAGCAAUAUUCGUCCAGAAUCAUCGCAGCGUGUCAUGCAACAAACAACAGAUAGGGUUUAGUUUGUGCUCUUUUGCUAACCAAAAAUAUAUACAUGCAUGGUAAAGUAGGAGUAUGUGCAAAAUAGACACCGGCCGAUGCAUGAAUGUGCAUGCAUGUUGAUCUCGUGCAUUUAAUACUAUAUACAUUCUGCAAUCGUCCCUACAAAAAUGACGAUCGAUGUAUCUAGCUAGCUAGUAUGUACAGCCCUAGCCGCCCUUCCUCCCCCCCCCCCUCUUCCCUCCCUCGCCGCCGCCUGAGGCAGCCGCCGGGCAAGCCCGGGGCACCAAGGAUGGUGGUGGCGGGGCCUCGGUUGCCCUGCUUCUGCGUGGGGAACCCCGGAUCUGGAGCGGCGGCUCCAUUGGCAAGGCACAACCGCUAGCAGCCGUGCGGCGGUGGAUCUGGUGUCCCGGCCGCGUGGGCAGCGGGAUCCGGUGGUCGGCGCCGGCUUUUGCGUCGGACCGGUUUGAGCUCCGGACCAGGUAGAUGGCUCGGGCGGGGCCUUCGGGUUUAGAUAUUAGGUUUAGGUGAGAGGUCUAGGCAUGUGGUCCAGCUUGCAUCCCUUCAUCAUUUGGAUAAGAGUAGCGACAGAUGUUGUCAAGAUGACGGAUUCAGGCAUAUUGUUGUUCUACUUUGUAAGGUCCUCGAGAAUAAUCAAUAAAAUGACCGCAUACAUCUCUCAGAUGCAGAGGCCGGGGGUCAUCUUCCUUAAAAAAAAGCUAGUAUGUACAAAGUGACGUAUAAGAUGAGAGGGUUGGAUCGGAUCGAUCGGAUGGGAUGCUACCAACGUAAUGCACAGUUAGCUAGCUUUUUGAAUGUUGCCUGGCUAGGGCUAGUCCUACUGGACGACCACGACUCUGCGUGUGCGGGCUCGGUUCUGCCUCACCCACUGGUAGAGAUGGGGGGAUGCCACGAAGUAGGAGUGGGUCCCACCAAACCCGCCGUGCAACAUCCCGAUCACCCUGCCAUCGCGUCGACAAGUGGCGCCCCGGACAUCCCGGCCACGCUAUCCACGUCGACCUCGACGAAGAUCAUCCUAUAACCGAGCUCAUUGGUGCUCAUCAUUUCCAUACCCCUGGUGCAGCUCGUCCACCCCAUGGCAUCCCCUGGUGCCCGUUCACCGCCGGCCAGGCCACGAGCAUGCACCGCAUGGCCGCCCUUGGCAUGCUCCGAGCCACGGGGAGGGUCGGGUGCGGUCCGGGGCAGACAUCGUCGGUGUGGAAGUCUCUCAGAGCCCAGCAGUAGACGUGCUUCAGGGCAUGGGCCGCUGUCAUCACGUGACAUUCAUCAUGUCGUUGAUCACAUUGUGGACGAAGCCCACGGAAGUGCUUGGGCUCUGCACGGCUAGCGCUCUCUCUCUCCUGCUCGUUUUGGAUGCUCCACACUCGGUUAGCGAUCCUCCGGAUCUCAUUCACCUUGCCGGGCAUCGGGGCAAACUGGAUGUACAUCAGUGCUUGGCCGCGUCGUACCUCGUCCUCCACGGAUUCGGCUGGGCCAUCGGGCUAUGUAUGUUACUGUACCCACGCGGGCAUCCGAGGAGAGCCCCAAGCCGUCGGCACCAAACCCACCCCCUCCUCCCUUCUCCCUUGCCGCCGCCGGUGCGAGCUGACGGGCAAAGCCCGGUCGGCCAGGGCGGCGGCGGGGAUUCUUCUCCCUCCUGGUCAGAAGCUGGCGGUGCGGGACGUCAGAUCUGGGCUGCGACGCGGCGCGUGCACAGGGCACGGCGGCGGGGCACGGUGGCGGGGCACGCCGUGUUGGCGGCGGCGGCUGCUGGGCACGGCGUCCGUGGGGAGGCUGCGUGGUGGGGUGGUCGGCGUGCCCGUGCUGGUGACGGCCGCCUUCUGAGGCCAGCGAGCGCGGGCGGCCCGACCUAGCUCAGGCGUACAGGUGGACUUGGCGGGCGCGUUGCGGCUGCUGGCCGGCGGGCUGGGAUCGUCUCGNNNNNNNNNNNNNNNNNNNNNNNNNNNNNNNNNNNNNNNNNNNNNNNNNNNNNNNNNNNNNNNNNNNNNNNNNNNNNNNNNNNNNNNNNNNNNNNNNNNNNNNNNNNNNNNNNNNNNNNNNNNNNNNNNNNNNNNNNNNNNNNNNNNNNNNNNNNNNNNNNNNNNNNNNNNNNNNNNNNNNNNNNNNNNNNNNNNNNNNNNNNNNNNNNNNNNNNNNNNNNNNNNNNNNNNNNNNNNNNNNNNNNNNNNNNNNNNNNNNNNNNNNNNNNNNNNNNNNGGUGGGUUGGUGGAGGUCGGCCCAUGGCUACGGUCGGGCGGCGACGGGUUGGAUCGGGGUGGCAUGGGGGCCUGCUGCCGUGAUAAUAUAGGUGGCGGUCUGUGUGUUCCUCUCACGUCACGGCAACAUCCUGCAUGAUCGGUCCUCCUUGAUCUAGUCAUUGACGUGUUCCCGAACUGCUGUUGAAUAUCUUGCCCAAGAUAUCUGGAUCGGAUAGAAUUCGGCCGUGCACGUCCAUUUUCAACCUACGAGGUUUCAUGUGGGCGGGACGCAAAGCUCUUUUGUUUGUUGACACCAUGGGACAUGUUCGGUUCUCGAUUUCUAUGGUGUAGACAGCUGUGGAGAACGUCAUGGUCGCUGAGAUCAUAGGAUCAGUUAGACGGACGGGGCCUUCGAGGCGAUGGAGUCAGCUAGGUGUUUGAUAACUCUCGGGAGCAGUAGUGUCAAGUGGGGGCAGCAGCACGGGAGGAAUUUCAUUUUUGGUGGUGCUCCUUGGGUACUGAGUCGGGACUUUCAGGGUGAAAGCCUAAGGUCUGGCUUUCAUUGGUUGUGCCUGGCAGUUGUCUUGCUGAAGGAAUUGUUUUGAGAGUUCGAACUUCUUCAGGGUGAAAACAUAAGAUCUUGGAUCAAGCAACGACGGCGCUUGUGCACUGUUUCCUUUUUGGAGGCGUUGCUUUUGGAGACCUUUGAUGUUUUCCAGGUGUUGUAUUUGGUGGUGGUUUGUGUGCGGCUGUUGAGAGGUGUCGAUCACUGCAGCGGGACUUCUUUUUCUUUCUUUUUUUUCCUUUGGUUGUGUGUAUCCUGAAUGUCCUUGCUAUAUCUUGUAGGUGCUGAGGCUGAGUGUAAUUGGUAUAUUCGCGAUAUUAAUAUAUUCACCUUUUAAAAAGUUGUAUGUUACUGCACCAACAACACAGGAAAGUACGAAUGAGCAAAUGUGCUGGCCACAGGAUUUUCUUUCCCUACGGAAAAUACAAAAGAACUAUCAAAGUAGCGACUGAUCCAAUAGCUAGCUAGCACAUCUAAAAUUUCACCACAAUGCCUGAAUUUUAUUUAUUUAUUACAUGGACAAAACACGGCUCCAACAACACAUCUAAAUAUACUUAGUACAUGCAAAUAAAAAAAUUCAGUGGUCGGAUAUAUUUUACUACCGAGAACCUAUAUUUGGGUACGUACAACCUACCACAAGAUACAAGCAACCCCAAAAAAUAGCACCAACACCGACCGUCGCACGGGCAAGUUUCACAUAACUCUGCCUUACGUAAAGUCGCCAGCCACCCCAAGCCCUGCCGCCCAAUCGUGCUGCCCCGAGGCCUAACUUUACCCCAAGACAAAUUUUUGUGUUUUUGAAACAAAUAACAUGCUCCGGCAGCCCGUCCAAAUCUGCAUGGAGUAUAUAGGUAGCCACCCAUAUUUUGCUACCAAAAACCCAUAUUUUAGGUCUAACCUACCAUAAGACUCAAAAACGUGACGCCAACCCUAAUCGUUACACCGGGGCCUUGUGUUCACACCGGUCGAUUCCGACCACCGGCCACCACGAUCCCCGGCGCCCAGUCCCGCUAUGCUCACGACCCUACCACUCGAUCCCAAAAUUACGUUCGCCGCCCAACCCCGCCGCCGCUCAAGAUGUCCGCCACCGUUUGCCGAGCUCAACUAGGAGCCAGGCAAUGCGCACAAGGCUGGCAUCGAUCGGCGCUCCUUCGCCGGCCUUUGUUGUAGCCCCAGCCAGCUCCAUUCAACCCCGGGCCUCCCUCGCGUCUUACGGAAACGUGACAAAAAUUUAUCUUCUUUUCCCCUUUUAUAAAUUAGUGUAAAAAGUAUUAUUGUUUUGGUUGACGUGGCCAGAAGAUGAGAUGAUCGAGCAGUUUAUUAAUCGACUCGGAAACUUUUUGUAGAAUUCUUUUUUGGUUGAAAGAAAGUCUAGUUCGUAAACUUUUUGUAGAAUUAUUUUAGCAGUUUUGUAGAAAAAUUACGUAAGCAGUGCCCAAACUUAAAGCGGGAACUAGAAAAUGAACUCGGAAACGGGACGGGGGGAGAGGGGGAAAGAAGAGAAGGAGGACGGCGACACACCCGAGGGCCGUCGACGGGGAGGGAUGUGGAGGCCACGGCUCGAGUUUCUUGGCGGCGGGUCUGGUGGCCUUUCUUGUCCAGCCGCCGGCGGAGGGAGGGGGAGGGGGUCGUGUUUCUUGGCCUCGCUCGUCUCGUUCUUGAUUCGGCGGUGCUGGUUCUUCUCCGGCCACCGGCGGGAAGGGNNNNNNNNNNNNNNNNNNNNNNNNNNNNNNNNNNNNNNNNNNNNNNNNNNNNNNNNNNNNNNNNNNNNNNNNNNNNNNNNNNNNNNNNNNNNNNNNNNNNNNNNNNNNNNNNNNNNNNNNNNNNNNNNNNNNNNNNNNNNNNNNNNNNNNNNNNNNNNNNNNGCGGGGGAGGAGGUUCGUGUUUCUUCGCCUCGCUCAUCUCGUUCUUGAUUCGGCGUUGCAGGUUCUUCUCCGGCCGCCUGGGGUGGGGUGGGGGGAGAGGAGGGGCAGCAGGCCCGUUCUUGACAUGGGAGGUCGCAGUUCUUGUCCUGCCGCCGGGCAGAGGGAGGGGAGGCACCGGCUGGUUCUCGAUUUCGUCCGGUGCCGGUUCUCGUCCUGCUGCCGCUUGCGGAUGUGCCCGUCAAACUACAAUUAAUAUUUCAUACUAAAGUUUUAUAUUUUUUUUAAAUAUUUUCAUCAUACUAAUCUCUUAAGGGAUAUAAUUUUCUAUUUCUUAGAUUUCAUAGUUAACCACAUAGUAAUAUUAUUAAAUAUUAAGUAUAGUUUUUCCGUAACAACUUUCUAAUGUAUAUCGCUGGAAAUGGUGUUCUGUUAAAUUUAGGCUGCACAUUCAUAAGUUAUAUUUAAUUAAAAUAGGAAACUGCAUAAAUGCAUAGUAUAUUAUAUAUAUUUCAGUGUACAUGCAUAUGUUUGUGUAUACUUUGAUAUGAUUAAAUAUUGUGGUAGAGAUUGCUAAAACAUAUUGUCUAACAAAUAUCUUAAUAGUUAUUUCUAGCGUAUUAUAGGUACACAUGUCUAUAGAAAUUUUUAGAGGAUAAACAAAUCUGUUAGAAAAAUGGUUUUUGCAAGCUGUGUUCACUAAUAAGUUCAUACCAUGUGCAUGCUUUGUACUUUGUGCCAACAUUGCAUUGCUUAUAAUACAAGUAAAUAUUGAAGUGCCCUCAAUUCUACUUUUGCAUAAAUAGGAUUUGAUUAUUUGAUACCCUCUUCUAGAAUUCAAUUGGUUCAUGUGCACACACGAGCUCCAGCCAGUCUCUCAAAUUAAUAAAUAAAUCACAUAUCAAUUCUGUUGUUCCUAGUACAUGCUAUUUUUCCAUGGUGUGGAUCUGCUUCUCCAAAUUGAGUCUUUUAUUAUUUUUACUAGUUUGAACAUAAUAAAUAAUGAUAUACUACUCAUUAUUACUCUCUCCGUCCCAAAAAAAUGACUCAACUUUGUACUAACUUUAGUAUAAAAUUAAUACAAAGUUGAGUAACAUAUUUUGGGACGAAGGGAGUACAAUUUAGUAUUUUGGGCCCUUCUCCUCUCUGGACUCAGGCUGAUUAGAUACGAUGGUGCAGCAAAUUGAUUGGACUCCAAGGUCCAACACAUGGAUACAUUCGAUUUUUUACGUUAUGUUUUUUUUAUCUAAAGAUUUUUUACGUUAUGUUGGUCCUAGAACCCCACAAAAAUCCAAGAAAUCCAGGAAAUGGGAACACAAUCUAACGGCCAGAAAACCCUACCAUUGAGACCUUCUAAUCGGCGGCUUCUUGGCUAGUUAGGAGUUCUAGCGCCCACUAGCCCGCAGCCAUGGGCUGGCCCAUUAGACCCACAAGCGGUCACUUCGCCAGCAUGCAUUUGGUUCGUAGAUCAAUGGUUGACCAAUUAACCUAUCAACUUUGACUUUUUGUCAAACACAAACAAAGAAAGUUUACAAAAAGAGCAAACAGGAAAAUAUCACGAAUUUAUGAGAAGUUCAUGGAUUUCGAAAAAAUAGUCCACAAUAUCUAAAAAGGUCAUGAAUUUUGUAAAAGAAUUCGUUGUUUUUAAAUAAAUAUUCACAAAUUUUAGAAAAUUCAGGUAUUUGAAAACAAGUCAAUGAUAUUAAAAAAUUCAAGAAUUUGCAAACUAUUCAUGAGUUUUGAUAAAAGAAAUCAUUUAUUUUUUAGAAAAAUCACUGAUUUUGAAAGUAAAUUCACAAAUUUGAACAAGUUUAAGACUUGGAAAAGUCUGUAAGUUCAAAAAAAUUCAAUCACAUGUGCACAUUUCUUUCUGCAAUGAUUUAUAAGAUUAAACAUAGUACUCAGUACUAAGCAAUGAUAUGUAAAACAAAUUAACAUGAGAGGACAAAUUAGUUUGAACUUGGUUCCUCAUCAACAUCAGAUAAGAUCAUAGGAAUUCUUGUUCGGGUUCCGGCUCCUUGCAUGUUUUUGUCGUAUGGCCCACUCCCUUACACGUUCUGCACCUAACCACCUUUCUACCAGGUUCAAAAACAAUCUCCUAAUUCUCUGCUUCCUGGGUCUGCCUGGAGGCCUUUUUAGAGUUGGUGGGUGUACUUUGCAACCCGAGUGUCUUAUCUAGUGAAUCUGCCAUGGAUGGUACUGACCCAGCAUAUGAUGCCCUAAACAUCUCAAUGUUGUAAUAAUAAUCGGCAUGUGCUUGGAUCUCAGCUCCCCUGAUUGAGUAUCUGAGGGCAAUGCAUGAAGGUAUGGCUUCCCAAAAACUUGCCACACUCUGCAUGAACAUGUCUUAUCUUUUAUGUCUAUGACUUGUAGUGUAUCACGCCCUUGUGAUUCAAGCAUACUUAUCUCUGCUUCAAACUCAUUUCUCCAAGCAACUAUAUGGAUCCCAAUUUUUUUGCUCAAUGCAUUUAGUUGUUUCAUUAUACUUAGCAAGAUUCAGCCUUCCAACCUCCUACUUGUUUGUCCCCUCACAUUAAACUUACCCAUAAUGAGCUCUCUUAUGGAGCCCCUUUAGGUCCUUAAUUUGAUUGCUAUUUUUUUUCUAACCAUGCAAAAGGGCUGCGUAUUUUAAUACAAGAAAGAAAACAGCCUUGAUGCGGCCUGCAACAUUUUAACGGCCCAAACUAAACUGAAACAGGCAACUUGCGAACUUACAACAGCUACCAGUUUGCUCUGGCCCUUAACACUGGCCAGACUCCACAAAUUGUAAACCACUGAGCUUAUUAUCCAUGCCCUGAAGAGCUUCUAGUCAAAACAAGAAGUUCUGAAGAGCUGCAGCCUGACAGUUAAAUUCCGAUAGUUUCUUUCCCUCCAGAUUGACCAAGCUCACAGGAAACAUAGGCUAUAAAAAACCUUUUCUCUUGUUUCCUGAAAUAGAAAGGCGAGCAGAGAGCCACCAGUCUUUGAAGCUGUUAUGUUGGGUCCUUCAUUUGAUUGUUAAAACGUUCAGAUAUGUUAUUUAUGAGCUAUUAGCUUCAGAGAACCCACAUCUAUACCAUAAUACUUUGUGGCGAUUCUAAAAACUAUUUCUUCCAUCCCAAAAUAUAAUGUGUAUUAGUUGUUUCAAAAGUCAAACGUGUGCAUGUUUGACCAAGUUUUAGAAAAAAGUACUUCAAUAUUUACAAUAAAAAAUGUGUACCAUCACGAAAAGAAUUUUCUUAUUUUAUUUAUUUUGUAUUAUAGAUGUUAUUUUAUUCUAUAAUCCUGGUCAAAAAUACGUAAGUUUGAUUUGCGCGAAAGUUGAUGCACCUUAUAUUCUGGAACGGAAGGAGUAUAUAGCAUGUGGAUUUGCCGCAUAUAUCUUCUCCAUGUGGUACCUUGAUGAAGAAGUUUGGUGGUGCAGGGUACAAGUGCUGUGUGUACACUUCACCACGAAACUUCUUCAUGAAGUUGCCAUAUCAAUGCCUCAUACACUCCCUAUGUUAACAAUCAUGGAAUGCAUCUGCAAACAGCAGUCUCUAAUCCCUUGUAAGCAUCGGUUGACAUUGUUCGCUGAUAUAUUGGCGAGUUCCUGGUUUUCGUAAAUGGCUGGUCCAGCAUUAAAAAGUAAAUUGUUGAGAACAGAGUUCAUCCAUCUUUUUGAUUUCUUGGGCUUAUUUGUGCUGUGGACCCAGCCGUCGUUUCUCGCUUGUGACUUGGAUGCUUUUUGUAUGGACCAUUGCUUUAUCUAUAAAAGCGGGGCGAAAGCCUACUUCGAGAGUUCAUCCAUCUUUUUUUACCAAAGAAUCCAUGUUAGGUUGUCUGUAAAGUUGUAAAUUUUAGGAAUUUUUUUGGCUAAGAGAUCUUUUUUUGUUUCUACCCUUGUGAUUUAUAAGACACUAAGUUUUAGUUGUGUGACAUAUUGCAAAGAAUAAAAAAUAAAUCAUUUAGAAAAGGUAUGUAUUAGAUAUUACUUGCAGGCUGAAAAACAUUCGCCUUGAGAGAGGAGUUUUGCAUGCAGAAGAAGGCGUGGUUAUUUGACACUCACGUUGUGUUAUUCUUUGUGACAGGUACUAGAGUCUCUUGAACUGGCUUCCGGGAAAAGAAAAGGUUUCCAUAUUAGAUGUGUGCCUAGUGGAUAUUAGAAAUAACUUGUGUACAUGUAAUUUAGUGCCCCUUGUUCUGUUUUGCUAAAAAAAACAAGAGCACUAGAACCACCUUGCUAAUGUCGGGGUCAACUUGUUUAGGUUUUCGAUCAAGUUUNNNNNNNNNNNNNNNNNNNNNNNNNNNNNNNNNNNNNNNNNNNNNNNNNNNNNNNNNNNNNNNNNNNNNNNNNNNNNNNNNNNNNNNNNNNNNNNNNNNNNNNNNNNNNNNNNNNNNNNNNNNNNNNNNNNNNNNNNNNNNNNNNNNNNNNNNNNNNNNNNNNNNNNNNNNNNNNNNNNNNNNNNNNNNNNNNNNNNNNNNNNNNNNNNNNNNNNNNACAUAUUAUGAGAAAUAGACCAAAAUCGGCCGAAAUCGAACCAACAUCAAAAGGCCCGCUGCCCCGUAGGCUUAUUUCUGAGCCUUCUGAUGCACCGGGCCGCCGUGGGCCGUGAGGCCGCGUGGAGCUUUGGCUAUGUCCAAAAAAAGGCUACCUAUGGUUCGAUUGCAUCAUUCUUUAUUCCUUCUAUUCCUCUACUUUUUUUGCUAGAUCCUAAUAUUCCUCUACUACGCACAUCUAACUUGCAAGGGUACAACAAGGACUGCAUCAUUCUUUGUUCAUUUUAUUCCUCCACUAUGUAGUAUCUAUCACUGCAAGGCUACAACGGACGAUGACAAAUACCACAUAGAUACGACCCACCAUUUAUUGAGUUACUAGUAGAAUGCCCGUGCGUUGCCACGGGCAUUUUAAAAAUCAAAAAUCUUACUGGCUCAUCAUGAUCAUGAUCUAUUGAAAACAAAUCUGAGUUUUAUGGAUAUAUGAUAUUCCUCAUUGCAAUUAAUGUCACUAAUUUUCUCGAUCCAUCAAUCAUGAGCAAGUGCAAAAGUAAAUGAAUCUAAGUUGAGUGAAAUAAGGAAGGAUCAAACAAACGAAUCAUGCACAUGCCUUAAUCACUUCUUCUCCGCCUGAAAAUGGAACCCAAUACAUUCUGAUGCAUGAUUGCAUUGCUCCACGGGAACCGACCAGGCUUCUCACUUGCACUGAGGAGGCCCAUUUGGCCAUUUCUUUCGUCGCCGGCCUCAACAUCACCCUUGAUAUCUCUCCGCCGGCUCUGUUAUGAAGCCACGUCCACCAUGUUUCACUGCAUCUUACAUUACUCAUCACCUAACAUAAGUAAGUACUAUUGUUGAAGCAUGCAUACCAAUCGUUAGAUCAAAAACAUCCAAGCAUUUGCGAUCCACCACUUUUUCACCCUCCCCUCUCUCCACGAGACGUCUCCCAUACCGCGUCAACAACACUCCCCUCAUCACACGUCUAGCAUGGGUCGCCGCCCCUCACUGGAAUCAACUGAAUAUUAUAAGGGAAAAACUAAAAGCCUGGAAACAUAAACCAAUGCAUCCAUCGACAAAAUAAGCUCUACUUGAUGACAACCAAUGAUGAAAAGCAGAAUUAUUUUGAUCAUAUCCAGUCUGAUAGGAGAUUAUAUGGGUUGCAAAAUCCACACAUAAUCGCACAAGGCAUUCUAAAUUUUUAAAUACCACAAUUAUCAUAAAAAUGAAAAUAAAGCUAGGGAUAUUGAAAAAUGUAAGGCAGUAGCGCUCUAUCUCUCCGGUAUUGUUCAAUGGACAGGGGUGCUCCUAGGCAUUGUUGUUAUCUUGAAAGAAAAUCUGGCUUGAAUGACUUCUUUGGUCAUAGAAAGCGUCGGAGCUCGUUGAACCUACAUAUUGCACCCUUUGUGUUAGUCAAGAUCGAAAAAUAGCUAGGCAUUGGUAAUCAGGAAUGUACCUUUAAAUCAAGUUAUUUGCUCCGUUGAUGUUUGGGUUGAAGUAUUAUCCGAGACUGAUUAGUCGUAAAAGUAUUUGCAUCUGCAGACAACAUAAAAUACAAUAGCAGGAAGCCAAAAGCAAAAUAGUUAAGUGCAUACAAUCAGUGGCAUGUUGCCCCCAGAAAUCCCUAGCAAGAGACACUGGUCUUCUACCCCACAUUACAUAUGUCAAAAGAUAGUACGCAUAAUAUUAACUCAUUUAGUUAUCUAGCUGACCAGAUCAAUUGUAAGCAUUACGUAGUUUUUAUUUCAGUGAAAAGAAAUUUCAUUGAAUAGUGAACAUAACUGGUAUAAAAGAACCAUAAUAUGGGUUGUGCUUAAACCACAAAAGAUUUUUCUAGAAGAUCGGAAUAAAAUACGUGCAAUAACUCACUAAGAAUCUUCUCUGUUCUUACCAUUUAGGGAUACCAACUCUUUGAGUAACGGAGUAAUAAUAGGACAUUGUGUAGCUCAAUUCACGUGAGCUAGAUUGACACACUAUUGCUGCAGCCAGAGGUGAUACGCAAUGGGUGGGGUGAAAUUCUUGACAACAGCCUGCAAUCAAGUAAUGAAGGACCAUUUGAUGACUAUAAACUUGACAGUAAAGACAUCUUUCAACCUUUGGAAAAUGAGAUACGGAUCAAAAAAACCUAUGGCCUCAUCCCGGCCAUUAACAUCAAAACCAUUAUUUUAGAUUUCUUAAGUUGCAACUUAUUUCCUGCAAGUUGCUAUAUGAAGAUAAACCUUACAAUCAGAUUUUUUUCUCGUACCAUAUCAAUAGGGCAUCAUGCAAUAUAACAAAAGAUCGUUCAAGUCUAUCAUGUGUAUUUACGAAAAAGAGCAAAUAUUGCAGUAAAUUUUUGUGAUGAAAUAAUAUAAAAGAGGUUCUAGAACAUACACCUUGGUUUCUUCUAAGCCUCGGUAGAAGCAUGGUUGCUUGCAUUUGAGAUGCAAGGAAGAAAAAAAUGACAUUCCAAAAGGGGAUUUUUUUUUUUGAAACUAUGAUGAUUUUUAUAGCAAAUUCGGAAACUAUACGGACUAAUGCAUAAAAAUCGAAACUAUGACCCCGUCGGCCUUCUGUUGGCUGAAGAGGGACUUUUCGGCCUACCGUUGGCCGAAGAGGGACUUUUCGGCCUACCGUUGGCCGAAGUGGGCUCUUCAGCCUCCCGUUGGCCGAAGAGUGCCCGGCUGGGCCGAAGAGCACUUUCCGGCUUCCCGUUGGCCGAAAAGUGUCAGGGGCACAAAACGUAAUUAAGAUGGCCUCAAAUGAAAAAGUUAUCAACAUGAAAAAUCUCCGUCUCGUCGAAACGGUUGAUUUUGAUAUAAAAAUCAUCUUAAUCCAAGCUCGUAUGCAACGAGUUACUCCGGACAGACCGAAUAGAUGUCAGAAAAUUUGUCACGGGACACCCGGUGCACUCGGUGAUACCGUGUGGAAUAUAGGAGAGUACACAAGUUUGGUCACGUUCACUCUGUGAGACCGAACCAAACCACUCGGAGGCUCCGAAUGGAUCCGAAAAAUUACCAAAGAUUCAUGUCCGAGUUAAAGUAAGGAUUUUUGAUCCGAAAAAUUGUUCGUCUGCACCGGGAAGACUGCUUGCGUACCGCGCUUCCGGCCGGGUCUCCUUCGACGUGAGCUACGGUGCAUCACCCCCAGCGUCAAGGGUACACGGUGACAUUUUUGUGUGCAUCACCCCCGACAUCGAGGGUGCACGGUGACGGGCCUGAGAGGUGACCAUUGCCUUUACUUUGCAUGGUGGAUGACGCCACCGCCGAAAGUUUUCGUCGCAAUUCCUGCCAUCGCAAUAGAGACAUUUCUUCAAUGCCGGCAUGUGUCUUCCCGGUGCAGACGAACAAUGCCCACAUCGAUUUAUGAGGCGGCUGGACUUCCCGUACAAUAAAAGGACUAAAAAUCUAUCCAAAAAUCUUUGGCAAUUUUUCGGAGCCUCCGAGUGGUUUGGUUCGGUCUCACCGAGUGAACAUGACCAAACUUGUGUACUCUUCUGUAUUCCACACGGUCUCACCGAGGGCACCGGGUGUCCCGUGACAAAUUUUCUGACUUCCAUUCGGUCUGUCCAAAGUAACUCUGCAGCUUCUGCCGCUGACCUUGUUUUGGCUCUACAGGCUGCAUACGACGUCGGAUUAAGACGAUUUUUAUAUCAAAAUCAACCGUUUCGACGAGACGAAGGUUUUUCAUGUUGAUAACUUUUUCAUUUGUGGCCAUCUUAAUUACGUUUUGUGACCCUGACACUUUUCGGCCAACGGGAAGCCGAAAAGUGCUCUUCGGCCCAGCUGGGCACUCUUCGGCCAACGGGAGGCUGAAGAGCCCACUUCGGCCAACGGUAGGCCAAAAAGUCCCUCUUCGGCCAACAAAAGGCCGACGGGGUCAUAGUUUCGACUUUUAUGCAUUAGGCCAUAUAGUUUCCGAAUUUGCUAUAAAAAUCAUCAUAGUUUAAAAAAAAACCCAAAAGGGCACCACAUGCGUCAACGGAUUGAUAAACUCAGAAGCACCUCAACUAACAAAUGAAAAAGGUGUCCUUAAAUAGAAUCUCACAUAUAAAGCUAUAAGCACAAAUAACAAGCAAUGGAAAAUCAAAAGAAAUAAAAAAUCAGUGAAGCACAUUAUACUUUUACAUUAGAGCCUAUAGAUAUUGCAAAGACAAGAGAAAUGGUCAGCAUGGCAAUAUUGUUCGGUGGUCAAAUAAUCCCAAAAUGAUACAUUGAGAAAUCUAUAUUGGCCUUCCAAUUUAUAGAAGAAUGCGAAAGAAACUAAGUUAGACUUUUACACAAUGCUCAUUUAACUUGUGACGGAAAAAAUUAUGCCAUCAUAACUCAAUUCUAAUAUAUACAAUUCCCAUGCUGCAGGCAACGUUGUUAUGGGCAACAAUGUAUAUAAAUUGCCCGUGCGUUGCAUCGGGGGCAUACAUAUUCUAAUGGGUCAAUACCAAUGGUGGAUAACAUAUACCUUUAGGACCCUUUUGCACACCAGGUGGCAUUGUUGACUUCUUUACCAUUAACGCAUUGUCGUUCUUCUUCUCCCUGCAGAGCUGGCGGCCGACGGCGACGAGCUCCGCCUUCUUAUUCUCACUGUUGUGGCCGUCCUUAUCGUCCUUGUUGAUUAGCUCCAUCAACAAUCCAUUGUUCUUCUCCACCAUUCUUUAGCACUCUAGCAACUGUAUGGCGAGCUGGUCGUCACUAUUGAUGUUGGAGAAGCCAACAAGGCCAAGAGGUUGUUGAUGUUCGUGCUCUCCCCAUGGUCGUUAUCACCGCUGCUUGGGGUGCCAUUAAUCAACGACAGCCACACUACAAACGCAUUCUUCAUGUUCAUCUCCUUCUCCUAAGUACACUAUAGUCAAGGACAGCCACGACUAUACGAGUGGCAGGAGACAUAUCGGUUUACCUUCAUGUACUUUUCAUCUAUCAUAAUGAAACUUUGAAACUUAUAUUCCAUUUAAUUCUAUUUGGCAUCUAAAACAAUACACGAACAAACUACUCGAGAUCAAAGAGUAGCGCAGUAAAAAUACUACUUACAUCUAAGAUAAAGGCUACAUCAAGUAGUAGAAUCUGCAUGGCAUGUGUGCUAACCUGGUCUGGAUGAUGUGAGUUAACAAUAUUGAACCCCUCUUAUGUGUAUGCUGCCCCUCUCAAACAUCUGCAACCAAAAAUAGAUGAGACCCAUCUAUCAAGACUACAAAAACGAAAGCUGAAACAUGUAAGGGCAUUUGGGCAUCGUACAGAAACACGCUGACCAGUCGCUUUGUUUCAGGAUCAAGAACAAAACAUGAGAGCUUCUCUCAUCAAUUACCUCGGCAGAAGCUUCAUACAUCUCUGAUUUGUCGAGCGCCUUCCACAUUCAUGCGGCUGAAAAACUUCCCGCUCCCUCCCACCCUGUCUUGCGUUGAUGAAGACCCAGGCUGAGCUUUGCUCCACGGCGCACUCACUUCCGGUCAAGUAUACGCCAACAUCGGAAGGGGGAGAUGUUGGAGAUUAAGAGGGGAUUGAGGGAAAUGGAUCCUCACAUCAGUGAGGCGUGCGGUGCAUGUGCAUCUGUGCAGAGUUUGGUCUGGCUACAAAAAAGGAGCAUAAGCAUAUGUCAAAGUAAAAGUAAAAUGAACAUGUACAUUAUACCUAAAUUAUAUUCUCUCCUUCCCUAAGUAAAUAAAUAAAUAUACGGUCCUGCAUAUCGUGUCACAUGUAUUAAGAACCUAGCAUUUUCUGCUCAUGCAUUGGAUCUAAAACUUAAAUUAUGUAAGAAGACCACAGUAAACAAAAACCAAAAGCUUUACUAAGUCGGUCUUGCCUUCAUUACUGUUUCUACCGAUGCUUCCAAUUCCACACUUCUUCCUACAAUAUUGAAGCAGUCGUUAAACCCUGCAAUAUCAGCAUUGAAAAACAAAUGCAGGACAAAUAAAAACACAAAAGUAAAACAUUCAAGAGAAAUUGCGGUACCAAAUUUGAAUUCUUCAACACUCAGAGCAUGUUUAAACUAUUUGUAUCACACUGUAUAGACUUGCCCAAAAAAUGCUGCAUCGAAAAAACGAUCAGAAAUUCAGAAUGCAAAACCAUGUCAUGCCUGACGCCGUGUCUUAGCUUGUUCAGUGGCGCAGGGGACAGAGAGACGUGAUUCAGGACCAUGGUUCUACCGAAUCUAUGGUCUAUGCCGUACGAUUUAACAUCUGACUACAUGUGGACCUGUGACAUGCAUGUCAACUGCAUUUUUUAAUCAACCAUGCAUGAUGCAUGGAUCCUCAUGAAUAGUGUUUAGAAAUCAAUGGUGUCGAGCGUAGGUUCGGCUGAACCAUGGUUCCGUAAAACAUUUUCGCAGGUAAAAAGGAGAGGGACCUAUGCAGGCCAUCACACCGGCAAGGGUUACAAAAGCAAAUCGAGUAUUAAAUCCGGCAAGACGCGCAUGUUAAGUCAAAGGCUAACCUGCCGUGAUUGAUUCCUUCUCUGGCUGGAUAUGGAAGUGGUGAGUUUUCUCGCCGGCUGGAACUGGAAGCGCUCAAGCGCACAAGCAGCGCCAGGCAUGAGAAACCAGUCAUGGCGCUCCUGUUGCGGCGACUGGACUCGUCCUGUUCUGUGUCAAGAUUUCUCGACCUAACCAUGGCAAUGUCACUUUUCAUGUUAAUGGUAAUGAGCAUACGGUACACUUUCUGAGGAAACAACCUCAAGUCCACAGUAUCAAUUCUAUUGGAAAAAUUCCAUCGAUUAUUUUUGGAGGUUUUGAAUUUCCUCUUCCUACUGUCAAGAAGAAAUAUGAUAUUCUUAUUAUUGGGGAUGUGCAUAUCCCCGUUGAGGUAACAUAGUGUUAUUCGAAAUUUCUCCGGUUUCAUGUUACUCGAAAUGAGUUUGUUAACAAGACUUGAUCAACCUUGUUAAUGGAUUCCUUUUGAUGAGCAUGAGAUGGAUGAAGUUAGAAAGCACAACCUUCUGUACCCUCCUUUUACUUUCUGUUAUUUAGUUGAAAUAAAGUAAAAAUAGCAUUUUUCUGCCUGUUUUCUAAAUUAUCCGUGCAAUAUAAAAAGACCCCGAAAAUAAAAGUUCUCUAAAUGCCCUGCCAAUUUAGGAUUUUUUCUGGAAUAUUUGAGAAUAUCUGGCACUGAGAAUACAACAUGGGGAGCAAGCACCUGGGCACGAGGGUCCAGGGCGCGCCCACCCCCCUGGGCGUGCCCCCUGCCUCGUGGGCCCACGGUGCCCCCCUCCACUUAUGCCAGCCACCACACACUUCUUCUUCCUCCCAAAAAAAUCACCAUCCAGCUCAAGCACGAGUUCUAGCUCAUUUUGCUACGAUUUUCGAUCUCCUUGCUCAAAGCACCUCUCACAAAAUUGCUUUGGGGGAUUGUUCCUUGGUAUGUGAUGCCUCCAUUGGUCCAAUUAGUUUUUGUUAUAGUGCUUUAUUCAUUGCAAAUUUGUGCUGCCUAGGUGACCAUGUUCUUGAGCUUGCAUGUCAAAUUUAUAUGGUUCCAAGUAGUUCUAAUGCAUGAUAUAGGUUCUAGGCACUUGUAGGAGUAGUUGCUAUCAAUUUUGUUGAGCUUGGUUCACUUUCAUUUGAAGUUACUAAAAAUUUCAGAAAUUCUCAGAAAAUUAUGAAGAGAUUUUUGAGGGGCUCAUCGAGCCGAAGCUCGAAGGAAAAGCAAAGUGAAGAAGCAGAGAGGCCCAAAUAUAAUCUGCCUCGCACCACGGAGGUUCGGCCGUGUGAAUGGCCUUCCGAUGAUUUCUUGAGAGCAGCCGGGAUUUAUGAUGAUUUUUAUGAAUUGGCUGAGAAUGCAGGCCUCACCGACUUCCUCCGCGACCAACACGAACAGUAUCUCUUACUCACCAAUACUUUUGUGCAAAAUUUCUACUAUUAUCCUAAGGAAUCACCUCCUUGAGUAGAGUUUAAUUUAUAUGAUGUGGUUAAGAAGAUGUCACUAUAUGAAUUUUGCAAGGUUUGUAAAGAUGUGGACGGGUUUAUUGACACUAUUACUGUAGGGGAAACUAGGAAGGUUUCCGAUGCAAGAAUCACUAGCAUACAUUUUCCUAUUUUACGCUACUUUGCAAUAUUUGCUAGUCGCUGCUUAAUUGGUCGCGGAAACUGUGGAAACCUUAGUGUUCCUGAUAUUAUUAUUUUGUUCCAUGGUUUAUUCCGUGACGACUCUGUUAGUAUGGGCGGUAUUAUUGUCAAACGGUUAAGUCUGAACCGUACAAAGGGCCCCAUCUUUGGAGGUGUUUAUGCUUCACGCCUUGCUGCAUACAAUAACAUACCUAUUAGGCACUAUGAAAAAGAAGAAAAAUUGCUGCCUACUGUUUAUUUAGAUUAUAAGAGUAUGGUAGCGCAUGAUUUUAUUGUAAAGAAUAGGGAGGGGGAGCUUAAAUACAAAUUGUUCUUUGAUAAACAUCAUCCUCAGACUAUUACCUUGCCUACUCCUUCCUUGUUUGAUUUAUCUGCAGGCCAGUAUCUCAUUCCGCUGGCGGCCAUUCACACCCACCAGAACCCUACAUCAGCCACAGAGCCAGAGUCGGAACCACAAUUUGACCCUCCACGACAGUCUAAUUACCAGUGGGAUCCGUAGAUGAUUGCCAACCAGUGGCAAUCAGAGUCUUCUUCAUCUCAGUACGACCCCAACUACAAUUUUGGAUAUCCGCCAGGCCAUCCGUGGCAAUAAACCAACUUAGGCCAAAAGCCUAAGCUUGGGGGAGUACGUAUCUCUCACCGACAUUACAUUCAUAUUCACACACUCAUUGCUAGAUGUCGGUGCUCAUGCUCUUUCACUGUAAUAUCCAUGCUAGUUUUUUUUUCCUUUUAUGCUUUCUUCUUAUGUGUUUGAUAAACCUUAAGAAAAACCAAAAAAAUUAGUUGUAGCUUUUAGCUAGUUUACUUUCUUGCUGUAGUAGUAAUAAUUAAAAGAAAAACCCAAAAAGAUUUCCCGUUCUUCUUUUGCUUGUUGGGAGCUUUCCCGUGUAAAUAGUUUUAUU